rnacentral:lncRNA from 1 species
UUCAUACAAGUCACUCUUGAUUCAUUGCACAUCCCGGUACACCGCCGGAGGCAUUCAUAUAGAGUCAUAUUUUGUUCUAAGUAUCGAGUUGUAACUCUUGAGUUGUAAGUAAAUAAAAGUGUGAUGAUCUUCAUUAUUAGAGCAUUGUCCCAGUGAGAAAAUGAUGAUGGAGACUAUGAUUCCCCCACAAGUCAGGAUGAGACUCCAAACGAAAAAAGAAAAAGAAAAAAAGAGUCCUUAAAAAAGAAAAAAGGCCCAAAUAAAAAAAUAUGACAGAAAAAGAGAGAAGGGGCAAUGCUACUAUCCUUUUUCCACACUUGUGCUUCAAAGUAGCACCAUGAUCUUUAUGAUAGAGAGUCUCCUAUGUUGUCAUUUUCAUAUACUAGUGGGAAUUUUUCAUUAUUGAACUUGUCUUCUAUAUUCCAAUGAUGGGCUUCCUCAAAAGUGCCCUAGGUCUUCGCGAGCAAGCAAGUUGGAUGCACACCCUCUUAGUUUCUUUUGUUGAGCUUUCAUACAGUUAUAGCUCUAGUGCAUCCGUUGCAGGCAAUCCCUACUCACUCACAUUGAUAUCUAUUGAUGGGCAUCUCCAUAGCACGUUGAUACGCCUAGUUGAUGUGAGACUAUCUGCUCUUUUUUGUCUUCUCCACAACCACCAUUCUAUUCCACCUAUAGUGCUAUGUCCAUGACUCACGCUCAUGUAUUGCGUGAAGAUUGAAAAAGUUUGAGAACAUCAAAAGUAUGAAACAAUUGCUUGGCUUGUCAUAUGGGUUGCGCAUGAUUAAAUACUUUGUGAGAUGAAGAUAAAGCAUAACCAGACUAUAUCAUUUUGUAGGGAUAGCUUACUUUGGCCAUGUUAUUUUGAGAAGACAUGAUUGCUUUGUUAGUAUACUUGAAGUAUUAUUAUUUUUAUGUCAGUAUUAAAAUUUUAUCUUGAAUCUUUCGGAUCUCAACAUUCAUGCCACAAUAAAGAAAAUUACAUUGAUAAAUAUGUUAGGUAGCAUUCCACAUCAAAAAUUCUGUUUUUAUCAUUUACCUACUCGAGGACGAGCAGGAAUUAAGCUUGGGGAUGCUUGAUACAUCUCCAACGUAUCUAUAAUUUUUUAUUGUUCCACGCUAUUAUAUUAUUAUUUUUGGGACUAACCUAUUAACCAAAGGCCCAGUGCCAGUUUCUGUUUUUCUGCCUAUUAACAGAGUCCAAAUAGAAUGAAACCUUCGCGAUGAUCUUUUGUGGACCAAAAGAAACCAGAAGACUUGGAGUUGAAGUCGGAGACGCGACGAGGCAUCCACGAGGCAGGAGGGUGCGCCCAGUGGGAUAGGCGCGCCCCCACCCUCAUGGGCCCCUCGUAGCUCCAUCGACCUAGUUCUCUCGCCUAUAUAUACCCGUAUACCCUAAAAACAUCAGAGGGAGCCAUGAAACCACUUUUCCAUGGCCGCAACCUUCUGUACCCGUGAGAUCCCAUCUUGGGGCCUCUUCCGGCGAUCUGCCGGAGGGGGAAUCAAUCACGGAUGGCUUCUACAUCAACACCAUUGCCUCUCCGAUAAAGCGUGAAUAGUUUACCACAGACCUUCGGGUCCAUAGUUAUUAGCUAGAUGGCUUCUUCUCUCUUCGAUUCUCAAUACAAAGUUCUCCUAGAUGUUCUUGGAGAUCUAUUCGAUGUAAUAUUAUUUUGUGGUGUGUUUUCCAAGAUCCAAUGAAUUGUGGAUUUAUGAUCAAGAUUAUCUAUGGAUAUUAUUCGGUUCUUCUCUGAAUUCUUAUAUGCAUGAUUUGAUAUCUUUGCAAGCCUCUUCGAUUUAUCGUUUUAGUUUGGCCUACUAGAUUGAUCUUUCUUGCCAUGGGAGAAGUGCAUAGCUUUGGGUUUCAAGUGACAGUAGGGGCAGCAAGGCACAUAUUCUGUUGUUGCCAUCGAGGAUAAAAAUAUGGGGUUUAUAUCCUAUUGCUUGAGUUUAUCCCUCUAUAUCAUGCCAUCUUGCUUAAUGCGUUACUCCGUUCUUAUGAACUUAAUACUCUAGAUGCAUGCUGGAUAGCGGUCGAUGUGUGGAGUAAGAGUAGUAGAUGGAGGUAGGAGUCGGUAUACUUGACACGGACGUGAUGCCUAUGUUCAUGAUCAUUGCCUUAGAUGUCAUCAUAAUUAUGCACUUUUUUAUCAAUUGCUCGGCAGUAAUUUGUUCACCCACCGUAAUACAUGCUAUCUCGAGAGAAGCCACUAGUGAAACCUAUGGCCCCCGUGUAUCUUUUCCAUUAUAUUAAAUUCUCUUUUCCAUAUUAUCAAAUCUCGUUUACUAUUUUGCAAUCUUUACUUUCCAAUCUAUACAACAAAAAUACCAAAAUAUUUACUUUACUAUCUUUAUUAGAUCUCACUUGUGCAAGUGACUGUGAAGGGAUUGACAACCUCUUUUGUCGCGUUGGUUGCAUGUUGUUGAUUGUUUGUGUAGGUAUUCGGUGACUUCUGCGUCGUCUCCUACUGGAUUGAUACCUUGGUUCUCAAAACUGUGGGAAAUACUUAUGCUACUUUGCUGCAUCACCCUUUCCUCUUCAAGGGAAAACCAACGCAAGCUCAAGAGGUAACAUGUCAGGACCCCGACUCAAUGGCACACCGAUCUAGCAUGUAACACCUCAUAUUACUUUGCAGCCUCACGCACGGUAUUCCCACGGGUGUCGCCUUACCAGGACCGGGACCGUUUGUGCCUUUUGGCACACGUAUAUGAUAGUGUCGCUAGCAUACAUAUGACAAGGAGCCCGAGCUGACAUGGAUAGUCGUGAACCCAAAGUGGCACUAACUUACAGGGACAUGCAUACAUGACCCAGCAACGAGCGUGUCGGUCAUCAGUGAAUGAAUUCGGGCUGUAGCAACUGGGCUAACAGGACUCUGGUAAACCGGGCUGUAGCGGGCUAACAGAACUCCGGUAAACACCGCGUGACAUUUCGCUGAAGGGACAGACAAAGGAACGAAGAAGGACACAUGCCGGCCAACCUAAGUGUUCCGGAGAAGUAGCAAGCUACCAAGGCUCAGUAGUGGUGUCCGGAGGCUUCCGGCGCCGUGCGGCUUGGUGAGAAGGAAGAGGGAGACGGGGCGGAGCUUCUUGCCGCGUCGACGAGGCGGGGCAGUGGCUUUGGCCACGGCGGCAAAGAACGGCGGCGACGGGCUCCGCUCGAGCAUUUUGCGGAAGAGAGAAAUAGGGGAGGGGGAGGAGCGAGGGAGAGCGCGAGGGGGUUCUAGGGGUGUCGUGGCGCUCGGGGCCAUUUCCAGCAACGAGCUAGCAGGCAGGAGGUGGCCAGGCGCGUGCCGGCGCUCACCACCAAACUGCUUUGUAACACCCACGAUGCGGCUAUAUCUCCCACGUGUCGAAGCACGACUUAGAGGCAUAACCGCAUUGUGGUUUUGUCGCAAGAAGGGUCAUCUUCACACAAUCCCAUGUAAUGAACAAGACUGGGAUAAAGAGUUGGCUUACAAUCGCCACUUCACACAAGUACUUAAAUAAAUCAUAUAUCAAUCAGAGUACACACAUAGUCCGACUACGGACGAAGCGAAAAGAAAAGAAGAUAACCCAACUGCUAGAUCCCCGAUCGUCCCAACUGGGCUCCACUACUGAACAACAUGAAACAAAACAAAGCAAUGACCAAUAUCUUCGUUGAGCUCCCUUCUGAGCUCGGUUGCAUCAUCUGCACUGGUAUCAUCGGCACCUACAACUGUUGUGAUAGUAUCUGAUGAGUCACGAGGACUCAACAAUCUCAAAACCCGCGAGAUCAAGACUAUUUAAGCUUAUGGGAAAGGAAGGGGUAAGGUGGUGAGGUUGCAGCAGCAACUAAGCAUAUGUGGUGGCUAACAUAGGCAAAUAAGAGCGAGAGGAGAAGCAAAGGAACGGUCGUGAAACUAGCAAUGAUCAAGAAGUGAUCCUGAACUCCUACUUACGUCAAACAUAACCGAAAAUCGUGUUCACUUCCCGGACUCCGCCGAAAAGAGACCGUCACGGCUACACACGCGGUUGAUGCGUUUUAAUUAAGUCAAGUGUCAAGUUCUCUACAACCGGAUAUUAACAAAUUCCCAUCUGCCACAUAACCGCGGGCACGCCUUUCGAAAGUUUAAUCCCUGCAAGGGUGUCCCAACUUAGCCCAUCAUAAGCUCUCACGGUCAACGAAGGAUAUUCCUUCUCCCAGGAAGAACCAAUCAGACUCGGAAUCCCGGUUUACAAGACAUUUUGACAAUGGUAAAACAAGACCAGCAAGACCACCCGACUGUGCCAACAAAUCCCGAUAGGAGCUGCACAUUCUCGUUCUCAGGGCACACCGGAUAAGCGAAGCGUACAGGUACCGACGUAAUCCAAGUUGCCAAGGAAUGGCCCCGCAUGGUGCUCUAGUUUGGACCAACACUCAGAGGAGCACUGGCCCGGGGGGUAAAAUAAAGAUGAGCCUUGAGUCUGCAGAACCCAAGGGAAAAAGGCUUAGGUGGCAAAUGUUAAAACCAAUGUUGGGCCUUGCUGGAGGAGUUUUAUUCAAAGCGAACUAUCAAGGGGGUCCCAUAAAUCACCCAACCGCAUAAGGAAGGCAAAAUCAAGGAACAUAACACCGGUAUGAUGGAAUCUAGGGCGGCAAGAGUGGAACAAAACACCAGGCAUAAGGCCGAACCUUCCACCCUUUACCAAGUAUAUAGAUGCAUUAUAAAUAAACAAGAAAUAUUGUGAUAUCCCAACAUAAUCAUGUCCAUCAUGGAGCAAUCUUCAACUUCACCUGCAACUAACAAUGCUAUAAGAGGGGCUGAGCAAAGCGGUAACAUAGCCAAGCAAUGGUUUGCUAGGAAGGGUGAAAAGGUUAGAGGCUGACCUAGCAAUAUGGGAGGCAUGGUAAACAAGUGAUAGGUAGCGCGACAUAGCGCUAGAACGAACAAACUAGCAAGCAAAGAUAGAAAUGAUAUCAUGGGUAAUGGUCAUCUUGCCUGAAAUCCCGCAAGGAAGAAGAACGAGACCAUGAAGAAGACAAACAUACGUAGUCGAACGAAUCCUCACAACUCCAGAACGAAACCGAAGCUAACGAGAGAAGCAAACCGGAAAGAAGCAAACAACAUGGUAAACACACAAGCAUAAACAUGUCAAGAUGCACAAACAAGUAUGAUGCAUGUCCGGUUUAAUGAGGCAUGGCAUGGCAAUAUGCACAAACAACACUACAAGUUAAGUGGAGCUCAAUAUGCAACGAGUUGCAUAUUGACGGAACACCACAUGAAUUAUAUAGUUCUCUCUCGGUUAUGCUACCAAACAAUAUUAAGUGUUGUAAAAUAUGGCAAGAGGUGAAGCAUAAAUAAACUAACUAUUUAGGCAAGUUUAAAUGAGGCCGGAAACAACAAACAACAAUUCCGGAAAAUCCUCAUGUCAUUUAGCAAUUUAAAGCAAGCAACAAUUUUAAGCGUUUAAAUGUUGUUAUCAUGAUGCGGAUGACAUAAACAAGUUUUAGGCAAUUUUUAUGAAGAUGUUGACAUCAGCAAGAUAUGGAACAUUUGGUCACCAUGGCGGAACGAAAAGGGUGCCACGACGGUGAAACAAAAAUGGUGCCAUGGCAACAUAUCGUUUUCGGUAGCUCACAGAGAUACCGGUGCAAAAGAAGUGGGCAUGCGGAUGCGAGUCAUGCAAGAUGGUGGGGUGAUCCCGGAUUCCGGCUUCCCACGGGACGGUGUCAUGGCAAAAGAGGGGCAUCGCAAGGACGAUUCGAUCAUGGUGCAAAACUCGAGCAUCUCAUACAACCAAGCACGCAUUCGUUCACCGGCGGUCGUCAUCUCGGGAUUAUACCUUUGAAGCGUGCAUUUUUGGAGCGGGUCAACUUCAAAGCGGUGUAGAGGAAGUAGUUGUUCACGGGCCGUAGUGGAGGUAGUCGUUCUCGCGACGGUAGUGGAAGUAGACGUUCAUGGGUCGUCAUGGGAAGUAGUCGUACAAGGCAACGGUAGAGGUACUCACGAUUUUGGCGACGGUAGUGGAAGUAGUGGUACACGGCGACGGUAGUCGUUCACGGGUCGUAGACGUUCCCGGGUCGUGGGUAGAGGUACUUGUUGAUGGUCGUCAUGGUAGUUGGCGAAUCCACGUAGUCGUACACAACUUGACGCAUCCAAACGAAGCAACACAAAAGGCCUCGGGUCUUCCUGGAUACCGGGUCUUGGCAGCGACAAGAGGGGAAAUAAAGCCAAUCGGGCAGUAAGGGGGUGGAGAUCUCGUGGAAGUUUGCCGUGAAGGGGCAGCAACCGAAGACAUCGAGUGGUGGAGGCGUCGGCCCCUGGUUCAAAACAGAAGCAAGGCGCUGGCCUCAAACAACGAAGGCGGCAGCAGGAACUCUGGCCGGCGAGGGCGCUGCUUGGGGAGGCGGAGAGGAAGGAGGCGCAACGCGGGAGGAGAAGCAGGGCGCGGCAAACCAUGGAGGGCGGCGGUGCCAUGGUCGUGCGGCCCAGGCGAGCUCGGCUGCCUGGACUCGCUGGCCGAAGUGGCGGCGGGGUCACCAGGUGGCGCGGGGACGAAGCAGCACAAGAGACGACGCGGGAGGAAGGUUGCAGGGGACGGGCCGAGGCAUGGGGUCGUCGGAGCAGCGCAUGGGCGACAGGGCCGCCGAAGGAGGCUCGCGUGGAGGGCGACGCUCAGCAGCGGGGCCAGCAGUAGGGCACCCGCGGGAGGCCGAGGCCGGCAGAGGUGCGGAGGCGGCGUGGCCAUGGACGACGGCGAGGAGGGAGACGUGGGCACGCGGCGCUCCUCUCUCUCUCUGCGACGAAGCAACGAGGGAGGAGGGGAUCGAGCGCUGGGCUGUCCCUGGCGAUGUGCGUGUGUGGGUGGCGGCGUGAAGGAAUGAGAGGGAGAGCGGAUCGAGAGAUGGGGAUCGAUCGGCCUAGGGUUAGAGCUGGUGGGGGCGGUUGGGCCUUGGGCCGGCUUAGUUGGUCGGGCCUAAGAGGCCUGGCUGGGCUCUCUUCUCCCUCUCUCUUUUAUUUACCAAAAGCAGUAAAUAGCAAAGAAAGGGUUGGAGAAAUAAUUUGAGCAUGGGGUAAUUUUCCCGGGCUCGCAAAAAUAUGCUCGUUCCAAGAAAAUAGGAAUGGCCAAGAUUGCAAGAUUUAAAUUCAAACUCAUUUGAAGUUAAUUCAAAUGGGUUUCAACUAGGACUUGAUAAAAGGAAGGUCCAAAAAUGUUCGAAUUUUUGGUGGAGCUCCGAAAAAUGACGAAAUAAUUUAUUGGACAAAGUUGGAGGCCAAGAAUUAAGAUAACAAAGGCAUUGGGAUUUAUUUGCAAGUGUGUUAUAAUCAAUUCCAAAUAAAUGGAAUAAUUUUAUAUAGCUCCAUAAUAUUGGGAGGAUAUGUUAUAAAGAGAAGUCACCCUUCCCUCGAUUUAAAUGGAUCGAAGAUCCAUACAAUUUAUUUAGAUGAGUUUUAAAAUUAAAUGGCAUGAUGGCAUGAUGACAUGAUGCAAUGCAAAAAUAAAAGAGCAAGCACAAAAGAAACACAUGGUGAAACUCGGAAACCCUGGAUGUCUUCUGGAGCGUCGGUCUCGGGGCGUUACAACACUCCACCACUACAAGAGGAUCUCGUCCCGAGAUCUAGAAUGGCACCGGAGGAAAACAGAAGAGGAAGAGAAGAGGUAAAACUAAGUUGCUUCUUUGACCAAUGAGUGAAACCAAAGAACCUUGAGAGGUUGAAAAGUUGAAAGAAAGAACACAACAGAGUUGAACACAAUUGAGAGCACUGCGGUAGAAAAUGAAACAAGGAACACCAUGUGAACCUUGGAGGUUGCAAAGCUAUGAAUGAUGAGUACAAUGGACAAGAAGGAAUUCGAAAGCGCUCUAGUUGAAACGAGAUAAACAAGGAACAAGGAAGAACAAAUUCGGACAGCACUCCGGUUGAAAAGAGAUGCAAGACUUGAUAAGAUGAAAAGAACUUAGCAGAGAACAUAACACUCCGGUUAAAUGGAUAAGCAAGAAAAGAACACGAACUUGACAAAACGACGUGAUGGUGAAGAGCACAACAUCACAAUGCCUCCGGAAGAAAUGAAAGAAUGGAAUGGAAUGAACGGAGGAAAACUUGAUCUUGAAAGAGCCCGCUUACAGGAAAAACUAGAAUGGAGUUGUUGGAUUAACAACAACGAAAGGAUAAGCUUGUUGUGGGCUUAUGGAAAACAUCUCAAAACAAUGAGGUGACAACCGGCCACUAACUGAAACAAUUGCUUGCUUGAGAUCAACGAAGAGAUGAAAACUGCUUCGCCGAGAGGAUAGGAGAAAACUUGGAUCAUUGAUAAGCACCACAAUAUCAACAUUCCUUGGGGAAGGCUUUUAGGUGAAAUAUGACACAAGAUAACUCCAACAAAGAGAUUGAUGGAUUUAAAAUACCUCAUUCUUGACAACAUAUGAAUCAUGAAACAUGAAGGAAAUUGUCAAGAGUGACAUAACACCAUCUCAAAAGAUAAGGUAGAGGAAUUGCACUUUGGAAUGCAAGAUGAAGAAUGCUUGAACUCCUCUGAAAAGAAUCUCGAUGAACACUUCGAGAAGGAAUUAAAUCCUUGAUGAACCAUCAUGUAGAGCCUCCAUGAAGAACUCCAGCAAUAAAAGAAUGAUAGAAAGAAAGAGAAGUUGAAAACACAAGGUGAAACCUUGCGAUGAUUUAGAUGGAGCUUCGCGAUGAGAUUAUCGAGAAAACAUGGAACUCCAGAAAAGGAAAAUAUGAAACACUAGAGCCGAGAAUUACUUCAUCAUGAACAAUCUCCGGAAGAAAAGAAUUAAUCACUUGGAUGAAACAAUAAUAAUAAUUAUGUCAUGCCUAUCCUUCACCAAUUUAAAUUGAUGACAAGCAACGGAUUCGGCAUACUACUUAUUCUCGUAGAAAGGAUUAAAGAGAGAUAUAGCGCCAACUGGAAAAAAGUCUUCAACAACCACCGGUAGGAUUGAAACAACGAAAGAAUGAAUGAAUUGAUACGAUAACAAAGGAAGCGAAAUCUUGAACGAACCGUCGUAAGAAUUGAAAAUGAACGUAGCAAUGGCACAAUUCACCGGGAAGGAUUGAAAAACAAAUGAAGAUACUUGAGGGGAUUUAGAUACAUGAGAACGAAGAGAUCAUGAAGUGAUUAGAGGAUAUUUGAACGAUUCACCGGUAAGAUUUGGAGAAUGAUAGCUACACUCUAAGAAUGAAGAAUUAAGACAUCACGGGAUUCGGAGGAAAGAAAUGGAAACAACUAAUGAAAUUCUCCGGAUAGUUGAAAAGAAUUCUCACAAUCGAAAACAAUUAUGAGAGGAUGGCAGCAAGCUAGAACCAUGAAUCUCUGGAAGAACGGGUAAGGAUUUAAGAGGAACUCUUCUUCGGUCUUCACAUGCUGAGAAUGAUGAUGAGAACCACGAUGAAUUGUUGAGACACUCCAGAAUGAAAAUUAGAAAGGUUGAACCAAUGAUGAAAAGAAUUUGAAAGAUCUUGGAGAAGGAAUAUGACCGAUGAUAAUUCAUUCUUACGUCAAACUUGGAAAUGAAUUUGACAAUCGCUCCUGAUAAUUCGAAGAGUCAGGUAAGAUCCUGGGAAAAGACCUGUGGGUUAGGGCCCACUCAAAAGAAACACCGUUGAAAGAUUACUUGAAAGGGAUAUUGCAAUGGUUGAAUUAAAUAGCUUGAAUUAGAGAAAAACCUCGAAGUACUCGAAUGGAUUAAGAAUGGAAACAUGAUUCUUCUGAGAUAUCUUCAGUACUCCAAAACAAAUGAAUGGCGAGAAGUUGAUGAUUAAGAGGUGCACCGGCAUGAGAAAACAUUUGAAAGGAGGAAAGAGAUAUGAUCGACAAAGCUUGAAUUGGAUCCACCGGAGAAGAAACAACAAUGAAGGAUGAUGAACUUGAAACUGUUGAGCAUCUUCAUGGAAAAUCACCGGAUAAGAACAUUGACGGAAAAGAAUGUAGAGACUUCUCACAAAUAAAAGGAUACAUGAUUAAGAAAUCCGAGUCCUUGAAGAAAAAGGGUGGGAGGGCGGGAAACAAAGGUAACUUGGGACGGAUGGAAUGGAUACCAUCGAGAAAACUUAGAAUUGAUCUUGCGAAUGUUGGAAUGAUCGGAUCCACUUGAAGAGAAGCACGCCGGUAGGAAAAGAAUUAACAUGACAACCUCAAUGAUCAAAAGGAUUAGUAUUCACAUAGCAAUAUGAGAACACCAUUUAGGGAAGGUAUGGAUUCAACAUUUGACUUCGAAGCAACUCGAAUACCAGAAAUAAAACAAAACAAAGGAUUUGGCUUGCAGAAUAAGCCGGAACAAACAUAUGACAGAGAUUUCGUUCGAAGUUUCCGUGGUGGGGCCCACACGGGCUCGAGUGUACAGCACCAUCAUGUACAAGGCAGUGCACAUGACAUAAGAAGUUUCCCCGAACCAGCAUAGCCAAGGGUUCUUUAAGACACAAUGAGAAGACUUUAAAAAACGACCGUGGAAAGGCGGACCACUAGACGUCGAACCCCAAUCUCAUAUCAUGCAUCUGUCGGAAAGAAAAAAAACUAGAGCUAAUUGAAUUCCCACCUAUAAAACUCCUGAAACUUUCUGGUUAUGCAAUCUGGUGUUGGGGCUACAGGGGAAGCAAUAUAUACCUCACCCAAAACUAACAAUCCCUACAUCCAAGCUGUAUCCAUCCGUCAACACAUAACCAAGAAAACUCAGGAAAUCGUGUACCUCAACCUUCGAAAAGCAUCCUUUAUACAAGCUAUGGCAAUACUCCCGAACUCCCCAGUACUGGGUGAUGUCGAGGUUAUCUCACCAACAACUGCAUAAAAGAGAUUUUCGAUGUCGGCAAAACUCAGGUAUUCCAGAACUGCAACGAUAAAAUUAUGACGACAACACCUCAGAGCUCAACUCCCCGGGACACUGCCACAACACCCUAAAUGUCAGGAGGCACCAAGAACAAUGUUCUCGUCAUAAGAAUAUCGGAACGAUCCCAAGAUACCCGCGUGAUCCUAAAAAAAAAUAGUGAAAUUUGAGGAGAGGAAAGUCAAAACAUCUACGUCAGGAGACCUCACCAGAGCGACGAAGGGACUGAGGAGUAAAAAGAAUCCUACUCUCCGAUAUAUAUAAUCCUAAGACUCAAAACAUUUUUGUUAUAGACUCAACAACGCCAGCAAACAAUCAAGCAGGGGGCUCCUAAGUCGGGGAUGGCUCUGAUUACGAACUUGUAACACCCACGAUGCGGCUAUAUCUCCCACGUGUCGAAGCACGACUUAGAGGCAUAACCGCAUUGUGGUUUUGUCGCAAGAAGGGUCAUCUUCACACAAUCCCAUGUAAUGAACAAGACUGGGAUAAAGAGUUGCCUUACAAUCGCCACUUCACACAAGAACUUAAAUAAAUCAUACAUCAAUCAGAGUACACAAAUAGUCCGACUACGGACGAAGCCAAAAGAAAAGAAGAUAACCCAACUGCUAGAUCCCCGAUCGUCCCAACUGGGCUCCACUACUGAACAACAUGAAACAAAACAUAGCAACGACCAAUAUCUUUGUUGAGCUCCCAUCUGAGCUCGGUUGCAUCAUCUGCACUGGUAUCAUCGGCACCUGCAACUGUUGUGAUAGUAUCUGGUGAGUCACGAGGACUCAACAAUCUCAAAACCCGCGAGAUCAAGACUAUUUAAGCUUAUGGGAAAGGAAGGGGUAAGGUGGUGAGGUUGCAGCAGCAACUAAGCAUAUAUGGUGGCUAACAUACGCAAAUAAGAGCAAGAAGAGAAGCAAAGGAACGGUUGUGAAGCUAGCAAUGAUCAAGAAGUGAUCCUGAACUCCUACUUACGUCAAACAUAACCCAAAACCGUGUUCACUUCCCGGACUCCGUCGAAAAGAGACCAUCACGGCUACACAUGCGGUUGAUGCAUUUUAAUUAAGUCAAGUGUCAAGUUCUCUACAACCGGAUAUUAACAAAUUCCCAUCUGCCACAUAACCGUGGGCACGGCUUUCAAAAGUUUAAUCCCUGCAGGGGUGUCCCAACUUAGCCCAUCAUAAGCUCUCACGGUCAACGAAGGAUAUUCCUUCUCCCAGGAAGACCCGAUCAGACUCGGAAUCCCGGUUUACAAGACAUUUCGACAAUGGUAAAACAAGACCAGCAAGACCACCCGACUGUGCCGACAAGUCCCGAUAGGAGCUGCACAUAUCUCGUUCUCAGGGCACACCGGAUAAGCGAAGCAUACAGGUACCGACGUAAUCCAAGUUGACAAGGAAUGGUCACGCACGGUGCUCUAGUUUGGACCAACACUCAGAGGAGCACUGGCCCGGGGGGUAAAAUAAAGAUGACCCUUGAGUCUGCAGAACCCAAGGGAAAAAGGCUUAGGUGGCAAAUGUUAAAACCAAUGUUGGGCCUUGCUGGAGGAGUUUUAUUCAAAGAGAACUGUCAAGGGGGUCCCAUAAAUCACCCAACUGUGUAAGGAACGCAAAAUCAAGGAACAUAACACCGGUAUGACGGAAACUAGGGCGGCAAGAGUGGAACAAAACACCAGGCAUAAGGCCGAGCCUUCCACCCUUUACCAAGUAUAUAGAUGCAUUAUAAAUAAACAAGAAAUAUUGUGAUAUCCCAACAUAAUCCUGCCCAUCAUGGAGCAAUCUUCAACUUCACCUGCAACUAACAAUGCUAUAAGAGGGGCUGAGCAAAGCGGUAACAUAGCCAAGCAAUGGUUUGCUAGGAAGGGUGAAAAGGUUAGAGGCUGACAUGGAAAUAUGGGAGGCAUGGUAAACAAGUGAUAGGUAGCGCGACAUAGCGAUAGAACGAAGCAACUAGCAAGCAAAGAUAGAAAUGAUAUCAAGGGUAAUGGUCAUCUUGCCUGAAAUCCCACAAGGAAGAAGAACGAGACCAUGAAGAAGACAAACAGACAUAGUCGAACGAAUCCUCACAAAUCCGCAACGAAACCGAAGCUAACGAGAGAAGCAAACCGGAAAGAAGCAAACAACAUGGUAAACACACAAGCAUAAACAUGUCAAGAUGCACAAACAAGUAUGAUGCAUGUCCGGUUUAAUGAGGCAUGGCAUGGCAAUAUGCACAAACAACACUACAAGUUAAGUGGAGCUCAAUAUGCAACGAGUUGCAUAUUGACGGAACACCCCAUCAAUUAUUUAGUUCUCUCUCGGUUAUGCUACCAAACAAUAUUAAGUGUUGUAAAACAUGGCAAGAGGUGAAGCAUAAAUAAACUAACUAUUUAGGCAUGUUUAAAUGAGGCCGGAAACAACAAACAACAAUUCCGGGAAAUCCUCAUGUCAUUCAGCAAUUUAAAGCAAGCAACAAUUUUAAGCGUUUAAAUGUUGUUAUCAUGAUGCGGAUGACAUAAACAAGUUUUAGGCAUUUUUUAUGAAGAUGUUGACAUGAGCAAGAUAUGGAACAUUUGGCCACCAUGGCGGAAUGAAAAGGGUGCCACGACGGCGAAACAAAAAUGGUGCCACGACAACAUAUCGUUUCCGGUAGCUCACGGAGAUACCGGUGCAAAAGAAGUGGGCGUGCAGAUGCGAGUCAUGCAAGAUGGUGGGGCGAUCCCGGAUUCCGGGUUCCCUCGGGACGGUGGCAUGGCAAAAGAGGGGCAUCGCAAGGACGAUUCGAUCAUGGUGCAAAACUCGAGCAUCUCAUACAACCAAGCAUGCAUUCGUUCACCAGCGGUCGUCAUCUCGGGAUUAUACCUUUGAAGCGUGCAUUUUCGGAGCGGGUCGACUUCAAAGCGGUGUAGAGGAACUAGUUGUUCACGGGCCGUAGUGGAGGUAGUCGUUCUCACGACGGUAGUGGAAGUAGACGUUCAUGGGUCGUCGUGGGAAGUAGUCGUACACGGCAACAGUAGAGGUACUCGCGAUUUUGGCGACGGUAGUGGAAGUAGUGGUACACGGCGACGGUAGUCGUUCACGGGUCGUAGACGUUCCCGGGUCGUGGGUAGAGGUACUUGUUGAUGGUCGUCGUGGUAGUUGGCGAAUCCACGUAGUCAUACACAACUUGACGCAUCCAAACGAAGCAACACAAAAGGCCUCGGGUCUUCCUGGAUACCGGGUCUUGGGAGCGACAAGAGGGGAAACAAAGCCAAUCCGGCAAUAAGGGGGUGGAGAUCUCAUGGAAGUUUGCCGUGAAGGGGCAGCAACCGAAGACACCGAGCGAUGGAGGCGUCCGCCCCUGAUUCAAAACAGAAGCAAGGCGCUGGCCUCGAACGAUGAAGGCGGCAGGAGGAACUCUGGCCGGCGAGGGCGCUGCUUGGGGAGGCGGAGAGGAAGGAGGCGCGCCGCGGGAGGAGAAGCAGGGCGCGGCAAACCAUGGAGGGCGGCGGUGCCAUGGUCGUGCGGUCCAGGCGAGCUCGGCGGCCUGGACUCGCUGGCCGAAGCAGCGGCGGGGUCACCAGGUGGCGCGGGGACAAAGCAGCAGGAGAGACGGCGCGGGAGGAAGGUUGCAGGGGACGGGCCGAGGCAUGGGGUCGUUGGCGCAGCGCAUGGGCGACAGGGCCGCCGGAGGAGGCUCGCGUGGAAGGCGAUGCUCGGCAGCGGGGCCAGCAGCAGGGCAAUCGUGGGAGGAUGAGGCCGGCGGAGGUGCGGAGGCGGUGUGGCCAUGGACGACGGCGAGGAGGGAGACGUGGGCACGCGGCGCUCCUCUCUCUCUCUGCGACGAAGCAACAAGGGAGGAGGGGAUCGAGCGCUGGGCUCUCCGUGGCGAUGUGCAUGUGUGAGUGGCGGCGUGAGGGAAUGAGAGGGAGAGCGGAUCGAGAGACGGGGAUCGAUCGGCCUAGGGUUAGAGCUGGUGGGGGCGGCUGGGCCUUGGGCCGGCUUAGUUGGUUGGGCCUAAGAGGCCUGGCUGGGCUCUCUUCUCCCUCUCUCUUUUAUUUACCAAAAGCAGUAAAUAGCAAAGAAAGAAAAAGGAGAUAAAGAAAGGUUGGAGAAAUAAUUUGAGCAUCGGGUAAUUUUCCCGGACUCGCAAUAAUAUGCUCGUUCCAAGAAAAUAGGAAUGGCCAAGAUUGCAAGAUUUAAAUUCAAACUCAUUUGAAUUUAAUUCAAAUGGGUUUGAACUAGGACUUGAUAAAAGGAAGGUCCAAAAAUGUUCGGAUUUUUGGUGGAGCUCCGAAAAAUGACGAAAUAAUUUAUUGGAAAAAGUUGGAGGCCAAGAAUUAAGAUAACAAAGGCAUUGGGAUUUAUUUGCAAGUGUGUUAUGAUCAAUUCCAAAUAAAUGGAAUAAUUUUAUAUAGCUCCAUAAUAUUGGGAGGAUAUGUUAUAAAGAGAAGUCACCCUUCCCUCGAUUUAAAUGGAUCAAAGAUCCAUACAAUUUAUUUAGAUGAGUUUUAAAAUUAAAUGGCAUGAUGGCAUGAUGACAUGAUGCAAUGCAAAAAUAAAAGAGCAAGCACAAAAGAAACACACGGCGAAACUCGGAAACCCUGGAAGUCUUCUGGAGCGUUGGUCUCGGGGUGUUACAUGCUUGGUGCGCUGGCACGGGGAAGAAGACGGGAGUACCCCUGGUGGGGUGGGCCAUGAAGCUGGGCCGCCAGGUAAGGCCAGGUUGGUUCUUUCUCUCUCUUUUCAAUUUUCUGUUUUCUAAUUUUUGCAAAUUUGUUUUAAUUUGGUUUGCUAACCAAAUUAUUUUUGCAACCCUCUGGAAAUUAUUGUGGAUGUAAUAAGGUUUAUCCUAGAGCUCCACAAAGUAUUCGAGGAUCAUUGGAGCAAUAAAAAUAUUUAUAGAAUUUAUUUGCUCCAACUCAAAUACAAUUAUGAUUUAAUUCAAUGACCAAAAUGUCCUGGAAAAAUAUGCAUCAUCUCUGGUAGAGGCUUUCACCUUUUUCCAUAAAUCAUGAACAUUUUAUAAGGAUAUUUUGAGUUCAUUGAAAAUAUUUCGGUUGAACCUAUUUGAAUUCUUUUGGUGCUAGGGUUUUAACAUCCCCAUUUCAAGAUUAAGUGCACAUUAAACAUGAUGCAAAACAUGACUAGCUAGCCCAAAGCAGACCAGAACUAGGGAUGUGACAACUCACCCCCACUAAACAAGAAUCUCGUCCCGAGAUUCAAGACGUGAGUUAAGAAGACAAAGGGACACAAGCUAACACGAUCUUCAUGAUCCAAUUGAUCUUCUUGAAGAUGUUGAUUCAUUGAUUCAAAUUGAUAUUGACGUCUUUGCUUUUGAGGUCUUCAUCCAACACAAUGACAAGAAGGAAGUAAAACUUCUACAAUAAUCGAUCUUCACGAAGAUCGAGCAACUCUGGAUCGACUCAUGGUUUGAGACGUAAAAACAUCUCUCGAGUUGAGACACAAAACACACAUAAGGGGUGAUGGUAAGGAGCCGAUGACGAAGGUUCAAUUUUGGUAGGCAGCAAUUCCACACUCAAGUAGAUGGUGAGUAAGUGUCAAAGUAGCCAGGAGAUAAUUUUUCGUGAUUCCAUAACGGGGCACCUUAGAAGAGGUGACUCGUUGGAUUAUCCCCUGAAGUGGCAAAAAGAAUUACUUUUGAUAUAGAGAUCAUUGAAACUCCCUAUACCAGGCUAGGGCAAUUCGCAACCGACCGUUUGAAAAAGUCGGAAAGGAUGGUAUACUCAGACUAGAAUGGAUGAUGUGGAUUACCUUGUUGAAGACAACGCAAUGGAUGAUUUUUGAUUAUCAUCAGGAAUGGAUGGAACCCAUGGUGGAAUGGCAUAAUGGUGGUGCAAGCUGGGAGCAAAAUGCAAAUGUCGGAAAUGAUUCUAGUAACUGGGGAGGAACUCAACAGUAGGGAAUAAUUCCACUGUUGGAGUGGUUAUAACAUAACCGAAGAAAACUUGAAGCAAUCCUAGUUAGUGCCGGUGAUAAUACCUGGUGCUUGUGCAUGCUCUAAAGAACUUGAGAAUUUCCAUAUUCAUCAAGGUUUUACCAAUAUCCGUGUCAAGGAUCCUGGCAACACAACAUACUACCAUGAUGAAUAAUGGUGGAGGAUGCACAUGCAAAGGAAUAUAACACCUUCUCAGAUUUCACCUUAGCAAGGCCAAGGGACAAAAAAAUCUAGAUGAUCGACCGAGAGACAUUUAGCACUCUGCUUCUAAUGUUCUCCUUGAUGUGCUAGUGCAACCCAUUAGUUAAAAUGGUUUGGUACUAGAACAUCAAGUAACAGGUGAGACUUCGGGAACACAAAAAAUCCAUAAAAGACAACUAGGGAGUAAAUCCUACAAAAUCCUUAUGGGGAGGUGGCAAACUUCCUCAAUCAAGACGCUACAAUAAUAAGUCUUCCGGCUAGGUGUGUUGGCCGCGGCAUCCACUUUACCGAGUCACAAAGAGACCAAUAUUAUAGAUCUUGAGAAACGUUCCAACCAUCAUAUCUGCCUGCGAUUUGGAUCUGGUUGGUGUCAGGAUAUUCCAGACUCAUCGAGUCUAGAAAGAAAAAUUGUAAGUUUGCAACACAAAUCGACGAGAUGACAUUGCAGGAUUCUCGAGAAAUGGACUAUGAUAGGAAGCUCCAAAACAUGAGCUGGUUCUGCUACAAACAAGUGAACACGUUGUCCCAGACAAGCAGGCCACGUGGUAGUCUUAUAAUAAAACACUAUCGAGUUCAAGUUGGGAAACCAUCAUUUCGGAUAACGAGGUCCCUACAUAAGUCAUAUGAUUAGCUCUUAUGAAGAAACUUCUUCUCCUUGAACAGUUCAAUCAGUGGCUUGGUGUGCUAGGGACACAUAUAGAAUGGAGGUAGCGAGCCUAUCAAACCAUAGCAUACUUCGCACAUGCAUGACUGACUUGGGAUGGUUCCAGAGCAAACAAAAACAAUCUGUCUUGAACUCAUGGCGGCAACUUGCACCAAAUGCACAUGAAUCUGAGUAAGUCACUUCUUUCAUCCAACACAUGCUUCAUGAAUGGGACAUGAAGAUAAUGCUUAUAAAGUUUCCAACACUAGCUUAAUGUUCAACAAAAUCAUGGAGAAGUUAGGAAUGUUUUCAAUGAGCUCAACAACCAUUCAUCCAGGUUUCGAUAUAAAUGGAAUUCCAUAAUUAUGUGAACAUGGUGAUAACACUGGUCAGACCAAAGUAUGUAAUGGUGUAUGCUCGAGGGAUCAACCACGAGUAAGACAACAUUAUGAAUAUUGUUGGUUUUGACUUGAUUUGACGAUAGCCCAUAAGCAAAUCAAAGAUUUCGGUAAGACAAUAGAUCCAACAAUUGACACGAGGAUCAGUCAAUGAAGAUAUCAUCUUUCUUCAACACACACGCACAAGGGUAUCCCUUGGAAUGAACUGAGUCGGACAAGCUUUUAUCUUCCAACUCUCCAAGUUGUUGUUCAGCUUAACCAACUAGCUCAGGGUAUCCAACACAGAUUCUUGGAGUAAGGGUGGUUUACAAGAAAACCAACUUGAUCACAAACUCAACAUAGCGGUCAGGUGACGACCCGGUGAUACUUUUGAGAAGAUAUCCGGAAAAUCAUGAACCACUGAUAUGUUAUAAGCUCGAGAACAAUCUUGCUUUUCAGGGAAAGAUGAUAUGAUCAAAAGAGCGAGGAUUUGAAAUAAUCCUAACUCAUCGAUCGAAGGUGCACCGGAAAUAAGGACUAGGUAGCAUGAUCAACCUUGGGGUGAUGAUUCAACAUUCAACACAUAAGGAUAAGAUUAUUGUCCAUUAACUACCAAGCAACACAGUUGCUAGGAGUAUUGAUUUCACACAUCACGAUUCACUUGUCGGCAUCCCGGUUGCGAUAACACAGGACCGAGGAAUGAAUGAUGAUGGUGUGGGGACCCCGACUCAUAAGUCGUGAUCACCGAAUGCACGUGUACAGUGAUCCCAGAGAUCAAUGCUCACUGAACACACAGAAGCUGAAUAAUAGGAGUCUUACAUCCAAACAUACCGUAUUACACAAGUAGGACCAUUAUGGUCAAGUCUUGAGUAUAACAUUGCAGAGGAAAUCUUCGUCGAUAACUUGGACCCAUGCCAUCUGCCUUAACCCUACAGGCAUUCUGACUGGGAAGCGUCCUAGCUCUCAUGUUCGUCACCAAAGCAUUCUUCUUCAUAUCCUGUUCUUUUAUGCCUGGCCAAUAAAAUAACCAGUGGCAAGCCAAUGAGUACUUUGAAUGUACUCGCAAGCAACCCAUGUUUUGGUUCAAGAUACAACAAUGCAUGAUGUAGGUAAAUUUUUGCAGAAACCUAGUUUUGAGUGCAAUGACAUGUUCAACAAUUUGUAAGACAUGCAUCAAGAGAAUUCAACUAACCAUGAGGACAGGUUACAUGUAUCAACAUAAAUAGAGUGGGCACCAACCCAUCUCAAUCACGUCAAGUCCUUUGUCUUGACCCAAGUAGUUAUCCAAACACACACACUGGUUUGUAAACUCUGGACAUAGUUUAAGCAGCACCGCCCAACUGUCCUUGACCGUGGACACGGCUAUUCGAAUAGUUUUACACUCUGCAGAGGUUGCACACUGUACCCACAAGAUCCGGGGAACUUCCGUGUCAUCCACGACCCGCGAUACCUCAAGUACCCGGGGUAAGCACCCGAUCACUACCUUUCCUAGACGACACUAACAUGGAGUCCACUCGAUUGGUAGUAACCCCCGUGCCCAACAUUAUCACAUAACAUUUUCGUGGAGCCACGCUCCAUAAUCAUCUGUCAUCACAAGCACGGGGUACCAACGGUGUGUCCGGUGCCCCAUAAAAAUGUUCUUGGCCGCCCUACCUGGCACGACCCCGUCCCGAGAGAGCGCACCAAUAACUCUCCCGUCACUAGUAAUGUGGGCUCCAAGCUAGUAUCGGUCUAGGUAAUCAAUAAUGCCCUUUCCCAUAUAAGGGUAGAGUGGUUGCGCAUGUAAGGUUGGGACAGUCAUCAAAUCUUAAAUCUAAUCCGUUUUCGAAAACAACACACACUUUCCUCGGUACACCACUUCAUCAUCAAGUGGUUACCCAUCUCAUCAUCUCCCUCGGGCAUAAGUGGCACCCAACGGGGAUUUCGAAAAGUCUUUUGAAAAUGCAUUGCCUCCUUCACCAUGCAUAAUCCCGUCCUUUUUUGCGUAGCAACUACUUUAGCAUCCUAUCUACUCUCACCGGCAUAACCCUCAUAAGAAGGUAGGGUCAUGCACAAUGCAAGUAUCAACGAGGAAGUAACAGAGGCAACCAACCCACGUGGUUCACCAUCUCAUCAUGAUCCCGAUGCAACAAUAAUAAAGAGCUAUAUGACAUGCAUAAAAAGGGUUUCAUAGACAUGGUCAAAGGGCUGCUUACCUGUUUCAUCAGACUCUUGAGAUCUUCUGGUCCUUCUCCAGGUACUCCGUCUACUUUGUCAACUAACGUCGGAAACAAUCAUAAUAAGCAACACAACAAGGCAAAAAUAAAAGUGCUCUAAAAAUAUGAGUUGUACUUUUCUAGGAAACCUCUGGUCAUAUGAGGAAUGACCAAGGUGAUCUCAUUGGAAGUGGGUCAAUGGAUAUUUCUAAACAUUUCAAUAUGAUGGAAUCAAUGGAUUUGAUGGAUCCACAAGUUGUACACAGAAUGCCAUUUUAGAAAAAUGAGUAAAAGUACCCAUUAAUUUAGGCAUGAUUUUAGAAACAUUUAGAAAUUGGUUUCACUGGAUUUGGAGUUGAAAUGAAUACAAUAUGGAUUUUUGAAGUGGACUUAUGUGGAUAAAUGACCUUUUAAAAAGGUUCAGUGAAAACCAGGGACAACAAAAAUGUCCACUAUGGCCUAUUAAAUAGAGCUUGAUUUAUGGAGCCACUGGAAAUUUGAAUCAUCAAAUUUGGAUUAUAUUUGACUUAUUUGUGGAUUUUACAAAUUUACAGAAAAGAAAAAGGAAAAGGAAAGGGUUUUACCCUUAUCCAGCGCAUUGGGCGCAGUUUAGCAGUGGGCCGGCCCAGCGGCUCGGCCACGCAGACGACAGGGCGACGCUGAUGGCGCCCAGCUGGAGUACGCCUUUGCUGCGGGGACAGGGAGAAAGCGAGUACGCCUCCACUUGCCAGCGUGGCCCCGUGGCUGGGCCACUGACAAGCGGGGCCCGCCUGUCAGGUUCGUCCUCCACCUCCCGCGCGGGUGCGAUAGGAGACAGAGGAGGUGUUCGACACCGGCCGCCGGCGCUACAGGGCGUCUCCGGUGAUGCUUUGCCCAUCGGCAUGCUCAAGGGACCCAGCCGCGUCCAAUCGUGGGUGGAACGGUCGCCCAGGGGCACCGGGUCGAGCAAGGCGUCGACCGCGGCGGACGAGGCUGACGGUGGUGAUGCAGCUCGACGGAACAGCCACGGGGAGGAGGGGGAGAAUCACGGGAGGGUCUCGCUGUGACGGUGGUUGCGCUCUAGUGCGGUCCAGAGGGAAGGAGGAGGAGAGAUGGGUGCGGAUUUAGGCGGAGACCGACGGCAAGGCUCCGGCCAUGGUGACGGAUGGAGAGCGCGAGGAGGGGAGAGGAUUGGUCCAGGGGUCUCUGGGAGGGAGAGAGAGCGAAAGGAGGCCAGAGAGGGCCCCGAGGGUGGCCUUUUAUGGCGGGGCGAUGGUGCACCAUGGGCUCGUGCGCCGGCGAGCUCGCGCUCGUCGCUACGGCCCUCGGGAAGGUGGUGCACCGAGUGUAGGGAGUUCAUGGAGGUGGACUACGCCCAGGGGGAGAAGAGAGGGAGCAGGGAAUGCGGCAUGGCGGGUCCCCGCCGCGGCCAGUGACUGGCGCGCUCGGGCGGCGUUCUGUCCGCACGCGAGGAGAGCCGGAGAGGGAGAGAGAGGAUGGGGACGAUAGUGUAGCGUGAUGCGGACGUCGAGGUGACCUCGGGGGACACGACGGGGAGGCCCUAGGUGGCCGGGGGGUGGUUGGAAGGGGGCGGCUACAGUGCGGGUGUGCACUGUAGCGCGCUCUGGAGCACGCCAGUUGCAUGCCAGGGCAUGUCUUUGGCUUGUAGGGCGUGGCCACUUGUGUCUAGGUUGUUUAGGGAGGAGUAAACAAAGGGGAGAGGGCCUUGGAUGCCCUGGACAGCCAGUAGGAGAGGAGAGAGGUUGAGAGAGAGAGAGAGGGAAAUGGGCUGUCCAGAGAGAGAAAGUGAGGGUUUCACCCCCAAAUAAUUGAUCUGAGAUGCAGCCAUUGCUACUGGAGGUAGAAGAGGUCUAGGAGGGGCUGUGGUAAAAUGUUGAGCUCAAGGAGAUUAGUGGAAGAUGUCAAAAUGGUGAUUUUGGAAAAAUUGCAGAAGGUGUUUGUUGUUGGUUUGGGAAAGAAAAUUAAUUCCACUUGCCAUGAGAAUUAACAGGAUGGAAUGGCACAUAGAAGUAGGGUGUUCCACCAAGUUUGAGCUCAUUUGGGCAAAGUUGCCAAUGCAACUUUUGUAAACCCUAGAAAUUAGCAGAAAUGAACUUGUGUAGAUCUAGUUGAUAAAAUCACUUCUCCUUGAUGCACCACUUGGUGUAGUGGCCUCUUUUGGUCAUGUGAACAUGUAUACAGAAGUUGAGGUCAAAAGGAGAAAGUUUCCAAUGUAGAGUUGUUCAAUUUUGGUUCUGGACAGGAAGGGUUUUGGGGCACUUUGAUCAAGUUAACUUGUUCUCCAACUUGUGCCAUUUGGUCUAGAUGAAUAAAUAGACCAUUGGAGCAUGUACACAAGGUUUGAGAACAUUUGGAAAUGUUUGGCAAUGUAAAGUUGCUCAAACUUCAAAAUGGACAGAAAUGGUUCUGAGGGGAUUUGAUGAUGUUAUAUUGUUCUCCAAGUCAUGAGACUUGGCAAGAUUAUCAAAUAUGUCAUAUGUGACAUGAUAGAAUUUUCUUGGAAUAUUUGCAGAAUAUUUCCUUUGUAAAUAUUUCAAAAGCUUGAAAUAUCCCGAAAGGGUUUUUCAGGGAUUUGACCAAUAUUUUGAACAUGACCAUGUUUUGAAACUCUUAUAUAUGGACAAUAUAUGUCCACUGAGUUUCCCUGAUUUUUGUCAAAUAUUUUUAAAACAAUAAAAUAAUUUUUCCCUAUUAAAGACCAUUUGUGGCCUUAAGAAAAAGCUUUUAAAUAAAAUAGAAAAAUAACUUUUAAAAUUAUAUUUUUGUUGUUUCUGGGUAUCCUAUAUCUAAUAGGAGUCAAAAAUAUUUUUGGAAAGAAUUUUACUGCCCUUAAUUAAGUAUUUGCAGUGCAAACCUCAAUUCAGGGGUUUUUGAGAAACUAAUUUUAGAAAAUACUUUUUGGCCAAAUUAUUUUUGUAAGAAAAUACUAUAUUGCUCUAUACACAUGGCAUGAUCAUUGGGCAGAAGUUUGGGGCAAGGAAAUGAAGUAUUGAAGUUGGAGGAUUUAUUUGAUUUUUAGAGCACUUGCAAACAGCAGACAAACAUUCAAUCAAGGCAAAGACAAAACACUCAAAAGUUUUUGUCAAACCACAUUUUAGCAUGAUUUAUUGACUUAAGUGUUGUGGCAUGAAAAUCAGGGUGUGAUAGAUGGCGAGAAGUAUCAGUGUAUCAAGAAUUCAUAAGAGGGUGUGCAAUUCUCACGAUACUCUUGUGAAGAAAGAGGGUGAUACUCCGAGGUAGAACAGAACAAAAGCGGGAUUGGCAUUUUGAUCUGCUGAAUACAACUGCUUUGACCAAAAGCUAGAAAUGGAUAAGGUACUGGAGUUUGUUUCUCCUAGUCAUUCCGAAAUGGAAUGGCUUGUUGGACCACAGUAAUAAUAGGCAUCGAUAACACGAAUGCAUAACCAUCCUGACUAUCAAUUGAUAGACGAGAGCAAGGAAACAACUAAAGAGGGACAACUCAAAAGAACAUAUGAUUUUCUGAGUUGUGGAUGCAUGGAUUAGCAUGUCGAACGAGUUCAACAUGUUUCUUCCGGAUAACACAUGCAGAGAGGUUGGUUUGGCAGAAUCAUAAUAUAGAAGGGGAAGUCAUCGAGAGCACUCUUGUUGUGAUCUUUUGGUUGUCGAACUUCUGCCAUAUUGGUUCAUGGUAUUGGAAGAAGGAUUACCACGAACUUGAGGACUAUCGCAAAGGUUACUAACAACCUAAAGGAACUAGCAAAUACUACCAACAGGAAGUAGGUAGGGUGAAUCUCGGUUCGAAAACCUAGGAAUAGAAUACCUACUAACUAAAUUGCAUCAUGGGAUGCUUUCGAGAAUGACGGCCAGAAUCAUCACACUGUAAACACAAAACAUGGCUAGAUUACUAGGUAAUACUCUAGACACCUAGGGUCAUAAUAAUAGCUCCAACAUAUACGUCAAGGCAAUAGAGUACCUCAACUUACUGGUUAGUGUGGUUAAUCUGGCCCAAUGGAACAUCAGAAUUAGGAGGGAGGGAUUUGCAAAUGCAUCAGAAUAUUUAGAAAUGUGGGAUGACUCGGACAACAUAACCGCUGUAAAUGCUGGAAAAGAUUUGAAACAUACUGCAAAUAUGGUGGCAUAACCACUCAGAAUCACAAUAUCACGGUACUGAGACCAACUACGAACAACCGGAGGUAGUAGAAACUGAACUGAGGCUUAAGUCCAACAAUCUUAUAAGUCUAUGGAUUAGUAACAUGUGAUCCUGAUAGAAAGAUGAGAAAGCUUAGUUUCUUAAUCCUGUAGGAAAGAUAAGAUGACUAAGAUUAGAAGGGCAUGAGGUAUAAGGAGUAAAAAGAGCCUUACGUUACAUCCCACACUCAAUUCCCUUAUAUAACUAAAGGCCUUCUAGACUCAACUUCGACCAGUUUGGCUUGGUAAUCCUACAGGCAGUCAAGCUCUAAUACCAAAGCUGUCAGGACCCCAACUCAAUGGCACAUCGAUCUAGCAUGUAACACCUCAUAUCACUUUGCGGCCUCACACACGGUAUUCCCACGGGUGUCGCCUUACCAGGCCCGGGACCAUUUGCACCUUUUGGCACACGUAUAUGAUAGUGUCGCUAGCAUCCAAUUACAGGGACAGGCAUACAUGAGCCAGCAACGAGUGUGUCGGUCAUCAGCGAAUGAAUCUGGGCUGUAGCAACUGGGCUAGAAGGACUCCGGUAAACCCGGCUGUAGCGGGCUAACAUGACUCCGCUAAACACCGCAUGACAUUUCCCCGAAGGGACAGACACAGGAACGAAGAAGGACACAUGCCGGCAAGCCUAAGUGUUCCGGAGCAGUAGCAAGCUACCAAGGCUCAGUGAAAGCACUAGGAGACAUUUCCCGGUAAGAGAGGUUACCAAGGAUAAACAACUGGAUAGUAAGAUCCCACACAUACCAAGCAUUUCAAUAACAUACACACAAUAUGCUCGAUAUGUGCAAAUACAACAUGGCAUCACAACAUGACUCUACAACUCAAGUAUUUUAUUCAAUAGGCUCCGAGGAGUGAGAUAUUAGAAACAUGGGUCUCAUGACCCAACAUUCAGAGCAAACAAGUCAAAGCACAAGCAGAAGCUUAACAUGUUUGAGUACAGACAUCUACAAAUGUAAAAGGCUGAGAAGCCUGACUAUCUACCAGAUCCUGCCGAGGGCACAAGAUCGUAGCUGAGGUAACAAGCUAAACAUCGAAGUGCAAGCGGAACUACUAGCGAGACUGAAGUCUAUCUGCAAAAACAUAAAAUAGGCAAACGUGAGUACAAAUGUACCCAGCAAGACUUACAUUAGAACUAUCUACAUAUGCAUCAUUAUCAACAAGGGGUUGGUGGGGUUUAACUGCAGCAAGCCAGCGUUGACUCGGUGGCUAUCCUGAACUACGACUGCAUGUAACUCUUUGAGGUGGCGCACACGAGUCCACAUAUUCACCAUAUCAGUACACGACUAUGGAUCCGCUCCCAUCUCCCUACAAGAACGCCGUCCAUAGAACUCAUGCUUAUCUUGCGUAUUUUAGAGUAUCCACUUUCACUUUUCUAUGAACUGUAUAGGCAACCCAGAAGUCCUUUACCACGGACGCGGCUAUUCAAAUAGAUCAUAUUAACCCUGCAGGGGUGUACUUCUUCACACAUGCUCUCGCCACUUACCGCCAUGUACAUGUCAUAUAUCUCGGAAACCUUCAAGCGGAAGCCUGGCGAGGGAAUCGGCCACGACCUGACUAACCACACAAGUCUCUCGUCUAGGUUUAUCGCCUAUUCGGGUUCCAUCCGCAAGGAGAUCUGGCCGGGUUGUCGCUCGAGGCCCCAAACGAUGUGUGCAGGGUUCCCAAGCCCACCUUCCGGGUGCCACUUGGUACACGGGGCCACUGUGCCUAGUUUGUCCCAAGCCCACCUGUACCAGGUGCCACUUGGUAGACUACUGUGACGCCCUCGAUUCAAUCGUACACUAAUCAUACAUGCAAAUGUGUACGAUCAAGAUCAAGGACUCACGGGAAGAUAUCACAACACAACUCUAGACACAAAUUAAAAAAAAUACAAGCUUUAUAUUACAAGCCAGGGGCCUCGAGGGCUCGAAUACAUAAGCUCGAAUACAGAAGAGUCAGCGGAAGCAACAAUAUCUGAGUACAGACAUAAGUUUGACAAGUUUGCCUUAAGAAGGCUAGCACAAAAGCAUCUACGAUCGAAAAGGCAAGGCCUCCUGCCCGGGAGCCUCCUAACUACUCCUGGUCGUCGGCAUCUGUCACGUGGUAGUAGGCACCCUCGGGGUAGCAGCAGUCGUCAAAGGUGGCAUCUGGCUCCUGGACUCCACCAUCUGGUUGCAACAACCAGAAAGAAGAAGGAAGGGGGAAAGGGGGAGCAAAGCAACCGUGAGUACUCAUCCAAAGUACUCGCAAGCAAGGAUCUACACUACAUAUGCAACAUUAUCAAAGAGGGGCUGUAUAUGUGGACUGGGCUGCGGAAAUGCCAGAAUAGAGAGAAGGCCUAGUCCUAUCGAAGACUAGCAUCUUCUAGAAACCACCAUCUUGCCGCAACCGGAGGGAGUAGAAUAGCAUAAAGUAAAGUAGUAGAAGUGUUAUCAACCUCGGCCAGAGAUCCUUUCUCGACUCCCUGCGAGAAAGCAAUCCCAGAGCCAUACUAUCCAAUUAUCACCCCAUCACAAUCCAAUUCUCAUCACCAGUAUCCAGUUCUAGUUGUAUCAAUCGGGAUACAACUCCAAGUGUCCGUUACCGUAGGACAGGCUAUGCAUAGAUUAGUUCUUCCCUGCAGGGGUGCACCAACUUACCCACAACGCUCACUUAACUCCGGCCGGACACACUUUCUUGGGUCAUGCCCGGCCUCGGCCAAACAAUACGCCGCAACCCGACCUAUGCUUAAUAGAGAGGUCAAGCAAGCCGGACUAAACCUAUGCCCCCAGGGGUCAUGGGCCAUCGCCCCGGGAACUCCUGCACAUUGCGUGGGUGGCCGGUGAGCAGACCUAGCUACCUCCCUAAAAAGGAGGAGCUUACCAGUCCAACCCGGCGCGCGCCGCUCUGUCGCUGAUGUCUAUUAAGCUUCGGCUGAUGUACACGACGCAGAACGCCCAUACUAUGCCCACGUGAUGGUUAGUGCUAUCAGGCCAGGGGCCCCUCGGAUCAAAUAUCCAAAUCGUAGUGGAUUAGGAACGCGCGGUAACAAGCAGAGACUCACGAAAGAUGUGACCCCGUUGCCCGUCUCGAGGACUUGCGGCAAGGGCUAGGAAUGCUCGGCCACGCCUCGUAAUUAUCUCGCGGGCACCCUCCAGGUCAACCCGUCUCCACAUCACUCGCGGGUACCCCUCAGGGUCGACCCGCCCUUCCAAGUAACAGUUGUAAAGUCCAAGUAUCCGUGUGUCCAAACAUCAAGAGGAAAACCCAAGGAAUCACUCCCGGUGAAUUCCACUCGAUGUAAUCAUCAAGGUGAACGUAAGAGGAGUCACCCCGAGGUUCACACUUGAGGGGUUGCACGACCGAGUCGUAUCGGAAGUGGUUAAAGAGGAAAUCACCCUCGAUGACCACGACCGAAUAGCUACACUACAGGGUUAACAUCAGAAGUGCUGUAGAGGUCUCACCCUCGGCACUCGAUAGUAUCCCAGUAGUGUCGAGCAACUAAGGGGAAAGUGAUGUGCGGUGCCGGGGCCUGGUCUUCGAUCCCGUUGAUUGGGUCUUCAAUGAUGAAGCAGGGGCAACAAGGACAAGGUGGGGGUCACUGAUGGAUCACUAACCAACCUAUACUAAGCAGUUUAGGAUAAGCCGGUAAGGUAACAAUAAGCAGGUUACAAAAGCAGGCUAUGCAUCAGAAUAGGAGCAAACAAUAAUAAUAGCAAAAUCUAAUGCAAGCAUGAGAGAAUGGAAUGGGCGAUAUCGGGAUGAUCAAAAGGGGGGGCUUGCCUGGUUGCUCUGGCAAGGAGGGGUCGUUGUCGACGUAGUCGAUCACAGGGGCAUCAGCAGCGAUCUCAAGGUCUAUCGGAGAGAAGAGGGGGAAGAAAUAGUAAAUAUAAAGCAAACAUAGCAUCACAAAGCAUAACGUGGCAAUAUGUUGUGUCGGGUGUGACUUAACGUAUGGCUACACGAUAUAGGUGAAGGGGGGAAAUCAACCGGGAAUGUUUUCCCGGUUCCGGACCUGUGUCAGACAGAUGACCGGAGGGGUAAUGUUCCAUGUUCAGAUAGUUAGAGGCAUCUGACAUGUAUGUGGGUAGCGUAUUCGGGUUCAUCUCGUCGUUCUGAGCAACUUUCAUGUAUAAAGUUUUUUGAUCCGAGCUACGGUUUAUUUAACAUGAUUUUCUAAAGUUUUUAUUAAUUUCUUGAAUUUAAUUAUUUAUCUCAACAUUAUCCAGAAUAGUAAAUGAUGACAUCAACAUGACAUCAUGCUGACAUCAGAAGUCAACUGUGCAGUUGGCUGGGUCAACUACAUGUGGGCCCCGCAUGUCAUACACUGUUUAGUUUAAUUAGGGUUUAGCUAAUUAAAUACGGUUUAAUUCAAUUAACUAAUUAACUAGAAUAAUUUAAACAGGAUUAAAUAACCUAAUUAAUUUACUAAUUAAUAAUUUUAUUAAUUACAUUUUCUAUUUUAAAUUUCCGUUCUAGGGGUGGGGACCCUACGUUAGUGGCCCAGGGCGGCUUAUUGGGCACGGGUUAACGGGGCGGGCGUGGGCGCCCGUGCCCGUGACCACCAGGGGCGAUGGCCACGGCUGUGGGCCGAAGCCACACGGCGAGGUGUCUGGCCAGGGCGGCGCAGCCAGAGCAGCACGGNNNNNNNNNNNNNNNNNNNNNNNNNNNNNNNNNNNNNNNNNNNNNNNNNNNNNNNNNNNNNNNNNNNNNNNNNNNNNNNNNNNNNNNNNNNNNNNNNNNNNNNNNNNNNNNNNNNNNNNNNNNNNNNNNNNNNNNNNNNNNNNNNNNNNNNNNNNNNNNNNNNNNNNNNNNNNNNNNNNNNNNNNNNNNNNNNNNNNNNNNNNNNNNNNNNNNNNNNNNNNNNNNNNNNNNNNNNNNNNNNNNNNNNNNNNNNNNNNNNNNNNNNNNNNNNNNNNNNNNNNNNNNNNNNNNNNNNNNNNNNNNNNNNNNNNNNNNNNNNNNNNNNNNNNNNNNNNNNNNNNNNNNNNNNNNNNNNNNNNNNNNNNNNNNNNNNNNNNNNNNNNNNNNNNNNNNNNNNNNNNNNNNNNNNNNNNNNNNNNNNNNNNNNNNNNNNNNNNNNNNNNNNNNNNNNNNNNNNNNNNNNNNNNNNNNNNNNNNNNNNNNNNNNNNNNNNNNNNNNNNNNNNNNNNNNNNNNNNNNNNNNNNNNNNNNNNNNNNNNNNNNNNNNNNNNNNNNNNNNNNNNNNNNNNNNNNNNNNNNNNNNNNNNNNNNNNNNNNNNNNNNNNNNNNNNNNNNNNNNNNNNNNNNNNNNNNNNNNNNNNNNCUGGCGGGGUUGAGGCCCGGUGGGGAAAGGGGUUAUUGGCCUUUCUCUUUUUGUUAUAUUUUAAUUCUAUUUGCAGAAUUUGCUUGCAAUAUUUUGAGCUGCCAAUUGGUCUUUGUAAAAAUGUGGAACUUGGCCACAUAAAUACAUUGCAAUAGUUAGCACUGCCACAAAAAGGCUGUGAGGCUUUUGAAAUAGUUUGAAAUUUUUAUAAAGUAAAAAGGCAUUUAAACUAUUGUUUUAGCCACUGCUUUAUGUAGUUUAGGCCACUUAAACCCUUUGCAAAAAUGUUGGUUCACCACCAAUAUUAGUUGUGGAAUAUUUGGCACAUGAUGAACAUUUUUGUAUUCAUGUUUGAGAAAUUUUGAAUUUUGGACUUGAUGUUUUGAACAAGUGGCAACUAGGCAAGGUAAACAUGAUGACAUGGCAUGAUUAGUGGGAGAUUACUGUGGCAUGAAUCUCGGGGUGUUACAAAUCUCCUCCACUACAAGAAAUCUCGUCCCGAGAUUUAAGUGGUGAAGUAAAGAAUAACUUCGGGAGAACUGACCCUUAUAGGGUUAAUUAUCUGGUAAACAAUUCAGGGAAUGUGGCAGAAGUAUCUCUUGAGUUGAAACUUAAGAAAACAUCGAGAGCAAAAUAUGAAGGUACAAUAGGAAGUUUCGAGCGAAUGGACAAACGAUCAAUACCUGAACAGAGUGUGAGAAGGGGGUUUAGAGUAUCGGGAAUAGAUCAUAUCUCGGAAGGUGGCUCGUGACAAAACACAAAGCCAAGAGAAAAUGAUACUUCGGAAGAAAAGGAUAUACAGGAGAGUCAGGUUCCGAUCCUGUGGAACUGUGGGUUAUGAGCCCACCAUGUGGGUUAAAGGUAGAAAGGGGGCCGAUAGCAAGGCAUGUCAGAUGAUAGACUGUCAGUUAUGUUGUCAACACGUUGGUACCAAGGGCGAGGGACAGAGAGAACUAUUUUCCUGCUCACUGAACGAGGCGGACCAGUAGGCGAAGUUCUCGGCCAUCGGGGGUUACCAGGAUGACGUCAGCAAUAGUAACAGGGUCACACUGAUAGAGUUGUAAACCGAGGUGCUUCCAUAAGCAGGGAAUUAUUUCUGCUUAUAACAUAUAUAGAUCACAAGAAAGGUUGAGCAAACCAAUGGAAAGGAAAAUGUGUUUAUUAUGAUAACCAGACCAAUGGAAAGGAAAGAUGUUUAUACCCAAGUGUUAGAGUAUAACUUUCCCAAGGAAAGGCAGAGCAUGAUAGGGCUCCAAGUAUUAAGCCGUUUAGACAAGGGGCAAGGAAUUUAUGAGGUUUACCCAUACAACGGUGUUUGGAUAAUUGAUCAAGAACAGUUAGCAUUGCGCUCCCAAUGUUCUUGAUGAUGAUCGGAGUACCACACACAUGCUUCGGGAUAGUGUUGACAUGGUCAUCAGGGAAAUCUCAGACUUCGGAUACACAAAGGAUCCAUCGGAACAACUUAUAAAAUAAGUCAUACAAUUUCAGCUAGGAAAAGAUGAGGAUGGGGCCCACGGGCUCAGCAACAAUUCAUCGAGGGGGCAAGGAUGGUAUUUCUCAUCAUGAAUUAGGUUGAUAUCCUAGAAAAGUUUGGAAUGAUGAUGAUGAUCACGAGACAUUUAUCGAGAGGUUUCAUGAAGAUGUAAUCGAUUAACGACGACAUUAAGCAAAAGAAAUGAUGAAGUGUAAGGUUAAUUGAACCACGAGUACGACACAAACUCGAAAGCAACCUUGUGUUCAUGGCAAAAUGGUAUGACGAGGAAGAUCGACAUAAGCUUAGCUCGUCGUCGAAAAUUGUGCUCCAGAAAGGACCUGGUAGCAUAGUUAAAAUUUAGCAUGAUAAUGAUAUAUUCUAUCAGGCUAGAAAUGACUUGAAGGAUUAUUAAACUCGUAAGCAAUGAAAAUUACCUAGAGUUAUUGAUUUGGAGUGCAUAAUUGAUUCACUUAUCGGUGUCCUAGAGUGAAUAAUAGCUCAGAACCCAAGGGAAAUUGGAAUCGACGAGAAGCAAUACUCGAUGAAGAUUCAUAGGAAGCAACACAGUUUCUUUGAUAUCCUCGAGAUACUGGAGGGUAAUACUCGAAGGAAGAUCAAAACAGAGUUUGCGGAGAUGUGUUUAUCGGUAGAAGACAAGUGCUUUAACUUGUCUGAGAAAUGGAAUCAAGGAGAAAAUAUUGUCGGAACCAUGAUUGCCAAGGAUCAAUUCACAUAUAACAGAUGAUAUUAUAUCAAGGAAAAAGUUAUUAUUACAAGAAGCUUCCAUAAUAGGAUCUUCAUCAUGUCCAUGGGCAUGAACACAAAGUUCAAGGUCGACUCCCACUUUUCCAACGCAUAACCUUUCAUUCACUUCUUGUUUUGAAGAAGGCAUUAGUGUUAAAAGUUUUACCUGGUGUAAUACCAGAUGAGUAAGACCCGUGAAAUCUUUCGGGUUCACACGGAUUUAUGGAAGGCAUAGGUUCAACCCAUAGGGGCAUCUUAGGAACAUAUACCACAAUCUUCAAGAGUAAAUAACACCAACUCGAAAGCAGAGCAUGGUUGACAAAUGCAGAGAAUACAAUUUACCAAAGGCAUUAUGUAUCGAGGAAAUAACUCACAAGAGUUUUGGAUGUGAAGGACAAUGUCGGAUAAUUAUCCAACAAGGAUUUGGCGAACCGCAAGGAAUCCGAUAUGAGUGUCGAUGUUCAACCAGAAGAAGAAAUAACGCAAAAGCAUCAGAUUAUAGGGACAUCUGAAUAAUUUCAAAGCUUAAAUACGAAGGAAUUAUGAUUACCAAAUCGGGGGGGGGGGACCAGAAGCAGAGGCUCUGAUCAAAAGAUAAGUAAGUUACAAAAAACAUAUCUUGACAAUCAAUCAAGGUUUGAUUUGCCGAGAACAAGCUCAUGUCUGGAGUGACAUCUGAGUCAAAAGGACGGAUGCUAGUUUUGACUGGGGAUUGCGAGCAUCUGCAACAUAUUGAAUCAACGAGCUCAAAAUGAUAGUGACAAAGGAUGCCAAUAAGAUUACUAAGCUUAUGGGAUUUAACAAUAAUGCAAGCGCGCAAGAAUUUCAAGAGCAAUAAGUUGCUGAGGAUUUUCAGAAGAUCGAAUAGUAUUUCAAAGACUUUUGUGAAACACUCAAACAACUGGGGAUGAAGAAUCCAUGGUAAUUGUGAGGAAUUAUUCGUAGGAGUAUUCAUGCAGCAAAGAACUUCAAGGCAGUUGCAGGAGGGGUUCUCAAAACAGUGGAGUAUUUCAAGGCAUCUUGUAAAAACAAGAGCAACUUGGGACGAAGGUAUGAAUAGCAACUAUAUGUAGUUAUCCAUAAGGAUAUAUCGGUGGGAAGGCGGUGGGCACAAAGUCUUGAGAGAACCUCGGAGAGUAUCUUCGUAAUCUUCUGGUGCACCAAGUGAUUGUCUGGACUGACGGGCUCUCCGGGAGGAAGUGUUUACGAGAACCUAAUGUUAGAGUUUGCAAAAUCAUUUAACCCGAAUAGAGGAGAGAUCAGAGUCCCAGAGUAAAGACGAGGAAUAGAAGAUCCUAAUACCACCCAAUGGCGACGUGGGCCCGUAAGACACAUAGCCAGUGUUAGUAAAAGUUUUUCAGUGACUAGACUCAACUUCGGCCAAGUAGUUGGAAAGGGGGCUACCUACAGGCAGUCAGCUCUGAUACCAACUUGUGACACCCUCGAUUCAAUCGUACACUAAUCAUACACGCAAAUGUGUACGGUCAAGAUCAAGGACUCACGGGAAGAUAUCACAACACAACUAUAGACACAAAUAAAAAAAUACAAGCUUUAUAUUACAAGCCAGGGGCCUCGAGGGCUCGAAUACAUAAGCUCGAAUACAGAAGAGUCAGCGGAAGCAACAAUAUCUGAGUACAGACAUAAGUUAGACAAGUUUGCCUUAAGAAGGCUAGCACAAAAGCAUCUACGAUCGAAAAGGCAAGGCCGCCUGCCUGGGAGCCUCCUAACUACUCCUGGUCGUCGGCAUCCGUCAUGUGGUAGUAGGCACCCUCGGGGUAGCAGCAGUCGUCAAAGGUGGCAUCUGGCUCCUGGACUCCACCAUCUGGUUGCAACAACCAGAAAGAAGAAAGAAGGGGGAAAGGGGGAGCAAAGCAACCGUGAGUACUCAUCCAAAGUACUCGCAAGCAAGGAUCUACACUACAUAUGCAACAUUAUCAAAGAGGGGUUGUAUAUGUGGACUGGGCUGCGGAAAUGCCAGAAUAGAGAGAAGGCCUAGUCCUAUCGAAGACUAGCAUCUUCUGGAAACCACCAUCUUGCCGCAACCGGAGGGAGUAGAGUAGCAUAAAGUAAAGUAGUAGAAGUGUUAUCAACCUCGGCCAGAGAUCCUUUCUCGACUCCCUGCGAGAAAGCAAUCCCAGAGCCAUACUAUCCAAUUAUCACCCCAUCACAAUCUAAUUCUCAUCACCAGUAUCCAGUUCUAGUUGUAUCGAUCGGGAUACAACUCCAAGUGUCCGUUACCCAAGGACAGGCUGUGCAUAGAUUAGUUUUUCCCUGCAGGGGUGCACCAACUUACCCACCACGCUCGCUUAACUCCGGCCAGACACAAUUUCUUGGGUCAUGCCCGGCCUCGGCCAAACAAUACGCCACAACCCGACCUAGGCUUAAUAGAGAGGUCAAGCACGCCGGACUAAACGUAUGCCCCCAGGGGUCAUGGGCCAUCGCCCCGCGAACUCCCGCACAUUGCGUGGGCGGCCGGUGAGCAGACCUAGCUACCUCCCUAAAAAGGCAGGAGCUUACCAGUCCAACCCGGCGCGCGCCGCUCCGUCGCUGACGUCUAUUAAGCUUCGGCUGAUGUACACGACGCAGAACGCCCAUACUAUGCCCACGUGAUGGUUAGUGCUAUCAGGCCAGAGGCCCCUCGGAUCAAAUAUCCAAAUCGUAGUGGAUUAGAAACGCGCGAUAACAAGCAGAGACUCACGAAAGAUGUGACUCCGUUGCCCCGACUCGAGGACUUGCGGCAAGGGCUAGAAAUGCCCGGCCACGCGUCGUAAUUAUCUCGCGGGCACCCUCCAGGUCAACCCGUCUCCACAUCACUCGCGGGUACCCCUCAGGGUCGACCCGCCCUUCCAAGUAACAGUUGUAAAGUCCAAGUAUUUGUGUGUCCAAACAUCAAGAGGAAAACCCAAGGAAUCACCCCCGGUGAAUUCCACUCGAUGUAAUCAUCAAGAUGAACAUAAGAGGAAUCACCCUGAGGUUCACACUUGAGGGGUUGCACGACAGAGUCGUAUCGGAAGUGGUUAAAGAGGAAAUCACCCUCGAUGACCACGACCGAAUUGCUACACUGCAGGGUUAACAUCAGAAGUGCUGUAGAGGUCUCACCCUCGGCACUCGAUAGUAUCCCAGUAGUGUCGAGCAACUAAGGGGAAAGUGAUGUGCGGUGCCGGGGCCUGGUCUUCGAUCCCGUUGAUCGGGUCUUCAAUGAUGAAGCAGGGGCAACAAGGACAAGGUGGGGGUCACUGAUGGAUCACUAACCAACCUAUACUAAGCAGUUUAGGAUAAGCCAGUAAGGUAACAAUAAGCAGGUUACAAAAGCAGGCUAUGCAUCAGAAUAGGAGAAAACAAUAACAAUAGCAAAAUCUAAUGCAAGCAUGAGAGAAUGGAAUGGGCGAUAUCAGGAUGAUCAAAAGGGGGGCUUGCCUGGUUGCUCUGGCAAGGAGGGGUCGUCGUCGACGUAGUCGAUCACAGGGGCAUCAGCAGCGAUCUCAAGGUCUAUCGGAGAGAAGAGGGGGAAGAAACAGUAAAUAUAAAGCAAACAUAGCAUCACAAAGCAUAACGUGGCAAUAUGUUGUGUCGGGCGAAAAAUCAACCAGCAAUGUUUUCCCGGUUCCGGACCUGUGUCAGACAGAUGACCGGAGGGGUAAUGUUCCAUGUUCAGAUAGUUAGAGGCAUCUGACAUGUAUGUGGGUAGCGUAUUCGGGUUCAUCUCAUCGUUCUGAGCAACUUUCAUGUAUAAAGUUUUUCGAUCCGAGCUACGGUUUAUUUAACAUGAUUUUCUAAAGUUUUUAUUAAUUUCUUGAAUUUAAUUAUUUAUCUCAACAUUAUCCAGAAUAGUAAAUGAUGACAUCAACAUGACAUCAUGCUGACAUCAGCAGUCAACUGUGCAGUUGGCUGGGUUAACUACAUGUGGGCCCCGCAUGUCAUACACUGUUUAGUUUAAAUACGGUUUAAUUCAAUUAACUAAUUAACUAGAAUAAUUUAAACAAGAUUAAAUAACUUAAUUAAUUUACUAAUUAAUAAUUUUAUUAAUUACAUUUUCUAUUUUAAAUUUUCGUUCUAGGGGUGGGGACCCUACGUUAGUGGCCCAGGGCGGCUUAUUGGGCACGGGUUAACGAGGCGGGCGUGGGCGGUCCGAAGCCACNNNNNNNNNNNNNNNNNNNNNNNNNNNNNNNNNNNNNNNNNNNNNNNNNNNNNNNNNNNNNNNNNNNNNNNNNNNNNNNNNNNNNNNNNNNNNNNNNNNNNNNNNNNNNNNNNNNNNNNNNNNNNNNNNNNNNNNNNNNNNNNNNNNNNNNNNNNNNNNNNNNNNNNNNNNNNNNNNNNNNNNNNNNNNNNNNNNNNNNNNNNNNNNNNNNNNNNNNNNNNNNNNNNNNNNNNNNNNNNNNNNNNNNNNNNNNNNNNNNNNNNNNNNNNNNNNNNNNNNNNNNNNNNNNNNNNNNNNNNNNNNNNNNNNNNNNNNNNNNNNNNNNNNNNNNNNNNNNNNNNNNNNNNNNNNNNNNNNNNNNNNNNNNNNNNNNNNNNNNNGUGGCGCAGGGGCAGCCGCGGUUCGCGGGGCGCCGUGAGGGCGUCGAGAAGGGCCGCAGUUCGCGGGCACUCGCGUCGGGUGUGGCCGGCGCUACACGGGCGCGACCGGCGCGUGGCCACGACGGGGUGAGGCGCGAGUGUGGUGGACGCAUUGGGGUAGAGGGGAAGAGGAGGACGGACGGUGGCUCACCCCAGUUGCAGGGGAAUGCCGGCGAGGCUCGGAGGAGCCGCGGUUGAGGAGGAGGUCGAGGACGACGCAGUGAUGAGGACGAGGCGGCGGGGCGACAUCGGGACGAGGUGGCGCCAUCGGGGACGAAGAGGUCGAGGGCGAUGUCGAUGGGGCAAGGCAGUCCAGCGAGGGAGGGUCCGAGCGGCGGCGGAGUCGGGCGUGCGCCUGUGCGGCAGGCGAGAUGGAGCAGGCUACGGGGCGGCGUCGGGGAUGGGCGACGGCGUCAGGGGCGUGAGGCGGCGCGGGAUGGGGUCCUCUCGAUCCAGAUCUGGGCGAGUGGGGGGAGACGAGGGAGAGAGUGGGGUUCGUGGGGGGAGUGGGNNNNNNNNNNNNNNNNNNNNNNNNNNNNNNNNNNNNNNNNNNNNNNNNNNNNNNNNNNNNNNNNNNNNNNNNNNNNNNNNNNNNNNNNNNNNNNNNNNNNNNNNNNNNNNNNNNNNNNNNNNNNNNNNNNNNNNNNNNNNNNNNNNNNNNNNNNNNNNNNNNNNNNNNNNNNNNNNNNNNNNNNNNNNNNNNNNNNNNNNNNNNNNNNNNNNNNNNNNNNNNNNNNNNNNNNNNNNNNNNNNNNNNNNNNNNNNNNNNNNNNNNNNNNNNNNNNGGGUGGCCGACUGGGCUGGCGGGGUUGAGGCCCGGUGGGGAAAGGGGGGUAUUGGCCUUUCUCUUUUUGUUUUAUUUUAAUUCUGUUUGCAGAAUUUGCUUGCAAUAUUUUGAGCUGCCAAUUGGUCUUUGUAAAAAUGUGGAACUUGGCCACAUAAAUACAUUGCAAUAGUUAGCACUGCCACAAAAAGGCUGUGAGGCUUUUGAAAUAGUUUGAAAUUUUAUAAAGUAAAAAGGCAUUUAAACUAUUGUUUUAGCCACUGCUUUAAGUAGUUUAGGCCACUUAAACCCUUUGCAAAAAUGUUGGUUCACCACCAAUAUUAGUUGUGGAAUAUUUGGCACAUGAUGAACAUUUUUGUAUUCAUGUUUGAGAAAUUUUGAAUUUUGGACUUGAUGUUUUGAACAAGUGGCAACUAGGCAAGGUAAACAUGAUGACAUGGCAUGAUUAGUGGGAGAUUACUGUGGCAUGAAUCUCGGGGUGUUACAACUACUAACACUACCUACAAACACCAGAAACUAGUUGCAACUCCUAGAUAGAGAUCAAGUUGAUUAAUAAGUCGAGAGAGCUUGGAGUGCCUGGAGCCCAAUGUGUAGUAGUAACUGUUCAUGGAUCACAAACACAGAACUCAGUUCCUGAGGACGGUUUCAAUGAGACAACCCACCAUGUACUCCUACAUGGCCUCUCACCGCUACCUUUACCAAAUCAUGUUCACACACUUAGAUCACACACAGUAGGACAUGUUUCACAACAUUCCAAUUCAUCCUCGAUGAAUCAGACCUGACACAACUCUAAGCAAUAGCGGGCAUGACAAACACGCAUGAAUGAGUAGGCACAUCAGGGCUCAAACAACUCCUACUCAUGCUAGUGGAUUUCAUCUAUUUACUAUGGCAAUGACGGGUCAUGCAGAGGAAAGGGGUUCAACUACCACAACAUGUAACAGUUGAACCAUUGUUGUCCUAAUGCAGUAAAAGAGAGCAGGAGCGAGAGAGUGGGAUUGUAUCCAAAUGAACAAGGGGGUUUUGCUUGCCGGGCACUUCUGAAGAUAGUAUAGUUCUUCAUCGGUGUCAUCGAACUCAUCAUCGGAACCACGUCUACCGAGAGGGGACAAUUACCGGCAACAGAAAAGGAACACAAUCAAUGCAAUGCAACAAUAUGAUGCUUGAAUGCAUGUGACAUGGCAAUAUGCUGUGAUUUGAGCUAAUGCAACUAGCAAUGAUUUAAAUGGAGUUGGUUUGAAAUUCAAACUCCACAUAAGGCAUUUCAAAUGCCAUUAAUUCAAAUUUUCAUAUACAGUAGCUUUAGGUUGCUCAAACAUGCAUGAAAAUGCCAUAAACAAAUACUUUGAAUUUUUCUGAUAAUUUUUCAUAUAUAAUUUGUUUCAUUUGGAGUCACGGUUGAAUUUAUAUGAUUUUUAGAAGUUUAAGCCUUUUUCUGGAUUUUCUGAUAAAAUAGAACUAAACUAAUUCUAGAAAAGGAUCGAUUGCAUCAGCCUGAUGUCAGUGUGACAUCAGCAGGUCAACUGAGUCGGUCCAGGUCAAAUCUGACCAAUGGGGUCCACUGGUCAGUGACAUAGUGUUGCCCAGGGUCAAUGACAGCUGGGUCCGGUCAACAACCACGUCAGCAAAGUCAACCUGAUGUGAGGGCCUAGUGGAUUAGUCUAAGUACAACAUUACUUGGCGCUAGGGCCCAUCUGUCAGCGUCUGUGGGUGAUCUAGCUGGCGGUGGUUAGCGCUAAUUAUGGGGCCACAUCGGCUUUGCCGGAGUUCGGCCGGCGGCGACCAAAACGAUGAUGGCGCGGCUCGGGAUUGCGCUACGGGAGGUGGUUUGGCGCGCUGGGGACACUAGGGAGGAGCUCUUGCUCGUCUGCAUCCAAAGGACCGAACGGGAGGCCGUGAGGUGGCCGGAGUUGAGCACAGCGUCGACCUCGGCGGCGGCCGGAGUUCGGGCGAGACGCGAGCGAGAGCUAGGGGGCACGGGAAGGCGAGCUGAGGCGUGCUACGGGCUCGUGGGGAGGCACUGAUUGCAGUUGUGUGAUGUACUGCGAGCUUCAGCAGCCAUAGCCACGACGGCGACAUGGCCGGUUGUGAAGAGCUAUCGGGCUCAUUGCGAACGGCGGCUAGAGAGGGAGGUAGAGCACGAGGAGAGGGGGAAACGAUGGCGGAGCUCACAGCGGGGGCGAGGACGGUCUUCAGCGAGCUCGUGGAUGCGGCGGAGGCGGUGAGUCAACGGCGGCGGUCUUCGGUGGUCGAGGAGGGGAAUAGCGGAGCUAGCGGCGUUCGGAGGCUUCCGGAGCCGUGCGGCUUGGUGAGAAGGAAGAGGGGGACGGGGCGGAGCUUCCUGCCUCGUCGACGAGGCGGGGCAGUGGCUGUGGCCACGGCGGUGACGGGCUCCGCUCGGGCGUUUCACGGAAGAGAGAAACAUAGGAGGGGGAGGAGCGAGGGAGAGAACGAGGGGGUUCCAGGGGUGUCGUGGUGCUCGGGGCCAUUUCCAGCAGCGAUCUAGUAGGCAGGAGGUGGCCAGGCGCAUGCCGGCGCUCGCCACCGAGCUGCUUGGUGCGCUGGCACGUGGAAGAAGACGGGAGUACCCCUGGCGGGCUGGGCCGUCAAGCUGGGCCGCCAGGUAAGGCUAGGUUGGUUCUUUCUCUCUCUUUUCUAUUUUCUGUUUUUCUAAUUUUUGCAGAUUUGUUUUAAUUUGGUUUGCUAACCAAAUUAUUUUGGGAUAAUUAGAUUUAUGCCCCUAGUUGUGUCCCACUCGUCUGUUUUACCCCUAAUUCCCAAAAGUCACCGGUUCUGCCCAAGUCACUUUGCUCCUCUUAUGCUUUUGACCUUUGACCAUUUGACCGUCAGUUUGAAAACUUCAUAACUAAUUCAUACUAAAUCAGAAAAAUGCAAAAAAUAUACCAAAAUGUUCAGAAAAACAUCACCUAUAUAUCAGUGUCAUUUGCAUUCAUGAAAAAAGUGUUGGAAAGUGCACAUCCGAGUUUUAGCUCUUUUGAUACCACCAUGAAUAGUAAACUCUAAACAACUUCAAAAAAAUAAUGGUGGCAAAGAAUGACAAAUGUUCUAAGUGUUUGCCAAGUUUCAUUAGAGGAUGACAUUGGUGGAAGUUGUGGCAAAAAAAUAAUCUAUUUUGGAGUGCUGAUUGUUUCUUUGCCACGACACCCAUGAAUGUUAUUCCCUGAUGAAACUUGGCAGGCACUUAAAACCUUUGACAUUCUUUGCCACCAUUUUUGUUUUGAAUUUUUUGAACUUUUUUAGAUUUUACUAUUCAUGGUGGUAGCAUAAGAGCUAAAACUCAGACGUGCACUUUCCAACACUUUUUUCAUGAAUGCAAAUGACACUCACAUAUAGGUGAUGUUUUUCCAAACAUUUUGGUAUCUUAUUUGCAUUUUUCUGAUUUAGUAUGAAUUAGUUAUGAAGUUUUCAAACUGACGGUCAAACGGUCAAAGGGCAAAAGCAUAAGAGGAGCAAAGUGACUUGGACAGAACCGGUGACUUUUGGGAAUUAGGGGUAAAAUACACGAGUGGGACACAACUAGGGGCAUAGAUCUAAUUAUCCCAAUUAUUUUUGCAGCCCUCUGGAAAUUAUUGUGGAUGCAAUAAGGUUUAUCCUAGAGCUCCACAAAAUAUUCCAGGAUCAUUGGAGCAAUAAAAAUAUUUAUAGAAUUUAUUUUCUCCAACUCAAAUACAAUUAUGAUUUAAUUCAAUGACCAAAAUGUCCUGGAAAAAUAUGCAUCAUCUCUGGUAGAGGCUUUCACCUUUUUCCAUAAAUCAUGAACAUUUUAUAAGCAUAUUUUGAGUUCAUUGAAAAUAUUUCGGUUGAACCUAUUUGAGUUCUUUUGGUGGUAGGGUUUUAACAUCCCCAUUUCAAGAUUAAGUGCAAAUUAAACAUGAUGCAAAACAUGACUAGCUAGCCCAAAGCAGAACAGAACUAGGGAUGUGACAUAGCAAGUGUUUGCUCAAGCGUAUGGUGUAGUCCUUCGUGUAGUGCAUCUGCAUCUAAUGUAGUGUCAUUGCUUGUUUAUGCUUGUGUAUGCCUGUUUGGAUUAGUUUGUAGCUUGUUUGAUGUGUGCUUUGUUGCAAUCGAUUGUUUUCUCGUGCUUCUUUGUUCUGAAUCUUCAGCGUUACCCCCUUAUGGAAAUUUCUCAUCAACCGACACCAGGUCAGAAGAAGACGUGAGAAGUACAGACAUACACCAAGGAACUUAGUUAAAGGCAAUGAGAUUUUCAGCUGACAGCAGUGUAUUGCAGACAUCCGGUCUGGAUACAAUUAUAUUCUGAUUAGACUUUUAGUAACAAGUACCCAUCAGAGAUCCACCUCUAUUGCAGCAAUGAUUAAAUCAGCAAGAUAACAAAAUUGGAUCCAAGUCCAACCGUGCAUUUCAAGUCAGAAGUAUGGUCAAUACCUGAUGAUUGAUUCUGACAUGAGUUAGAGUUGAAGUAUACGACACCCAGAAGUCCGUCCAAAUAUGCAAUGAAUUUAGCAAGAAGUACAGUCAGGCAAUUCUUGUCAUACAAGUAAUCAACAGCUGGAAUGACAAGAAUAUAUAUGCUAUUCCAUUCACAAAGAAGAUCAGUCCAGUCCUUCACAAUUUAUCAGCAAAGCGUACAAGACCCAAUUCACCACUCUUCAUAAGAAAGGUAUGAAUGGAUUCCAUUGCAAGAUAUUCAGUCAUUUCAAUCAGAUACUGCAAAAGCUUUUGGCAUAAGGUACCGAAUCUUCCCUAGUAAGUCUUUAAGGGGGGAAGCUUCUGAGGUAUGGUACCCAACCUUCCUCAGCAAGAUGUCCGUGGAAAGCUUCGAGCACAAGCUAUCCAGUCUUCCGUAGCAUGAUACCUUGAUGGAUUUCGAAGCAAGCUGCCUAGCCUUCUUCAGUAUGGCACUGGUACAAGAAAAUAAAUAAUGGAUUGUCAGCAAAUGGUACUGUUUUCCAAAUGGCAAAUAUGUAACAGUUAAGUCAGAAACAAUAAUCAGGCAGAACAAAGGUAUACCUCUAGAAUUAGAUAUUUCUUCAUACACUGAGUAUGCUAUCAAGUUCAUGCAAGUCUCUCUCGAGGAAGAAUUCAUGGUACGCAUCCGACAACCUCACUAGAUAUGCAAGUGAUGGAAAACCAGUGGGUGAUGCAAGGAUUGACAAGUCUCGAAGAAAGACAAUAUUGAGGCAACAAUCUUGGUAGUAAUUAUUGAGAUCAACCCCGCACCUCUGAGAAGGUGAUGCUAUUAAUCCGGUCACUGUCUAGUACAAUCAACAACAGGAUUGAGAUCUGUUCAAUCACACGUGAACCAGAUUAAUAUCCCGAGACUCAAGACAUGAACCAGACCAAGGUACGAUUGCAAGAUAUUGCACAUGACAGUAUUCAGGGCUGCAAAAAUAAUCAGGGAUAUAUAAGGCCCCGCUCUUUCAGUUAAGGAACCAGAUGAAGAAAAUAAUAGUAAAAGGGCAAGACCGAUAAUUCAGGUAUGCCAGUCAUUGUGGGCAAAAUGUGUUAUCUAUGCCCAAGAUAGUCUAAUAUUUCAUAUCAAAUACCAAGUGAAGAUACGCCUGAGAGGUCUAUCUCAUUGUGGUAAGGACCUCAUAAAAAGGAAACCAGCUCAAUCAGCAACAUAUGAUCAAAACUGUCAGCAUUCAAUACCCAAGUCUAUCAAGUCUGACCCGGGAAAGCUCAACAUAUUGACCUCAGCAACUGUGCUGAAGCAUCACACGACCCAUUCUUUUUUUUGACCGGGAAGACUGCAGGGCUUACACCCCACAACAUUUUAUUAAUAAAAAAGAAAGAAAAAUAACAAAGUUCCUCGAGAGGGGGAACAGAAGAAAGAGAAAAACUAUACAGAACUCUAGGAAAGUAAAAAAGCUACCAGCUAAGAAAGAUAAAAAAUACAAAGGUUGUGGAUCUUCAAGGAGGCAGAAAAUCAAUCCAUUUGAGUAGAUCAUCCUUGUAUCUGGCCUUGAUCCUGUGUGGGAGUAGAGUAAUAUCAUGAAUAAACCCAUUUCUCCACUUCCUAAAAGUUGGAUGGACAUGUCUAAAAGCCUUGUCAUUUCUCACUUUCCAGAUAUUCCACCAAGCAAGAAAAAACACCUCUGCAAAAAAUGGUUUAUGAAAUUCCUUCCUUGCAUGUAAGGCAAUUUGCACCAUAUCAUUGGUAUUCAACCAGGACACUUGCCGGUAGUUCCAGAUUCUCAUACUGAAGUUGCACUGGAAGAAUAGGUGAUUUCUAUCUUCAAUUACUCCAGUUGGGCAGAGUACACAACUAGGUCCAUCAUUAAUUUUCCAAUGCCUUCGCUGAAUCAUAUCCUUGGUGUUAACUCUAUCCAUAAUGACCAACCAUGCAAACAUUUUAAUUAUCAUUGUACAACAACUCUUCCAAACCCAGCUGAGUAUGGGAUUGGCAAUGACAGGCUGGUGGACAAACUCAUAGUACUUCUUUGCUAAAUAAUAACCCUUUUUCCAUGUCUCCAAGUCCACAUAUCAUUACAAUCAUUGUCCAAAUGUCUACCAGACAGCAAGGUUGAAAGCUGAUUGAACUCCCUAAAAGCCAGUUCAGACAAAGGCAAAGAAAACAAUUGCUGCAAAUUUCCUGCCUGAAUCACUUCCAUAACAAAAAGGUUCUUCUGAAGGCAAAAGGAAAAAAGUCUUGGAAACCUUUCUUGCAGAGGGAUGCAAGAUUGGCCAAUCUCCCAAUGAUCAGACCAGAAAAGAACAGAAUCUCCUUUGCCAACAGAUACAGAUGUUACAGCUCGAUAUUUGUCCACUAACUUACAAAUCUCCCUCCACCAAAAAGAGCCACAUAGAAUAGUGUCAUGUGGAACUCUUUGAUAGUAGUAUGAAUCCCACACCAGACUGACCCAUGGCACAUCAGCUUUAUUAUAGAAUUUAUUCAGGGACUUAAGUAACAGGGCAUCAUUUUGCAAUCCCAAAUUCAAUAUUCCAAGCCCACCCUUCAUCUUGGGCCUGCAGACAAGGGGCCAAGCAGCCAAAGAGUGACCCUUUUCCUGACCAUAUUUGCUCCAGAGGUACUGCCUUUUGAAUCCUCUCUAGCUACUUUAGAAUACCCUUUGGUAAAGAUAGACUGCAAAGGAAGAAUAUGGGCAAUGAAGAUAUCACAGGAUUUACCAACUGCAGUCUACUACCCUGACGUAAAAACCAGGAACUAGCAGUUAACCUCCUUUCCAUACAAUCCACCAAAGGGAGCAAAUCAACAAUUUUAGGUCUAGUGGUUCCAACAGGAAGCCCCAAAUAAGUGAAAGGCAUAAAACCCAACUGACAGCCAAAAAGAGCGGAAAGUGCAGAAGCAACAGAGGAUUCCUCAUUGAUGGGGUACAUUGAGGACUUAUGAAAGUUAAUUUGCACCCCAGUUGCAAAUGAAAAGGAAUUUAGCACUGAUUUAAGAGCCUCCAACUGAGCUGGGUCAGCAUUUACAAACAGCAAGGUGUCAUCUGCAUACUAAACCACUGGAUAAAAAGGAUCAUGUGUUGGCAAUGGCAAGGCUAGCUGUCCCCUAAGCAGAAGAUCAUUGAUCAUGGUUUGUAAAAGGUCAGCAGCAAUCACAAAAAGCAAAGAGAAAUAGGAUCUCCUUUCUUAACACCACAUUUACACUUGAAAUGAUUUCCAGGCACACCAUUUAACAGGAUAGAGGAUGUUGCAGAAGUUAACAGUUGCUGAAUCCAUAUGAUCCAUUUGCUAUCAAAACCUUUUGCCACAAGAAUUCUCAAGAUUGCCUGAUGCUGGAUUGAGUCAAGAGCUUUUUCAAAGUCAAGCUUGAGCAAAAGAAUUGACUUCCUGGACUAACUGCAUUGGUGAAUAUACUCAAAAGUCCAUGCAAUACAAUCUUCAAUUGUUCUUGAUUUAAUGAAGCCAUAUUGAUUCUCAUGCACACAUUUGGUGAUUUCCUCCUGAAACCUGUUGGCAGCCAGUUUUGUCAGAAACUUUAGUCCCACACCUGUCAAAGAGAUUGGUCUAAAAUCCCCCACACCCUCAGGUGAUUGCUUUUUUGGGAUUAAAGUGAUAAAAGCUUCAUUGAGGUUUUCCAAAAUCACAGUUCCAGCAUGAAACUCAUUGACCAACUGAAUAAAACCAUCUGGCCCAGGUGCUUUAUCAAUAGGUAUUUCUUUUAUGACCUUUUCAAUCUCUUUUAGAUGGAAAGGUUUUGUGAGCACCUCAAGACCUUGAACUUUUGGAAUUAAAGAUAGGAUGCCAUUACCCGAAACAAUUGGUUUAAGGGUUCCCAUUCUUCCCUUGAAAGUUACCAAAAAUUCCUUAGCUAUCUACCCAUGAUCUGAAGAAACUGUCCCAUCAGACAGUUGUAGACUAGCAAUAGAAUUUUUCCUAUAUCUCUUUGUUGCCAUGGCCUGGAAGAAUUGUGAAUUCUCUUCUCCCACCUUGAUAUAUCUGAUAGUACACCUUUUUCUCCAGUACAAAAAUUGCAAAUGUAAAAGGUGCUCAUGAUGCAUCUUACAUAACUUCCUGAAAUUUUGCUCUGGAAUGGACAGAGGCCUCCAAUCCUCUAAAUCAUCCAGCCAUAAAAUUACCCAAUUGCAUUUUUCAAUCAAGGAUUUAAUGUGAGAAAGCCCCUUCUGCCAUUUCUUGAUUGCAAACCUCAAGGAUUUCAAUUUGUCCAUAAUAACUGCAGAAAUAUGAGGCUUAUGCAAUGGUUUGCUCCAGACCUCCCUCACACAGUCCAUGAAACCAGGCUGAUGCACGCAAUAAUUUUCAAACUUGAAAAUAUUGGAUUUAGGAAUUGUGGUGCUGAUAGAAAUAACACAAGGAACAUGAUCAGAUGCUGUUCUAGCAAGAGGGGCCACUUGUGUCAUGGGAUAUUGAUUUAUCCAACUAGCAGAAGUAAAAAACCAGUCUAAUUGUUCCAGAAGUGGGAUAUCCUGCAUGUUAGACCAGGUGAACCUUCCACCUUUUAGUGGAAGCUCAAGCAGUCCUAAAUGACCAAUGAUCUCAUUAAAGAUAAAAAUAUCAUUAACAUCCCCUCCUGGUAGAUUUCUAUUUUCCAUGGACCUGAUGAAAUUGAAAUCUCCCACUAACAACCAUUUUUGUUCCGGUUCCACUUGCAGAUUAUGCAGCCAGCUUACAAAUUCAUGCCUCAUCUCACCCUGACAUGAGGGCUUUACUUCAAUUAGAACGCCCUUAAAGACAUCAGAACUCCAAACUGUCAGAAUCCCACCUGAGGCUCCUCUCGAGGGAGACUCAAUAAACUGAUCAAAGCCCAUAGGACAUAUUGUCUUAACUAAAGAACAGGGACAAUCAGCUAACUUAGUUUCUUGCAAGCAGGCAAUCGCACACUGACUUUCAGAAUUUUUUUCUCUAACAGAACGCUGUCGUGGUUCAGAGUUUAGACCACGAACAUUCCAACAAAGUACCUUCCAAUUACGCUUAGAUCCUUGAUUCAUAAUAAAACCAUACGCAAGGUAUCAGCCAUUGCAUGACAUAUAAUGCCAUGCAAACUACGCCAUAAGAAACAAAGGUCAUCCAAACCGGACUGUAGGACAUAAAGUUCAGAAACAACAUAAAUGACAGCAAAUUUAACAGGCCCGCUACACCUAGCUAAAGAGUUCAUCAGCAACAUUUAAACACCAUUGGAGGAGGAAUCACCCUUGGGAUUAGCCAUAAGCUUUUCCUCGGAUAGAAGAUUAGGAUCGAUCUCUAGUUCCACUCCGAUUGCUUGCAGAGCAUUGAUAGGUGUGGGUGGAGGAGCAUCUUCAGAGAAGUGUCCAUUAUCGCCAGCAUCGUCAGGCUUGGACUAGUCCGUCUAUUGGAUGGGCUUGGACCUUGGACGCCUCUUGGUGGGCUGAAGAGAAAGCUGCUUAAAACUGACGGGUUUAAACCCAUCAAGUUUUGCCGCGCUUCUUGUACAUCUUCUAACAGAAGUAUCCACCAAAGGGGCCAUUGCCUUCUUUCUUCUUGUCUGCUUCUUGUCCUUGACCUGCGCAGAAGCAAAAACCCCAGAAGAAGAAGAGAUCUCCUCCAGGCCUCCAGGCACUACAUCAUCAGAUUGCAAUUCGCCAGACACAUCCAUAUCCACUCUUACAUUGUCCUUAGCUGUGAAAACUUCUUCAGAUGAACUUCCAAAAAGAGCUCUGGCAACUGGGCGUUUAGCCAUAAAUGGCCUACGCAGAACAAGGCUGCUAGGCAAGCUCGAAACCAAAGAAGACCUCCUCUGUGAAUCAUCAAAGGCAAUAGUCCAUGUGCGCUUGGAAUAUGUCACUGUCCCAAGUGGCUUGAAAAAGAUUGGUCUUGGCACCUCAUUGACAAUAAAUUCAGGCAGAAGGUUCUCAAAAGAUCUCUUCCAAAUCAUCUCUGGAGGUAGUGGUGGUCCAGCCAUAAUCCUUGCCAUGCCAAUUAUUAGAUGAUGUUGCUGAAUAACAGGAGGAUGAUAUGGAACAAUUGCCAAAGGAUUAUCCUCAAUAGGCUGCUGCACAUUUCCCUGUAACUGUUGAUCUGAUUGUAACUCAUUUUGCUCCUCCAACAGAAUUUCCACAUGAUGCUCCAUAGACCCAGAGCCGACCGGCUGAUCAAUUACAAUUGAUAUCUGGUCCUGUUCUGACAGUGCAGGUUGAGGCUGCUGUUGAAGCUCCUCAUCAUUGUCCCCCCAAUUUACAUGCCCCCAUCCAUUAUCACAAAUGUUAUUGUCCUGAGCCACUAUAGGUGCAACAGGCGCGUCAUUCCAUCCCAGCAUCUGAUAUGGCGGAAGAACAAACAUCAAGUUAUCUUGUAAAAGACUUCCAGGCAACAAAUGUGGAUUUCCAUCUAGUGGCAUUGGAUCCUCAUGAUUGGGCAUCUGAUCAGCAAAAUCAGCGCCCAACACAUAACAAGCAGCAGUCCAUGAAGCUUGAGCUCCUCCCCAUUCAGCGUAGUCUCCAAAUACCACAUCACGUGGCACUAAUGGUGUGUCAGGAAAACUUACCUCCACUAGAGUCCCAACCAAAUAUGGAUCUUCACUAUCCCAAGAGUGAAAUUUCCCAAAGGUGCCAACCGCCUGAGAUAUGAACUCCGUAUUGCGAUAAUCAAGAGGAAUUCCAAUAAAUAUAAGCCAACCCUUGCGGAACCCAUGACUCCCCUUAAAAUUAUCUCCUUCAUCAUGCUUCAGACAUCUCACAAAAUGAUCGUUGCCCAAAGGGAAAGGUGGGUGCUGAAUCAAAGUGUAUCUCACAGAUGGAUCCCUGACUUGAAAUAAUCCUACUCCAUGAAACCAAGGCUGAGCAGAGCGAACCAUAGUACCUCUAUCUUGUAGGAACUGCACAAUCUCUUCACUGACGGGUCCGAUUGGACCCUCCGGAGCAGGCAUGACCUCAGCCUCCAUGUAGUCCUCAUGGCGGCGAGGGGGGUGAGCCGCAGGCGUGAUGAAGGUGCGGGAAAGCCACCUGUCUCCACCAUCGAUGAUGUGAUGGCCAGCCGGGACGAAGCGCUGUGGAUCAAGCUCGAAGUUCGCCAUUGUUGGCAGCUUGGAGGACGGGACGGGGUUUUCGUUGGAAGUUAGAGGGAGAGAUUGGUACAAUGUUGGCGGCGACGAUGUGACUGGGCAAGCUAUCCCAAUAACUCCGGCACCAUUCCCCUGACCGUCAGGAUUUUCUGAGAUAUUCGUGUUUUGUUGCAGAGAAAUUGGCCUCCAAGCCAAUCCAUUGGAGCGCGCGAAAUCAUUACAUUCCCUGGUAAAAUGACCCGUGCGCGAGCAAGCCGAGCAGACCACUCGCAUUCCACAAGAGGCUGCUAGGUGGCCCCUGAGAGAACAGACGGUACAGGUUAAAACCCGGUCCACCAUGUCAUUGACCAUGGCAUCAAACUGUUGUGCUGCUUCUUGCGAGGACUGUAUUUCUAGUGGAGGCUCUGAAGGGCUUGGGUUAGCAGAUGCAUCCAGCAUGGCAGAAACUGGGGCAUUCUGCGCCGAGGCAGGCCCAUUAACCAAAGACCCAGUGUUGGUGUCAAAACCGGCGGAUCUCGGGUAGGGGGUCCCGAACUGUGCGUCUAGGCGGAUGGUAACAGGAGACAAGGGACACGAUGUUUUUACCCAGGUUCGGGACCUCUCGAUGGAGGUAAAACCCUACUCCUGCUUGAUUCAUAUUGAUGAUAUGGGUAGUACAAGAGUGGAUCUACCACGAGAUCAAGGAGGCUAAACCCUAGAAGCUAGCCUAUGGUAUGAUUGUUGUAAUGGUUGUGUGUCCUACGGACUAAAACCCUCCGGUUUAUAUAGACACCGGAGAGGGCUAGGGUUACAUAGAGUCGGUUACAAUGGUAGGAGAUCUACAUAUCCGUAUCGCCAAGCUUGCCUUCCACGCCAAGGAAAGUCCCCUCCGGACACGGGACGAAGUCUUUAAUCUUGUAUCUUCAUAGUCUUGGAGUCCCGCCGAUGAUGAUAGUCCGGCUAUCAGGACACCCCCUAGUCCAGGACUCCCUCAGUAGCCCCCGAACCAGGCUUCAAUGACGACGAGUCCAGCGCGUAUAUAGUCUUCGGUGUUGCAAGGCGGGUUCUCCUCCAAAUUCCAUGUAUUUGCCAAACAGUGUUCGGCUCCCUCACAAAUGUUGCGAUCCUUGGCUUCCACGCCCAAUAAUGACCCUCUUCCACGCGUCGCAUGAAUGCGAAAAGCCAGGGUAUCUUUUAUGUUUUACCCCCUAGCUGCGCAAAUAACCUGCCUAUAAGAGAGAUAAGAAUCCAGAUCCAAAUCACACCAUCUUCCCUCUACGAGUACUCAUCGAAGCGCUCCUGACCUAAAGCCCGUUCCAUCAUGGACCGUCGUCGCGGGUCCUCCUCUCGCGCUCCCAGCCCUCCGCCAGGAGAUUGGAGGAGAUGCUCGGUUCCGCACAACGAGCUGGUGAAGCUUCAAGCGGAGGGAUAUCUUCCUCCGGCCUUUAUGGUCCCGGUUCGAGCCGGGCUGGCCACCUACAAAGGUGGGAAGCAAGCGUAGGCCACCCCUAGCCCCUCUAAAGGAGAGCGGGUGUGCUUCGUCCCCUAUCUGAUAAGGGGGCUCGGAUUUCCUGUACAUCCGUUCCUCCGCGGGCUCCUGGAGUUCUACGGACUCCAGCUCCAUCACCUCACGCCCGCCUCUAUUCUACAUAUGGCGGGUUUUGUAGCUCUUUGCCAGCUAUUCCUGGGCAUCGAGCCCCAUUUUGCGCUGUGGAAGAGGCUAUUCUGCCUCGUACCCCGUUCUCACGAGGGGUCAAUAUAUCAAGUGGGCGGUGCCAAAAUAUGGCGCAUUGCCGGGACCAGAUACACAUCCGGAACCCCGAAGAAGGCGUCCGAAGACUGGCCUUCGGAAUGGUUGAAUGUAGAGGACGCUCCACUGCAGGACCCAGUUCGGAUCGGCCUCCCGAAGUUUAGUGGGGCUCCUCUGAAGAAACGCCUAAGCUGGCGCACGCGGAGCCCCCAACUGGAGGAAGACAAGGGCGUCCAUUAUCUGAUGGGCCGGAUAAGAUUGCUGGCCCAUUCCGGAUUGACCAUGAUUGGAGUCAUGGCCACGUGCAUAAUGCGGGGGGUGCAGCCGCUGCAAUACAGGGGCCACCCCAUGUGGGAUUUCAACGGGGAAAAUGAUGCCACCCGUCAUGGCCGCAAAGGGCCGGAGUUGGCCGAAGAUCUGGUGAAGAUUCUGUCCGGCCUGUACAAGGGGGAGAAGGAAGACUUCCUCCAGACGAGCCCAUUGAAUGGGUUCUCAAUGAAUAACCCUCGGAGCUGGGUAAGCGGACAUUUAUUUAUCCGACCCAUGCUUUCAAAGUUAAGUACCUUACUUUAUGGAUUUGACGCAGGAACUGCGCCGGACUGUGGAGAGCAUACAUAGUCCGGCCACACAACCCGAGGAUCCGGGACGAUCCCUUGAUCCGGCCUCCGAAGAGGAUCCAGACAUAAAGGUGGAGCUAAUUGACGGGGUGUUCCACCAACUCAGCAUGGACAAUGCUUUAGUCGCCAUCACGGCUGACUACCCUGGCCUAACCCCGGCUUCCCAGGUGAAUAUGACCGAAGUCCUAACACCAUCAUUUCGUCCUUGCGCAUGUCUGACCACCGUAUAUAAUGGUGUCUCGCAGGAGGUGCCUUCAAGGCAGGAAGCCGAGCCCACGGCGGCUGACCAACAAGGGUCAGUCCGGCCCCGCAGGCGGAAGAGGAGUGCGGCGCGGGUCGAAACGUCACCGCAACGGUAUAUCCCGCGUCUUGUUAUUUAGGAAAAGGAUUUCCAGGAGGCGUAUUAACGCUCAUGACCUUUCCAGGAGAAAGAGCACUCGCCGGACGGUGUCCGGAGAGGUUGCCAACCAAGCCUCCGCCCGCCAGGCUCCAACACCUGGUCCGGAGGGGGAGGCGAGCGCAAGGCGCGAGCCGGAUUCUCCUCCAGUGGAGGAUGCCGACCGGCUGUCCACCACCAGGUCUGAGGUGGAGAGCGCCAUGAAUCAUAGGCAUCGCCGGACAGUUCUGCGUGACGCGUGUUUCUCCCCAGAGGCGUUGAAUGUCUUUAACGCGGGAGACGCGCACCUCCGUGCUACUCGAAAUGGUUUAACCAGAGCCACGGAGCAAUAUGUAAAAGACAUACGGGUAAGAGAUUUUAAUGGUUAUAUAUGCCAGUAGCCCUGAGACUUAAAGUAGUUAAAGUAACUGAUUUAAGGAUCAUAUAAUUUGCAGGAUCUUACAGAGAAGAAUGCCCAAUUGUCCAAGGAGUUGCAAGAGUGCAAGGCCCAACUUGAGGCCGCACUCGCUGCCACAGGAGGAGACACAGAGACCCCUCCUGGUAACACAUUAUUUCAAAAAGAUAAGCGGUGCGCGGCGUGCGUGUAAGUCUGACUUUGAUAUUGCAGAUGUUGUCAGACUGGAUCCAGACAAGCAACACCUACUGCGCCAGCUGAAGGCCGGCGAGAGGGUGCUUAUGAAGGUACAGCAGGAGAGGAACAAACUCCAGGAUGCCCAUACCCAGCUUGGGGAAGAGCUGAAAGGUGUUCGGGCUGAGCUGUCUGGCUCCGUGAAGGAGAAUCAGCGGCUUCAUCGCGGCAUCUAUGGUAAGUGCUUGAGCGAAUUCUUUUGAAAAGAAGAGUUCGACGAGGAAGCCUAUUGACAGAAAUAUGCCUUGUAGGUGUGCUCACAGGUCGCCCUGCGGAGGAAAUGCCCGUUUCGACGGGUGACCAACUUCCCGAGAUGGUGCAACUGCUCGAACGUGUUCGACAGGCGAUGAGUGGCGUCGUCCAGGCCCUAUGGCCAUCCGUCUCCCUACCCGAGGGCCUUGGAGAGCUUGCGGAGAAGCUUCAGGGAGCACGGCAGCGCUUCCGCUUACGGAACAUAUCGGCCUGCCGUUAAGGUGCCAGGAAGGCCUGGGCCAUGGUGAAGACGCGGUACAGGAAGGCGGAUCCAAACCACAUGGCCGAGGUCGGACCUGUGGGGCCCGAUGGGAAGGAGAUCCCUAUGAGCUUAGUGUAUGGCCAAGUAGAGUUGGCCGCUAAGUAUUCCCAACAGGACUGUAAAUUAGACAACCUGUUAGACAGGAUUGAGGAGGAGUACAAUCAGUUAUUUUGACGAUGUAUUUAAAAUGACAUGUAAAAUGCCUUCUAGCCGGAUUGUAGAUCGUUUGUCCUUGCCGACCUUUCCGCUUCGACCUCAGGACCCUAGAGUCCGGAGUGUGUCCGAAUACCUUCUCGGUUAUGACAAAACCGGGGCAUGCAUGGAGACCAGGCGUAGGGGUCAUUAGUGCUUUAUCAGACAAGUGCCCAACUAGUUAUGUUAUAUUACAUGGUUAGUAAGAAACAUCUUCCAGGGAGAAUAGUUCCGUUAAGGGUUCCUUUCCCUGGGAGGCAUGCCCUAAAGUGCAUGUCCGGACUGCGAAAAAAAGCAGGAAAACAUCUGGGGGCAGAUGGAUAAAUGUUUAAGAAAUCGUCUUUUAAGUCACCGACCGAAUAUUCCCUUAAGAACGCUAGCUUUUGGCUUCACCCAGUCUGAGGUACACAUCCGGCUGACCCGGCAGUAACAAUCGCAGAGGUGCUCCCUUUACCUCCUAGCCGAACAAUCGGGAAUGUAGGGGUAAGCACAGGAGCCAGGCAACCCAGCUUGGCCAAAACUUAAGUCAUAUCGAUGCAUAUAAUGGUGAAUAAAAGGUACAUGUGGAAGUUUGACACAUGUGCUGUGCAUGAAGCCCGGAUAAGUAAGCUUCUGGUAAAGAAGCCCCCAGGUAUAAUGAGUGCGGAUAGCACAUCAAGUGUGUGCGAACAAUGCGCAAAUAGGUCUCUAAGGGCUUUUAUGAAAAAGGUGAGAGAAAAGAGAGAAAUGAAAAGACGGCUGAAGUGUAAAAAUAUGGACGGAGGAAGGAAACGAACUCCUAGUCCGGCGCUAGGCAUAAAAUCUUCGAAGGCGGGCCGCGUUCCAUGGGUUCGGCUCGAGUCGGUUGUCCGAUGCAUUUCGCAGAUGGUAUGCUCCGCCGGUCAGGACUUGGUCGAUGAUGUAGGGACCCUCCCAUUUGGGCUUGAGUUUGUCCUUCUUCUUGUCCGGCAGGCGUAGAACUAGUUCGCCAACGUUGUAAGUUUUGGCCCGUACUUCUUUGCUUUGAUAUCUUCGAGCCUGCUGCUGAUAGAAUGCGGAACCCCUUUGCCACAUCGCGUUCUUCCUCCAAUGCGUCCAAGCUAUCUUGCCGAUCCAGCUCGGCUUCUCUUUCUUCGUACAUGCGCACUCGAGGUGAGUCAUGAAUUAUGUCGCAGGGCAAAAUUGCCUCUGCGCCGUAUACCAUGAAAAAUGGUGUGAAACCGGUAGUACGGUUUGGCGUGGUCCGCAGCCCCCAGAGCACGGAGUCAAGCUCCUCUACCCAGUGCAUGUUAGAUUCCGUAAGGGACCGCAAUAGUCUGAGCUUGAUGCCGCUCAUUAUCAGACCAUUUGCUCGUUCAACUUGACCGUUGGUUUGAGGGUGAUAGACUGAAGCAUAAUCGAGCUUAAUGCCCAUAUUUUUGCACCAGAGUUUGACCUCGUCGGCCAUGAAGUUCAUGCCGUUAUCGGUGAUGAUGCUAUGGGGGACGCUAUAACGGUGUACUACCCCGGAUAUGAAGUCUAUCACUGGUCCGGUCUCUGCCGUUUUAACUGGCUUGGCCUCUAUCCAUUUGGUGAAUUUGUCCACCAUGACCAAUAGGUACCUUUGCUUGUGGGUUCCCCCUUUAAGGGGUCCAACCAUGUCAAGCCCCUAGACCGCGAACGGCCAGGUAAUGGGUAUAGUUUUGAGGGCGGUAGGUGGCAUAUGGCUCUGAUUAGCAAAGAGCUAACAACCAACGCAUCUUUGGACUAAGUCCUGAGCAUCUUCCCGGGCCGUCGGCCAAUAAAAUCCUGUACGGAAGGCCUUACCUACAAGGGCCCGAGCUGCGGCGUGGUGUCCGCCUAGUCCGGCAUGAAUUUCAGCCAGAAGGUUUCGCCCUUCCUCUUCGGAGAUACACCUUUGAAGGACCCCGGUUGUGCUUUUCUUAUAAAGUACUCCCUCGUGGACCUUGUAGGCUUUAGAUCGCCGAACUAUGCAGCGGGCCUCAUUUUGGUCUUCUGGAAGUUCCUGCCUAAUUAAGUAGGCUAGGAAUGGCUCUGUCCACGGGGCAAUUACUGCCAUUAUUUCGUGGGCUGAAGGUGUUAUUUCAUCGGCCGAGCCGCCGAUUAUGUCAGAUUGUUCUGUGUUGGGUAGUGCGGCUGCUUCCGGGUUGUUAUUUCCGGACUCCUCUUCCCAUAGUACGGAUGGCUUAAAGAGCCAUUCCAGGAAGAUGUUUGGAGGGACAGCGUCGCGUUUCGCGCCAAUGCGUGCCAAUACGUCGGCUGCUUGGUUAUUAUCCCGGGCUACGUGGUGGAAUUCGAGUCCUUCGAACCGAGCUGACAUUUUUAGGACAGCGUUACGAUAGGCUGCCAUUUUCGGAUCCUUGGCGUCAAAGUCUCCAUUUACUUGGGAUAUUGCAAGGUUUGAAUCCCCACGCACCUCUAGGCGUUGAAUGCCCAUGGAGAUUACCAUCCGGAGGCCAUGUAGGAGGGCCUCGUAUUCGGCUGCGUUGUUGGAGUCCGUGUACAUUAUCUGGAGUAUGUAUUGGACUGUGUCCCCGGUUGGGGACGUCAAUACGACGCUAGCCCCCAAACCGGCCAACAUUUUUGAGCCGUCGAAAUGUAUAAUCCAAUUGGAGUAUGCGCCGUACUCUUUAGGGAGUUCGGCUUCAGUCCAUUCAGCGACAAAGUCGGACAAGACUUGCAACUUUAUAGCUCGUCGAGGUUUGUAAGUUAUAUCGAGUGGUAAGAGCUCAAUAGCCCAUUUUGCAAUCCUUCCCGUCGCGUCGUGGUUGUUUAUAAUGUCGUUGAGGGGCACUUCGGAGGCCACUGUUAUCGAACACUCUUGAAAGUAGUGUCGGAGCUUCCGAGAUGCCAUGAACACCGCGUACGCUAUCUUUUGAUAGUGUGGGUAACGGGACUUGCAGGGGGGUAAGACAGUGGAUACGUAGUACACUAGUUUUUGAAGAGGGAAUUUAUGCCCUUCUGUUUCUCGUUCGACGACGAGCACCGCGCUUACAACUUGAUGUGUUGCCGCGAUAUAUAACAACAUUGGUUCGCCCAGGUUAGGCGCAGCUAGGACUGGAUUUGUUGCCAAUAUGGCUUUUAUUUCUUCGAGUCCGGCAGUGGCAGCAUCCGUCCACUCAAAGUGUUCGGUGCGCCUGAGGAGGCGAUAGAGGGGCGAUGCCUUUUCUCCCAAACGGGAGAUGAAGCGGCUUAAGGCCGCCAUGCAUCCAGUCAAUUUUUGUAUUUGUUUGAGGUUUAUUGGAAUAUCCAUCUAUGACAGAGCUCGGAUCUUGGCUGGGUUUGCUUCAAUUCCUCUACUGGAUACAAUGAAGCCCAGGAGCUUUCCGGCUGGUACGCCGAAAACGCAUUUUUCCGGAUUCAGCUUGAUGUCAUAUGCUUAGAGGUUGUCGAAUGUGAGCCUCAAAUCGUCUACUAGAGUUUCGACGUGUUUGGUUUUGACGACUACGUCGUCUACGUAUGCCUCUACUGUUUUGCCGAUCUGGGUAGCCAGACAUGUCUGAAUCAUGCGCUGAUAUGUUGCGCCGGUGUUUUUGAGUCCGAAGGGCAUCGUGUUAAAGCAGAAUGGUCCAUAUGGAGUAAUGAAUGCCGUUGCGGCUUGGUCCGCCUCCGCCAUCUUAAUUUGAUGGUAGGCAAAGUAUGCGUCAAGGAAGCACAAUGAAUCGUGCCCUGCGGUAGCAUCGAUUAUUUGGUCGAUGCGGGGAAGGGGGAAGGGAUCCUUUGGGCAGGCCUUGUUGAGGUCUUUAAAACUGACACAUAGGCAUCAGGAUUUAUCCUUCUUUGGUUCCAUUACCAGGUUUGCUAGCCAGUCCGGAUGUUUGAUGUCUCUGAUGAAUCCGGCUUCCAGUAGUUUGGCUAGCUCUUCUCCCAUUGCUUGUCUUUUGGGUUCGGAAAAUCGCCGAAGAGCCUGUUUGACUGGCUUGAAUCCUUUUAGGAUGUUUAGGCUGUGUUCUGCCAAUCUGCGUGGGAUUCCUGGCAUAUCUGAAGGGUGCCAGGAAAAGAUGUCCCAAUUUUCCCGAAGGAAUUCUCGUAGUGCGGCGUCUACAUCAGGGUUCAACUGUGCCUCGAUGGAGGCCGUCUUUGUUCGGUCCGUUGGAUGGACCUGGAAUUUGACUAUUUCGUCAGCUGGUUUAAAGGAGGUGGACUUGGAUCUCUUAUCGAGUAUCACAUCAUCCCUAUUCACCGUGGAGCGCAGUGCGGUGAGUUCCUCUGCAGCUAGGGCUUCGGAUAGUGCCUCUAGGGCUAAUGCAGCUGUCUUGUUUUCGGCGCGGAGUGCUGUGUCCGGAUCACUAACGAGUGUGAUUAUUCCACUGGGCCUAGGCAUCUUAAGCUUCAUGUACCCGUAAUGGGGUAUGGCUUGAAAAAUUGUGAAUGCCUCCCGUCCUAAUAUAGCGUGAUAUCCACUGCUGAAUGGGGCCACUUGGAACGUGACUUCUUCAGACCUAUAAUUGUCCGGCGUACCGAACACCACAUCAAGUGUGAUUUUUCCUGUGCAACGUGCUUCCCGGCUGGGGAUUAUUCCUCUAAAGGUUGUGCUGCUUCACUCAAUGCGGCUCCAGUCGAUUUCCAUUUUUUGAAGACUAUCCUCGUAGAUGAGGUUUAAUCCGCUGCCGCCAUCCAUGAGUACCUUGGUAAGGCGAAAGUCGUCCACUAUUGGACUGAGGACCAAUGCAGCCGGUGCUCGGGCUGUUUGGAAUUUAGGUUCGUUGCUGGCGUUGAAGGUAAUGGCCGUGUCGCUCCAUGGAUUUGUUGUUGCUAAUUGGUAGAGUUCGGUGAGGCUGCGGAUUGUUCGUUUCCGCAUAUUAUUUGAUGCGAAAGUCUCGAAGACUGUUGACACCGUACUGGUACUAUUGGAGUAGCUCUCCGGGGCUAGAAGCUCUUCGCCAAUUUUGGCCACCUGCCGUAGUAUCCAACAUGCUCGAAGGCUGUGUGUUGGAGUGGCGCCUUCUGUACUGUGAAUUUUACAGGGUCCGCUGAGCCAUCCCUCCAGUACGGUUCCGUGCCCUUUAUGGGGUUUUUGCUUUUUGGUUUUUGUACCUGGUGCCUGAGUGUGAUGCACCCUUUUGUUUCGGACUAGGGUUGUAUUCGGGGCCGGAUUGUCCCAAAACAUAGUUUCGGUUUUCCGGAAACUCUCCAUCGCACAGUACUUUCGUACUAUGGACGCCAGAUCAGCGAAGCAUGUAAUUUCGCGACGACUGACGGCGUUCAAGAUUCCCUCGUCCGUGCAAUUAUUGCAGAAAAUUGAAAUUGCGCUUUCCUCACGGCAGUCCUUUAUCCUGUCCAUAACCAGGAGGAAUCUGGCCCAGUAAUGAUGUACUGUUUCAGCGGGCUCUUGCCGGAUUUGAGAUAGAUCACAUAUGUCUGGGUGGGUGGGUGGAAUUAAGUUCGGAACCCUACCCAUCUCGAGGCUCAAGGGCCGGAAAGUUUCCGAAUUUGGAAGCUUGGCUUGCUGUACGUUGUCCAACGAGUCUGGUCCGAUGCCUGACUUUAGGUUCAGUGCUUGAUCGACGUCCGUUCCUCCGCGGGAAUCCGGCAUGGAGGGUUCGGGAGUCCGGACAUGACUAGUUUUCAAUACAGAAGAAGAUUCGCCGCGUCGUUCCUCUACCACCGCAACGUGGUGGGUAACCUGGGGAGAGUUAAUCUCUUUCAGAUCGGUUUUAAGCCCAAUAUAAUUGUAGUCUGUAGCGACUCCCAGGGCGGCGAUGCGAUCCAAGAGCUCGUUUACGAACGAGAGCUCUAUUGGAUCCAACUGCUCGGCGAAUUCCGAGUUGACGUGAAGAUUGCUUUUGAUGACCCGAGAGGUCGUCGUUGAAGGAGUGGCCGAACAGGCGGUCAUAAGAAAACGACCUAGCCUGCUAGUUUGGCCGGCGGCCAAAGCUCCUUUGGUGAUGGUUCCGUCUUUAAAGGCGGGAAGAGGCAUCCUUCCUAUUGGUGACGGCACAGAGGAACUCUCAAUGAAAGCACCAAUGUCGGUGUCAAAACCGGCGGAUCUCGGGUAGGGGUCCCGAACUGUGCGUCUAGGCGGAUGGUAACAGGAGACAAGGGACACGUUGUUUUUACCCAGGUUCGGGCCCUCUUGAUGGAGGUAAAAGCCUACUCCUGCUUGAUUGAUAUUGAUGAUAUGGGUAGUACAAGAGUGGAUCUACCACGAGAUCAAGGAGGCUAAACCCUAGAAGCUAGCCUAUGGUAUGAUUGUUGUAAUGGUUGUGUGUCCUACGGACUAAAACCCUCCGGUUUAUAUAGACACCGGAGAGGGCUAGGGUUACACAGAGUCGGUUACAAUGGUAGGAGAUCUACAUAUCCGUAUCGCCAAGCUUGCCUUCCACGCCAAGGAAAUUCCCCUCGGGACACGGGACGGAGUCUUCAAUCUUGUAUCCUCAUAGUCUUGGAGUCCGGCCGAUGAUGAUAGUUUGGCUAUCCGGACACCCCCUCACCCAGCAAUUGGCCCAACAGAAAACUGAGGUGACACUGGACCAGAAAGCUGGGCUUCCAAAGAUGAUGGGCUAGAUUCCUGGUUUCCAGUUUGAACUGGAGGGAUUCCCGCUUCCGCAAAUUGUGCAGAGAGAUUACCAGAAACCACGGGCCGCGGAUCCACAGUUACCAAACCAGGUGGGGGCGGCGCGAUCGACCGGUGCAACUCCAGCAAUGGUUGAACAGUACCAAACACGAUCGGUGUCCGAGCCACCGUCCAAUGCAAGUCAAGGGGGGGGGGGCUUGUCUAAUAACAACACGCUCAUGAGCAAAAAGAGUAUAACCCCCAUCCAUAAUAGUAUCAAUGCAAUUUUGAGAAGCAGGAUAUCUAUAACCCUUGCAGGCAGAGUACUGCUCAAAAGUGGCGAAGGUCAAUUUCUUUCGUACUGCGGAAGCUGACUUGAGGGAAGAUCUAAUCGGAGGCCUAUGCAUCGCCAAAAGACCCAGAGAAGAUCGACGUUUAGUAGGACUAAUCAUAAUCCACUCUGCAUGACAUUCCUGACGCCAGAUCUUAAGUUCCCGAACCCAAUUAGGCCCUCCAUUGCCCCAGAGAUUGAAAUAACAUUUGAACAGAUCGCAAGCAAAAGAACGCAGAUCCAGAAUAAUAAAACCAACUUGCUUGCAUGAAACUUGGAAAGAAAAAACCUUGUCUUUGACGUGGAGAACCCGUAGGUCAAUUGCCGAUCCACCAAUUGCAGCCUCCAAAACUGCCGCCACCGAAUCCUCCGACAACCGGAAAGCAUGGUGGCUAAAGGACACAAUUAAUGUGAAAGCCCUUCAUCCCAUUGGGUGGAUCAUUUGAUCAGUGGAUCUGAAAACCUCAUCAGAGAAAGCCCUACCCUUGGAGAAAUCCAAGCCAAGAGUAGAUCCACCAGAUGAACCCAUAAGAGAUGGGUAUUGCCUUGAUCCAGAGGAGACGCCGAAGAAGAUGAUCGGAAGGGAUCCACAUAUUAGUGGAUGAGGGUGAAGAUCGUUGGUGGUGAGGUCAGCGCCGAGGUGGGAGGUGGGAGCGCCAUAAGGAGUUGUCAGCACGACCCAUUCUUCCCAUGAGUAUACCCGCAAAAUGAAGAAUCACUGUGAGAGCACAUACUUUGAGGAUUGCUAUCUCUCGCAUAUGGGAAGCAAUUACAGAAUAGCCUGCCAUGAAUGGGAUUCUUUGCCAAGAUCACCGCCAGUCAAGUCUGCAAAUGUUAUCAUUAGGAGAUGGUGCAUUUUUCUAUCAGUCAAGUCAAGCAACAGUCAAACUUUUGGUACAGAUUAGAUAUGAAAGACAGUGAAGUUGGGCAAGGUAAGUCAGAAAAUGCCUGCAAGAAGUCAGAAUCCAUCAGAAAGCCAAGUAUGAUUCCUAUCACUGCUUUGAACCCACAAGGUAUGCAUAUAUUCAAACAGUCUGAUGUCUGAAUAGAGGAGAUUCCUAGUUCCACGGGAAGAUGUGUUCCCCAACCCCGUGGAAUAUUCUCGACACUCGAUACAAGAAUAACAUCUCCAACAAGGAUCAGUAUCGAGAAGGACACAUAUGACAACAAUGAUAAUCUUUUAGACCUCAGCUAAGCCAGCAGAUGUGAAGGGAAAUUUGAGUCAAUAUGAAUAGGAACAUAUGAGGUAAGUUCUAUCCGAAUGUCAGAUACGAUGAAGCAAACUACCCCAGAUCAAGGUAGUCAGUCAGAUCCAACUCAGUGGGAAUAUUAUAUGAGAAUGAAUAAAACAAACCUGAGUUGUAAAACGGUUUCUUCAAGUCAGAAAAAUUAUUUAUCGUUGAGCAACCAAAUCUCGAGGAUGAGAUUUCUUUAGGGGGGAAGGUUUGUGACACCUUGGAUUUUUGCCCUUUCCUUUUUCCUUUGAUUUUCUUGGAUUUAUUAAUUUGAAUUGCUUUUCUGUGGCUAUGUGGUUCUAAACUUUGGGAAGAUCAUGUCUUCCUAGGUUUUAUAGUGGCUUGUCAUCCCCAAAACCAUCCCUAGCUCAUGUCAUUUUCAUCCUAGCCCAAAUCCCAAUAUUCUUUUAUUGGGAAUAUUCCUUUUUUAUUAAAGGAAUAACCCUUGAUACCCUAGGUUGUGAGGAAACCUAUAAUUCUGUCACUCCCAAAAUUCCCAAAUAAUUCUAAUAAAUUGUUUGGGUCCUAUCUUGCUCAAAUGUGCAAAUUAUUUCAUUGCCAUGUUCAAAAAUCAUCCUCCAAUAAUACUUUUCCUAUUCUGCCCUAACUGGCACUUUGCAAAGCAAGUGCUAUUUACCUUUAUCCAAUUGACCCCCAACUUCUUGGAUAUAUUUUAUUGUCCAUAUAAUUGCCCCAUGCCAAAAUUCAACUCAACUUGCUUAGUAAAUAUUCCUGAGCAAUUUUUCAGAAUUCCUGUCUGAGGGAAGACAUUGUGAAGGAAGUACUAGCUAGGCAUAUCCAAAUGAGUUGAAAUUUUUCAAGGUCCUUCAUAUGAUAAAAUCAUGACUAUCCUCUAAAUUUGAGCUCAUGUAACUCAUUUAUGUGAGCCCAGCUCCAAAUCUUUGUUUCUGGUCAGAUUUUCAGUUUGUGAAGCAACUAUAUUUUGCAUUGAUUCAUUUAAGCUGAAAAUUUUCCAGGGCAUUCUCCUAUCCAUAUAAACUCCCUCCACCAAGUUUUGGCUCAAUCCAUUGCUCCAUUUUCCCUAUGCAAUUUUCCCAAAAUUCUGUCCAGAGAGAUGCUUUGUGAAGCAAGUGCCACUUUGGCUCAUCCAAAUGGCAUGAAACUUUUUGGGCAUCAUCAUAUUACUAAAUCAUUGGGCCAUGACCAUUUUCAUCUUAUUUCAUGCACUUAUGUGAGCACAACUUGAAAACCUCCAUUUCUGGCCAGUAUGGCACUUCCUACAACAACCACCCUCUAAACUCCUCCUAUUAAGCUGGUUUUUGGUGAUCAGGAUCACCUUAUUGUGUGAUCAUCACCAGACAAAUCAGUUCCUUCAUUGCCAAGUUUGUGUCCCCUCUGUGAAGCACAAGCAGGUUGUUUUGGCCCCUCUUGCUUUUCUCUUCUUUGCCCCUGAACCGACUUAUUGCUUCUUUUAGACUCAGGGUAUCAUGGUCAUUCUACUGGACAUGGUCAGUUCGGACAGAACACACCGUGUAUGCUAGCUCACGCGAUGACCACGGGGUGCAAGCCCAAAACCGUGCUCUGGCGCAUUGUCGACCAUGUUCCCGUCUAGACGUCCCACUUUGCUAGGAGCUAGCUCGUGAUCACCUGCAGCUUCUGGUGCCUCUGCACCACAUUAUCUCGCCGGCGUUUGGUCACAAUCGACAUGCCCGUGCCGGAAACCACCUCUAUCCUCCAUUGUUGUCUAGUUGGAGCUCGCCCGUGAGCUCGAGAAGCCUCCCCCGCACCUAUAUAAGAGACCCCCAAGUCCUCCCGUAGCUCCCAAGCCCCUCCCUUGCCUCAUUUCUCACCGGAGUCCUCAGCCCCCUCUUCUUUUCGCCGGAGAUCGCCUUGUCCGCCUUGGUUCCUCCUCGGUUCCAGUGAGCCUAGCCUCCCUUUCCUCCUCCAGAGUUGUCCACCGCGUUCCUUUCCUCCCCACGGUCCUCCCCACCCCACUACUUCGUCGCCGGAGCCACUCCGACCGCGAUCACCGAGUCCGGCCGUCGCCUCCGUAUAUCAGCCAUUUCUUUGUCCAGCCUUCCCGAGCUCCCUCGCACCCUUCCCACCACCUCAUCAUUAUCCCCACCUCCUAGAGGUCCGCCCCACAAUAUCAGCCUCACCGGAGUAGUCCCACAUCUUCGCCAACGGCCGCCUCCUGUCCGCUCCUGUCGCUCUUUGUCUUCGGUCGUUGCCAUUGUUCCUUGCUGCCUCAAUGCCCCUGCUCCCUGGGAGUGGACACGCCGCACCACUGCGAGCCCACCGGUGCCUUCGCCUUGACCGGAGCUGGCCUGGGCCGGCUGCCCCUUGUCGUGGCCCUACUCUGCUCUGUUUUGUUCCGCUCGGGAACGAAUAGGAGCGAGGUGAGGAGGAAGACGACGCCCAGCCAGCUGGCCAGGCAGGCCCCGCCUCCCCUCUUGGCCCCACGCGUAAGUGAGAUAACCCCAGGCCCAACUCUGUUAAGUGGAAGCGUAUUUGUAAAAAUACAUUUUUGUUUUAUAGAAAGCAUAUUCCUUCUUUCUUUUGUCCAAAAUGCGUUUUCCCUUCUGGAAAGCGUAUUUCCUUUAACUACAACUGAGAAUACCUUUUCCUUUUCAGAAAAUGUAUUCAGCCGAGGCGCUUUCUGUUUUCUGCUCCAGGGACCUGUUUGCUGAAGAAAUAUUCAUAGAUUGGUCCAUCUCCUUCCACCCUUCGUAAAUUUUCAACCGUAGCUCCGAUCGAGGUGAAACCAACGCUCACAUCUUCGUCUCGUCAUGUUAUUUCUGUUGCUAGCACUUUCACUAGGUGGUCCCACAGCGAAAAGGACCAUUUUGCUCUUGUCUCCAAUCAGCCCCCUCCGAGAGAGAACCAUCCGGUGUUUCAUUUCCGCAGCUUCACCGCACUUCUUCCUGCAGUCUCCAUCACCACCAAGCAAGCCACAACAUCCACUUGCAUGAUGGCCAUACAGUAUCCACGGUUUCUACUUGAAUAUUAAAUAAAAGUUUGUUGUUAUCUACCUGCUUGUUAGCUACUAUUGUCGUUGCUUCGGUUAUGCUCGUGGAUUCUUGUUCACCUUCAGGCUAUGUUAUGAUGCAUCGUGAUAUCUUAUGCUACUUGCUAGUAUCAUUUUCACAUGUCAUGCUUGUUAGUAUUAGUACAUUCUGGUCGUAGUGAUGUUAUUUUGACGCAUGCUUAGUCUGUUAUGCAGUACCGUUUCUAUGUUUGUUCCGUUGCAUCUAGUUGGUUACAUACUUACUUGGUAGUGUUUUUGCUAUGUUCUUGCAUGGUAUUUAUUCAUGAUGCUAGUGGUCAUGCUAUGCUUAUGGUAGAGUUAUGCUUGUUGUCGGGUGGUAGUUGCGACAUAUGCCAACGGAUGGCUUAUCAUUGUGGGAGCCAGUAAGACAUCGCCGGUGCCUGGAAACGGGAUGAGGCGAAGACAUGCACACCGGUGAAUCUUACCCCAGCUUCCGGGCUCUCCGUGGAGAUAACACCCUUACUGCUGCUCUGCGGGGUCUCCGCAUGGUCACUAGUUCAACAAGUAGCUACAGGAUGCUCCUUGAGCUGUUCGAUGGGAGGAGGAAGAAGGGCAAGGCUAGCUCUUUUCUCUCCCUAUGGUAGUGUCUAAAACUCUAUGAGAUCAACCCUUUGCAUGGGUGUCUCGGGGGGUUUAUAUAGGCCUACCCCCCGGGGGUACAAUGGUAAUCCGGCUGGAUGUGGGCCCAGGCCGUCAGUGUCUGCAACCGCCGCCUUCUCUGCGGACUUCUGGGGCCCGCCGACUGGUGGGUCCCGCCGGCUGUCGGCCCGCUGGUCGACAGGCCGGCCCCACCGCUUGGGGCAUCUUGUCGGGGCUGGUUACUGUGGCCUCGCCUCUGAUGACGAGGGCUUUGUCGAGGUAAGCAUGGCUACAGUGCCGCCGCCCUACGGGCUCCCACUGUAGCCUCACCGCGUCUCAUCUGCUUAAUGGUGCACGCGCCCCGAGGGGGAGCAAGCUAGCUAUUGGAAACCGGCCCAGCCUUGGGCCGGCUGAGAUAGGCCGGUCCACCUUCGGAUGUCUCUCUGGCCGAAGGGGCCCGCCGCUUGCGGGCCGUACCGGCGACCCGUCGUGGUUGGCAUCAUGACUCUCAUGGCAACAGUGCCACGUCGGACGGGGGAUGGCUGCCCCGUACGGCGUACUGUAGCCAUGCAUUCACCGGGAUUUGGGGGAUGGCAGGGUUUGCUGUAGCCAUGCCAUGUCCCGUCACCGUUAUGGGUGAUGGUAUUUGGAGGCGGCGUUCGGCUACUUGCUUCUUGGAGUCGGCCCUUCAUGGGCCGCCUUCGAGGAGUCGGUCCUUCAUGGGCCAGCUUUUGGAGUCGGCCCGAUCGUGGUGUCCUCCAAAGGUUGUUUUAUGGUCGGGCCGCCUUCGGCCAGCUGGCCUAGGUGAUAGCCGGCCGGGAGAAGGCGGCCCCGUGUCUUAGGUGCUUCGAGGUUCGAUCGGCCCGUUGUUUUUUCUGAGGGCCAAAGGGAGCCGGCUAGGCUACCCGUGGUCAUUUACUCCGAUAGUAGUCCCUAAAGCUGGUUGGGCUUCGCGGAUGAAGGGAAAUCGAGAAGCUCGGCUAGCUUCCUAUCCCGAGGAGCCGGCAGCUAGGAGCCGGCCUCUCUUGCGUGUUCCUUCUCGGCGAAGCCUCCUCAAAAUUCGAAGGCGGGAAACAGCUGGCGUGCCAGCCAGGCGGCAGGCUGACCGCCCGCUUUCCGCAUGUUGCGUGGCACCCUUAGGCUGGCAAGGCGUGCCAGCCCACGUGCGUGACGGGACGCUGUUGCAGGCCGGGGCCCGCCACUCCCGUGCCUCAGCCCAUGCGCGGAUCUUCUAUGGCCCGAACCGACCCCACGUCUUCCGGCGNNNNNNNNNNNNNNNNNNNNNNNNNNNNNNNNNNNNNNNNNNNNNNNNNNNNNNNNNNNNNNNNNNNNNNNNNNNNNNNNNNNNNNNNNNNNNNNNNNNNNNNNNNNNNNNNNNNNNNNNNNNNNNNNNNNNNNNNNNNNNNNNNNNNNNNNNNNNNNNNNNNNNNNNNNNNNNNNNNNNNNNNNNNNNNNNNNNNNNNNNNNNNNNNNNNNNNNNNNNNNNNNNNNNNNNNNNNNNNNNNNNNNNNNNNNNNNNNNNNNNNNNNNNNNNNNNNNNNNNNNNNNNNNNNNNNNNNNNNNNNNNNNNNNNNNNNNNNNNNNNNNNNNNNNNNNNNNNNNNNNNNNNNNNNNNNNNNNNNNNNNNNNNNNNNNNNNNNNNNNNNNNNNNNNNNNNNNNNNNNNNNNNNNNNNNNNNNNNNNNNNNNNNNNNNNNNNNNNNNNNNNNNNNNNNNNNUUCACACGCUCUCCCUCGCCCUGCCUCCUUCUUCUUCUGCCUCGCUGCGGUAGUUCCUCGCUGUGCUCCUGCCUCGCCAUCCAUUCUUCCUCCUAGCAGGGCGCUCCCCGUCGUCGCGCUCGCUGCCAUGGCUCCGAUGUAGAGAUCUUGGGACGUCUCCACCAUCCGUGAUGACCACAUCGAGUUUCUCCGCAAGACGCGGUGGCUGCCAAGCGAGGAUCUCGUGCAAGUCCGCCUCGCGCUAGUAAGGGAGGUCUCGCCGGCGCCGGAGGAAGGCGAACGAGUGAUCUUCUACUCGCACAGCAUGCGCGACGUCGACCUCCCCGCUAGUGGCUUCUUCCGCGCGUUCCUGGACUUCUACCAACUCCAGCCGCACCACCUCACUCCCAACAUGGUGGUGCUGCUGUCGGCCUUCGUCUCUUUGUGCGAAGGCUUCCUCGGCGUCCUCCCCACCAUCGAGCUCUGGGGGGAGUUUUUUCAAUCCAAGCUCGGCACGGUCGUCGCCGGCGUGCCGGCUCCGUGCGGCGCCUUCGUCGCCAUGAGGAGGUCCACCGCCAACAACCCCUUCCCUUCAAUUGCGCUGAUCCAGUCGGUGAAGCUCUGGCAACGGUCUUACUUUUAUGUAAAUAACGUUGCCCCAAACGGCGAUUAUGUCAACCUGCCGGCUUACAUAGCCGGCACGCCGGCUGGGAGGCCGGCUUCAUGGUCCUACCGGGCGAGAUCGCUGAUGCCGGCUGGAGCCGAAGCCGUCGCCCGACUUCGGGUGCUCAUCUAGUCUGACCGCCUGACCGGGCCCGACUUGAUCGCCGCCUUCGUCGAGCACCAGGUCCUGCCGCUCCAAGGCCACCCUCAUCUGAUCUGUCAGAUGAGCGGCCGCUUCGACCCAAGCCGGCUCAGCACCAAGGAGAUGCCUCACGACAAGGUGUCUUAUAUGGUGAACUACAUCGCCAACUGCAAGCUCAAGCCAGAUUGGCAGUAUGGCAUGGCGCCAUUCUCUCGCCCCAAUCCACCACCUAUGGUAAGUUUCUCUCUUUUUUUGUUUGUUACCGAAUCCCUUUCCGGGCCGACUCUUGACCAGUCGGUCCGUCCUCAAUCAGAACCCCCUUCUUCAUCCUCCAGCCAGGACCGCGGGGCCGGAGCGCGAGUUCGACCCCGACCGCGCGGCGGACGAUCCUGAUGACGCCGACUUGGGGGCGGCCGCCCUGGACGAGGACGCCACGGGGGGCGGCGGCGAGGCAGGCGGCUCCGGCUUUACCGCCGGCUUCAAAGACUGGUCCGAUGAUGAUGAAGCCGACCCCGCUCCACGCCGCCAGCCGGUGUUCGACCCCCAAGGCGCCGACCCAUCCGGCGGGCCGGCCGCACAAGGCGGCGUAGUGAAGCACCAAGCGGCACCGACUCCCUUCGGCGGCUGUCUGAAGAGGCCCAAGGUGCCCGCGGCGGCAACCAAGCGGGACGAGGUGGCCACGAAGGCGGCCCGCUUCCGCAAGGUUGUAAAGCAGCCGCAGGCUAUCUCUGCGUAAGUUCUAGUCUUUACGCAACUUUCUUUCUUUUCUUCGGUUGAUGUUCUUCUAAGUCUUUUUUCCUGUUUUGUCAAUCAGGGCCCCGCUCACUCUUGAGCGGACUACCGCUGCCUCCAUAGUCAGCGGAGCGGGAGGGUCUGUGGGCUCCCAUCGCAUGGAUCCCCGCGCCGAGCUUCAGGCGGCGACGGAGCGGAACGCGCGGGAAGCGCGGGAGGAACGGGAGGCGGAGGAGAGAAUGGCAGCCACCGCCGAGCCAGCCCUGGAGACGACGCCGAAGUUGGUUGAGGCGCAGGCCGACGCGGCGGCCAGGGCCCGGGCGGAGGCCGAGACCGCAGAGAAGAUGGCGGAGACCCUGCGAGGCUAGCCUCCGCGGCUCGUCAUCCGCCUCCGUUCCGCGCCCCCGGACGUCCCGCAGCCCCGCCGGAGGAGAUCAGCCGCGACCCGCCGGUGACGGAGAGGGAGGAAGGUGACGUAGUCGUCCUGGAGGGAGGAGUGGUGACGCCUCCAUCGGCUGGGACCGGCCAAGGUGGCCAGCCCGAGGUACCGCCUGAGCAGCCGACUGCGCAGGCGGAUCUUGUGGUCCUGUCGCCGGCUCGCCGGCGUACGGUGAGGGCGACUUCAGAGCCGGAUCAGCAGAGGGCGGCCGCCUCCAGCUCGCUGUCGCAUGAGCUGGAGUCGGCCACCACUAGCUCACUAGGGUGGACGCAGGGCGGUGGGACAGCCGCGCUGAACUUGGUCGCGCAAGACGUCCGCAGCCGGCUACAAUCCCAAGCCACCGCGCUGCAACAAUGUACCCAAGAAUUUCUCGCGACGCAGGCGGUCGUUCGGGUAAGUUCUUUUGUUCUUGAUUUCUAUCCGUGGGGGCGCGUCAGAGCACCCACUGGGUGUAGUCCCCAAGUUCCGAGCCGGCUGCUGAGCAGGUGGCUUGGAACUUCCUCGAAGACUUGUUUUGCUGACUUGCUCUUGCUUGCUUCUUCGUCCUAUUUGCAGGAUUACCACAACCUCCACGCCGCUACCUUCAACUCCCAGGUCCGGGAGGCAUACAAGAGGGCCUCCAAUCUGACGGAAAGCCGGCAUGAGUGUUUUUGUCUUUUCAUGUCAUGUGGGGGCACGUCAGCGCACCCACUGGGUAUAGUCCCCGAGAUUCGGGCCGACUACUGAGUAGUCGGGUCGGAUCUUUCUUGCCGACUUCUUUCUUAACUUUCUUGUUUCCAUGCUGGCAGGAGCUAACGCCGACCAAAGGCAGCAGCUGGGUAUCGCCCAAACCACCCUUCACACCAAGGAGGGCGAGCUCAAUGCCUUGGCCCAGGAGCAUGACCGCCUGGCCAAGAGGUUGCCGACCAGGAGGAAAGCCACCAGGCGGCCCUGAAGGCGGCCCAGGACAGCGAGGCCGCCCUCAAAGCCGAAUUCGAGACCGAGGUGGCGGGUAGGGCAAGGCAAGGCAAGCUCUGAGCGAAGGCUACGGCCGUGUUGAAGACCUAGUUGACGGUAGGCCGCCUUCUUCUUCACUCUUUGCUUGUUCUUGCAAGUCGGUUUAGCUCCUGAUUUGCUCUGUUUUUUCUUCUUCUUUGUGAAGAGUACUUUCCUGGCCAUUCUAUCGCUGCCAACCAAGCCAUUGAAGCCCACCGAGAGGCACGCGCGAACGCUCCGCCUACUACUAACGACGACCAGGCCGAGACUCGCCAGCCGGCCACUCCUCCAGCCGACACUGCCGUCUCCACCGUUCUUCCUGAAGCCCCGGGCGCUCCCUUGGCUUGCUUUAUCAUUUACGUCCCUUCUAGCUACUCUUUGGACAAAACUUGUUAUUUUGUGCAAUUCCACCCACUGGGGGUGUAUUCAAACUUCGUUGAAUGUCGGCCUUCCGAAGGCCUUUUUUAUGUAAAUAUUAUUAUGCAUGUGUUUGGUUUCCAUUCCGACUUGCUUUUUAUCUUUUAGCUUUCUUCCUUUGCCGCCUUCCCUUGGUUGCCGCCUUCCCAGCCGGACAGCUGCUCUGCAGUCUGUGGCCGGGUAAGGAAUUCGGCCGUUAUAGGAAGGCAAAGGUUCGAGCCUUCUUAGAUUUUGGUAGAGUAGGAAAAGAAGCCGGCCAGCCGACUGCUUCUACAGUCGGUUGGCGAGGGGGGAAGCCGGCUUGUGUUAUGUAAGUUUGUUAGUCCUUAGCCUUUUUUCAUGUGGGCAUGCUUUCCGCCUUUAGCUCUUGCUAGUCGGGCAGCUGAUUCUUCGAGCUAUGACUCUCGCAAGAGAGGGCUUGUGUGCCAGCACAUUACUUGUCUGACUAUAGGUAGAACUUGGACAUAACUCAAGGCGGCAUGUCCCCGGGCCGACUAGUCAGACCCGGUGCCGGACGGAGAAAGUAAAUGCAGUAGGGUAAUCACGGGAGUGAUACCCGACAUACAUAGAUAAAAUAGGGCAGUCCCCGAGAACUCCUCGGGGGCCCGUUGUCUCAUACUUAAUACAAAGGGUAGCGUGAUACAUACUGCAUUUCAACUGUAAAAUCUUUGAAGAAGAUUGGCGUUCCACGGGCGCUUCGACUCCUUGUCGGAGUCGUCUCUCUUGCGUGCUUUCGGCUUCUGUGCAUCGAUUAGGUAAUAGGAGUCAUUUCCCAGAGCCUAGCUGAUGACGAAGGGGCCUUCCCAAGGGGCAAGAGCUUGUGCUGGCCGGCUGUUCGCUGGAUUAGCCGGAGCACAAGGUCUCCCUCUUGGAAAGUUCUUGGCUUCACUCUCCGACUAUGGUACCGGCGUUGUCCUUGCUGGUAGAUGGCAGACCGACUGAGGGCUAUCAGCCGGCUUUCAUCCAACAAGUCAACACCGUCUUCUCUUGCUUCCUUGGCCUCCGCCUCCGUGUACGUGCUGACUCGAGGUGAGUCGAACUCGAUGUCAGUUGGGAUGACAGCCUCAGCACCAUAUACAAGGAAGAAGGGGGUGAAGCAAAUCAACUUGUUUGGAGUAGUGCGCAGACUCCAGAGUAUGGCCGGUAGCUCAUCGAGCCAGCAGCCGGCCGAAUGCUCUAGUGGCACGACCAGUUGGGGCUUGAUUCCGGAGAGGAUGAGGCUGUUUUCUCGCUCGACUUGACCGUUUGACUGUGGGUGGGCAACAGACGCUAAGUCCAUACGGAUGCCCUGUGUCGCGCAGAAACGUGCCAAUGCUCCCUUGGCGAAAUUUGUGCCGUUGUCGGUGAUGAUGCUGUGUGGUACACCGUACCGGGUUGUAAUGUCGGCAAUGAAUGUCACGGCAGUCGGCCCAUUCAGCUUCUUGAUCGGCUUUGCUUCAAUCCACUUGGUAAAUUUGUCUACGGCGACCAGCAGAUGUGUCAUGCCGCCGCGCUCCAUUUUGAAUGGUCCGACCAUGUCUAGUCCCCAGACGGCAAAGGGCCAAGUGAUGGGAAUGGUCUUGAGUGCAGAGGCUGGCAGGUGUUGCUUGGAGCCAAAAACUUGGCACCCUUUGCAGUGUUUGACUAGUUCCUUGGCAUCCUCCAACGCAGUUGGCCAGAAGAAUUCAUGGCGGAAGGCCUUGGCGACGAGCGCCCUGGAGGCGGCAUGGUGGCCGCACACGCCUUGGUGGAUGUCUUUGAGGAUUGCUAUGCCCUUCUCUUGCUCGACGCAGCGCUGGAAGACUCCGGUAGAGCUGCGCCUAACUAGCUCUUGAUUCAUUAUUGUGUAGGCUUCGGCUCGGCGUUUGACUUGUCUGGCCGAGAUCUCGUCAGUCGGUAGUUCUCCAUUCACCAGAAACCGGAGGAUGGGCUGAGCCCAUGAUGGAGCUAUGAUUUCUUCCACUGCCAAGACGGCUACUGCGACCAGGGUGGGCGGGCUGGGUUGUGAGGAGUUGGAGUCGGCCUCCGCCUGCUGUGCCACUGCAGUCCCCGGGCUAGGAUCGGCUAUGGCAUUCCUCGGGCCGAGUUUGACUAUGGAAGUCCCCGAGCCGGCUGCCGAAGUCCCCGGGCCGCCUUCCUGGUCCCCAAAGUCGGAUCCGACUGCGUCGGGGUCAGGCGGCACAAAGAUGGAACUAGAUUCCGGAGAUGGCUUGACAGAUGGCUUGAAGAGGUGUUGGAGGGCGACGCCGGUUGGUAUAGCUUGUCGGGUGGAGCCUAUUCAUGCCAGGGCAUCUGCUUGCUCAUUGUAGGCCCGUGGCACGUGAAGGAACUCGCACCCCUCGAAAUAUCCGCUGAGCUACUGGACAAGGAAACGGUAGAUCGCCAUGUUUGCGUCCUUGGCAUCCCAGUCACCGGAUGAUUGCUGUACCACUAAGUCCGAGUCGCCAUAACACAGGAUCCGGCGGAUGCCGAGUUCCUUGGCUAGCCGGAGCCCGUGUAUGAGCGCCUCAUACUCGGCCACAUUGUUGGAGGCGGCAAAGUCGAUUUGCAAUGUGUAUCUAAGUUCGUCGCCUUUGGGAGAGGUGAGGACAAUGCCGGCUCCCAAGCCGGUGCGCAUCUUGGAUCCGUCAAAAUGCAUCCACCAAUGAGUGGAGUCCGAAGCCGACGGCAGGUACUGGGUCUCGGCCCAGUCAAUGAAGAAGUCGGCUAGUGCUUGGGACUUGAUAGCGGUGCGGGGAUGAUAGUAAAUUGUGUACGGAGCCAGCGCAAUGGCCCAUUUCGCCACUCGGCCGGAUGCAUCCCGGCUGCCUAUGAUCUCGGCAAGCGGGGCAGUGCAUACGACCGUGAUGGGAUGCUCUUGAAAGUAGGGCUUGAGUUUCUUGGAGGCGAAUUACACACCAUAGCACAUUUUCUGAUAGUGCGGGUAGUUCUAUUUCGAGGUGGAUAAUACUUCGCCCAAAUAAUACACCGGCCUUUGAACUAGCUGAGCUCGGCCUUCUUCUGGGCGCUGAACCACAAUGACUGUGCUGACCAACCGGCUGGUGGCGGCGAUGUAGAGGAGCAUGGGCUCCUUCUCAGUUGGGGCCGCCAAGACAGGCGACGUGGACGACAUCUUCUUCAACUCAUGGAAAGCUUGAUCCGCCUGGUCAUUCCACUCAAAGUGAGCAGACUUCUUCAUAAGUCGGUAGAGUGGGAGAGCCUUCUCUCCGAGCCGGCUCAUGAAGUGGUUCAGAGAUGCCAGGCAUCCGAUGAACUUUUGGACGUCUCGCAGCUUGGUAGGGACCUUCAUUCUCUCUAUGGCCUUGAUCUUCACUGGGUUGCACUCGAUGCCGCGUUCGGAGACCAAAAAGCCCAGAAGUUGGCCGGCUGGUACCCCGAACACACAUUUCUCUGGGUUGAGCUUGAUCUGAAACCGGCACAAGUUCUCAAAGGUUUCCUUGAGGUCUUCCAGCAGGGUGCCGCGUUUCUCUAUCUUCACCACAACAUCGUCUACAUAGACGUGGGCAUUUCUGCCAAGUUGCUUGAGGAGGCAUUUCUGCAUGCAACGCUGAAAAGUGGCACCGGCAUUUCUCAAGCCGAAUGUCAUAGUCAGGUAACAGAAAGCUCCAAAUGGGGUGAUGAAGGCGGUCUUCAAGCGGUCAGCCAGGUUCAACUUAAUCUGGUGGUAGCCGAAAUAGGCAUCCAAGAAACUCAAGAGCUCGCAUCCGGCUGUGGAGUCUAUCACUUGGUCAAUCCUGGGCAGGGCGAACGGAUCUUUGGGGCAGGCCUUGUUGAGGCUGGUGUAGUCUAUGCACAUGCGCCACUGCUUUUUCUUCUUCAGUACGAGAACCGGGUUGGCAAGCCAUUUUGGAAAGAACACUUCCAUAAUGAAGCCGGCCGCCAGAAGCCGGGCUAUCUCUUCUCCGACUACUCUUCUCUUCUCUUCUGACAGGCAGCGCAAGGGCUGCCUGACCGGCUUUGCAUCAGAUAGGACGUGUAGCUUGUGCUCGGCGAAAUCCGUCGGGACACCCGGCAUGUCUUUGGGAGACCAUGCAAAGACGUCCUGAUUCUCGCGGAGGAAAUCGACGAGCUCGCCUUCCUAUUUGCUGUCAAGGCAUGUGCCUUUGACAGCGUGCCUCUCUGGGUGCUCCGGGUCCAGGGGUAUCUUCUUUGUCUCCUUGGCUGGAUGGAAAGAACCUUGAGCUUCACAUUCUUUGGGGUUAGGAGACAAAGCCGGCUGCUUGCCAGCCAGGGCCACAACUCGGUCCAGCAUCUUCUUUUCUUCAGCAAUCAGGGGGAACUCGGCCAGCCGACUGCUGGCUGCUGCACACUCAGAAGACUUCUUGUAGUCUCCGGCUAUGGUGAUAAUGCCCUUGGAACUCGACAUCUUCAUCUUGAGGUAGGCAUAGUGGGGCACAGCCAUAAACUUGGCCAACGCUGGUCGGCCAAGUAGUGCAUGGUAUGGGCUCUCCAAAUCCACUACCUCGAACCAUAUUGCCUCUUGGCGGAAAUGAUCCUUGUAUCCAAAGAGGACAACCAUCUUAAUUUUGCCGAUUGGUGAGCAGGACAGGCUGAGUACAAUGCCAUGGAACACAAUCCGGCUAGGCAUGAGUUGCUUUGGCUUGAUGUUGAGCUUCUCCAUUGUGUCUCGGUACAGUAUGUUGAUACUGCUCCCGCCAUCUAUCAGUACGUGGGAGAAACGAGCAGCGCGCCUCUCUGUCGCCAGGGUAGCAUCCCAAACAAGGGCAUAGGAGCCAGGAGAUAGCAUCACCUCUGGGUGGUCGUCCCGGCUCCAGCUGAUGGGCUUCUCUGACCAGUGCAUAAACUCAGGGUUACUGGAGGCGACCGCGUUGACUUCUUGGUGUUGUCGGCGCCGACUCCGCCAAUCGUCUGGUUGGCUCGUGAAGACGAUGUAGGCGGCGUGUUCGUCAGGGAACUCGUCGUGGACGGCUCCGACUGCUGGCCGAGCGGCCGGCUGCUGGGGUGCAGGAGGCGGCUGGCCCGCAGGCGGAGGCGGCAACAGCCCCUCGCCCUUGGAGAUUCGGGUGAGCCAAUGGCACUUCCGGGUCGUAUGGUUGGACAGCUUCGCGCCUCUGUGGAACUUGUAGGGGGUGUCAAGAGUCUGCUCAUAGGAGAAGGCCGGCUGCCAUGCCGGCCUGCCGCCCUUCUACUUCUUAGGAGCCAGCCGUCCCUCAUGCUGCUCUUCUUCGACCGUAGCCACCUGCUGACUAGUGGAAGGCAGCAUCGGGGCCUUGCGCUUGUUGUCGUUCUGGUACGGGCGCCGAGUGGACUCUCCAGCCGGCGUCUUGGGAGCCGGCGCAAGCACUUUCCCAGAAGCGUCGACUCGGAGCUCGGUCUUCAUGGAGCAGUUGGCCGUGGCGUAUUUCUCCGCGAUGAUCAACAGCUCAUCGAGGGUAGUCUGCUCCUCGCAGAGGAGUCAGUGCUUGAGGAGGGUGCCCUCUCGGCACCCGGCUGUGAAGUACUCGAUUGCCUGAACCUCGUGCACCCCUUCGCAGGAGUUUCGGAGCUCGGCCCAACGCGUGAGGUAGUCACGGGUUAACUCGCUGGGUCCCUGUAUGCACAAGGAGAGCUGUCGGGGCUUGGGAGCCCACUUGUAGGUGCUGGUGAAGUUGCGGAUGAAGGCUUCCAUGAAGUCGAGCCAGCUGUUGAUGCUGUAAGGCUUGAGGCUAUUGAGCCAGGUGCGUGCUGUGCCUUGGAGCAUCAGGGGGACAUACUUUACGGCAACGCGCCGGUUGCCGUUUGCUAUGCGAACAGCGGUGGAGUAGUCGAUCACCCAGUUCUCUAGCUUCACAGAGCCGUUAUACUUGGGCGUGUCUCUUGGGAGCGAGAACCCUUUUGGAAAGGGCUCGUCGCGGAUGCGGGGGCCGAAACAACGGGCCGACAUCAUCUUCUUCUUCCAGGGCCAGGGAUCGCGCGAGGUGGUUGAUCCGAUGGCGAGCAUCAUUCUCGCCGACUCCUUCACGGUGACCAAGUCGGCCGCUGAGAGUCGGAUGCUCGAUAGGCGGCGGGGUGGGAUAUCUUUCUCCGCGAGGAGGAGGAGGCAGAUCGCCUCGUGUCUCCACACCUCGGGGGCGGCCUUCCACGUCGCGCUCGAUGGUGAUUCGCGUCCGGCUGCGGCUAGCAGCCGGCUCCUUCUCUUGUCUCGCACGGGCGCCACCGGCAGCCGGCAUACGCCACGUCACGCUGUGUUCUCGGCGAGGGGAGCUUCCAGAUUGGACGCCGGCUUCGUGCCAUGCUGCGGCUGCGCCGAUCAGUUGCUGGAUGUGACUGGUCAUGUAGGGGAGCUCAUCGGCCCCCAGUCCGUUGAGCUCGCCAACGAUCGACUGGGCAGCGCGUAGAUUCUCGAGGGGCGUGGCGUAGAUCGGGCGGUCUGCACCCAGCAUGCUGGUGAUGGCCGCACCACGUUGCGUGACGGCGCCGACCCGGCUUGGCCCUUCUGGAGGCGGCGUGCCGAAGGCGGCGCGGUCGACCUCGCGCUGGUGGACUUCCGUGAGGCGUCUCAUGGUGUUUAUCUUCUGGCCCUCCGCGGCGAGGGAAAGGCGGCGAGCCUCCAAUGCCUCGGUGUCGGCGUCGGCCGGGAUGGGGACCGACAAGUCCUGCAGCACCGCUUGCAGGGCAUCGUGGGUGUUUUCACCGGAAGCGGCUCCCUGGCUGAUCACCGGUAUGUCGGUGACGGUGCUGCCGCCACUGUCAGCUCGCGGGAGAGGGUCGUCGAAGACGAUCACGUCGGUGGGGAAGGCGUCGAGCGAUGCCGUGUCGGAGUCGACAAACAUCGGGUCGGUGGAGCCGUCCGACUCCAAGUCCGCUGUAGGCUCGCCGGAGACGUGGAGUUGGUCGAGGAGGCUAACGAGGCGGCUCUCGAGGCAGCCAGUGCCCGCAUCGGAUGUGGGCUCGUCGGAGAUGAAAUCCUCGCCAAGGAGAUCAGCGAGGCAGCUCGCCGCGUAGGCAUCGUUGACGCGUUGCAGCGCGUUGGGGCAAGUGCACUCGGGCGUGCCAGGCUGGCUACGCUCGCUGGGGAGGAAAAGGGUUCCCAUCCAGAGCAGGUCUCCGGAUGACGGUACACCUGGACCCACAGUGGGCACCAAAUGUCGGGUGGUAGGUGCGACAUAUGCCAACGGAUGGCUUAUCAUUGUGGGAGCCAGUAAGACAUCGCCGGUGCCUGGAAACGGGAUGAGGCGAAGACAUGCACACCGGCGAAUCUUACCCAGCUUCGGGGCUCUCUGUGGAGAUAACACCCCUACUGCUGCUCUGCGGGGUCUCCGCAUGGUCCCUAGUUCAGCAAGUAGCUACAGGAUGCUCCUUGAGCUGUUCGAUGGGAGGAGGGAGAAGGGAAAGGCUAGCUCUCUUCUCUCCCUAUGGUAGUGUCUAAAACUCUAUGAGAUCAACCCUUUGCAUGGGUGUCCCGGGGGGUUUAUAUAGGCCUACCCCCUGGGGGUACAAUGGUAAUCCGGCUGGGCGUGGGCCCAGGCCGUCAGUGUCUGCGACCGCCACCUUCUCCGCCGACUUCUGGGGCCCACCGACUGGUGGGUCCCGCCGGAUGUUGGCCCGCUAGUCGACAGACCGGCCCCACCGCUUGGGGGAUCUAGUUGGGGGCUGGUUACUAUGGCCUCGCCUCUGAUGACGAGGGCUUUGUCGAGGUAAGCAUGGCUACAGUGCCGCCGCCUUGCAGGAUCCCACUGUAGCCUCACCAUGUCUCAUCUGCUUAAUGGUGCACGCGCCCCGAGGGGGAGCAAUCCAGCUAUUGGAAACCGGCCCGGCCUUGGGCCGGCUGGGCGAGGCCGGGCCGCCUUCGGAUGUCUCUCUGACCGAAGGGGCCCGCCGCCUGCGGGCCGUACCGGCGACCCGUCGUGGAUGGCAUCAUGACUCUCAUGGCAACAGUGCCACGCCGGACGGGGGAUGGCUGCCCCGUACGGCAUACUGUAGCCAUGCAUUCACCGGGAUUUGGGGGUGGCAGGGUUUACUGUAGCCACGCCCUGUCUUGUCACCGUUAUGGGUGAUGGUCUUUGGAGGCGGCGUUCGGCCACUUGCUUCUUGGAGUCAGCCCUUCAUGGGCCGCCUUCGGGGAGUCGGUCCUUCAUGGGCCGGCUUCUUGGAGCCGUCCCAAUCGCGACGUCCUCCAAAGGUUGUUUUAUGGUCGGGCCGCCUUCGGCCAGCCAGCCUAGGUCAUAGCCGGCCGAAAGAAGGCGGCCCCGUGUCUUAGGUGCUUCGAGGGUCGAUCGGCCCGUUGUUUUUUCUGAGGGCCAAAGGGAGCUGGCUAGGCUACCCGUGGUCAUUUACUCCGACACUUGUGUUAUUCAUGCUCAUCAGUAUGCCAUGCUCAUUCGGAUAUAUGAUUCGUUGUGGUUAUGCUCGAUGAUUUGUUAUGAUUGCACAUUCAUGCUCAAAUUGGUAUCAUGCUCAUGCAUUGUAGUUGCAUCAUGUUAUUUUAAUAUGACUCAGCUUAUUGCAUUGAAGUUUAACCGGAUAAUGAUGAACUUGAACAACUGUUGGCUGAGUCAUGGUGCCACCAUAUCGAGCUGACCAAUGCAACCACAUUUGCCUUUUAUGGAAAGGACCUAACUAGGUCUAUUGUCAUGCCUUUAGCCGGUGCAUCCAACGAGGGAAGGUUAUGCGCAGGCACUACCUUGGCCGGGUAGGACGACAUAAGCCUUGUGUGCCCUUUGUUGUUGUAUGGAUCCAUGUCCCUGUUUGGGACCGUUUAUUUGCCACGACGGUGGCUGUUGAUGCCUUUGGUAGGCACGAGGCCACCCAUGACUUAGCCCAAAGGGGAGUUGGUCAGAGUGGCCGGGAGAGUGUCAUGGCAGUAGAUCGGUUUGGACGGAAUGUCGUGGUCCACACGUAUGGGAAUGUGAGGCCAUGGGUUCCGUGGUGUAGGUACAGUGUGCUAACCUCUACAGAGUGUGUGUUAAAUCUAUCAAUAGCCGCACCCGCGGAUAUGGGCCCGGUUCAGAGUCGGUCACACUAUGAGCCAACACUACUAGGAAAAGGGCUAUAGAUGGGAUGGGCACUAAUGGCGCACCUGUCAGGUGGUACGCCACUACUAUAUACUAAUGGCGCACCGUUUGGUGAUGCGCCAUUAGUGUGGAAGACACUAAUGGCGCACCAGACACACGGUGCGCCACUAGUAAUAAUUUUGUUUCCAUUUUUCCAUACAUACUAAGGGUGCAUCUGGGCGAAGUGCGCCAUUACUAGUUCUAACUAGUAAUGGCGCACCAGACAGACAGUGCGCCAGUACUGUAUUUUUUUAUUCUUUUUUUGCAAAACUACUAAUGGCGCACCGUGUCACAGUGCGCCAUUACUAGUUUACACUAGUAAUGGCGCACUGUGACUCGGUGCGCCAUUAGUAUAUAUAUUUAUUUUUUUACUUUUUUGCAAAACUACUAAUGGCGCACCACCUGCAGGUGCGCCAUUUGUAACCAGGCAUACUAAUGGCGCAUUUGCAGGUGGUGCGCCAUUAGUAACCUGGGACCCCAACAAGAUAUUUUGGACAGCCACACCUACCCACUCACUUUCCCCACUUCAUUCCCUCCACCUCCUUCUCCAAGAUUUCGGCUGCCUCCUCCUCCUCACCUCAUUUGCACCAUAGAUUCAUCAAAAUUAAGUGGUGAAAUUACCUUUUUUUAUAGGUAAGUAAGGGGAAAGCUAUCUUCAUGUUGUAGAUCUACUUCUUUUCUCCAUAGCUCGCUCGAACAACGUGCACAUGCACUUUUUGUGUCCUAGCUAGAUCUAUGUAUGUUUGUGAUGUUGCAUAUGUUUGUGGUGUUGCAUAUAUGUUUGUGUUUGCAGGUACCGGUAUUUGAAAUGCGAUAGUUGCCAAUAUUUUGCCGGAAUGUUGAUUCAUUUCCGUUUCGGCGAGAAUUUUGGCACUAUGCAUUCUUUUUGGUCCUAUUUUUAGGGAAGGUCAUGCCAAAUUUUUUCUUGGUUCUAAAAUAUUGUUUUUCUCUACCCCGCAAGCGACCAUGGUCCGCAGGAUGACCGAAGGCAUCAUGAAUAGGUUUUUGAGCUCCGUGAAGGCCGAGAUGCUUCAAAAGAACAAGACGGAGAUAAGAUGUCCGUGUCGAAGAUGCAAGCUGAAGAGCCUUAUUGCGGACCCGGAUUCCGGGCAGGUGCGGGACCACCUGCUCUUGCGUGGUUUCAUGGAUGGCUAUUGGUGGCAACGUGAUGAAGAUGACUAUGAAGUCGUCCAUGGGGGCCGGGCAAGAAAUGAGGAAGGGCAACAAGACAACCACCGCGGCGAGGGCGGGCGAGAAGACGAAGAUUCUCCAGGACAUGAUCACGACGGUGAUGAUGUACACAAUCAUCAUGUAGAAGAUGUCAUACUUGAUGAUGAGGAAGAUCAAGACGAAGGGCAUGAUCAUGAAGAUGAAGAUGCCGGAGUAGACGACGAUGGAGGCUGGGUGCAGGACCCUCAUAUUCAAGAGCUGCUUCUCAAGCAGACGGAUAACGCAAGAGGUGCCGCCCGAGAGAAAGCCAAGCUGGAUCAACUGGAGAUAGACGCGGUUACUCCAUUGCAUGAAGGAUGCAGGCCCGAGGAUACCCUCCUGAAAGUAACGCUCAUGGCUCUGGAGAUGAAGGUAAAACACAAAAUGACCGACGCAUGCUUCGACGAGAACAUGUCAUUCUGGCACGAACGUCUUCCCAUGGGGAACAAGUGCCCGACCAGUUUCGAGGAAACGACAAAAAUCGUUUGUCCGCUGGAUUUACCACAUGUGAAAUACCAUGUGUGCAUGAACAAUUGCAUCAUUUAUCGGGAUGAGCACGCGGAGUCUACCAUAUGUCUGAUGUGCGAUGUCACUCGAUACAAGAAGAGGAAGAAAGCUCCUCGAAAAUCGGUGUGGUACUUUCCGAUCACUCCUCGUCUGCAGCGGUAUUUCGCGGACACUAACAUAGCAAAGCUCCUGCGUUGGCACACGGAUAGGGAGAAGAAGAAGUGGGAAGAUGAUGGAAAUGAUCCGGUGAUAAAUAAAAAAGACAAGAUGUUGAGUCACCCUAAGGAUGCGAGCCAGUGGCAAGCGUUGAACUUCGAAUACCCAGAAUUUGGAAGGAUCCAAGGAACAUCGUGCUGGGCGCGAGCACCGAUGGAGUCAAUCCGUUUGGCAGCCAGAGAAGCACACAUAGCACCUGGCCUGUGUUAGUGUGGAUGUACAACCUUCCCCCCUGGUUUUGCAUGAAGAGGAAGUACAUUCACAUGAGUAUGCUAAUUGAAGGGCCGAAACAACUAGGGAAUGACAUCAAUAUGUAUCUGGGGCUGCUGAAGGAGGAGCUAGACACGCGUGGAAAACGCCAACCAAUACGUGGGACGAUGCGGAGAAAGAAUAUUUCCCUAUGAGAGCCGCACUGCUCACGAUGGUUCACGACUAUCUCGGUUACGGAUAUCUCGCGGGGCAGGUAGUCCAUGGAUUUUCUGGAUGCGUAAGGUGCAUGGAUGACACAAUGUAUCGCCAGCUAGAUAGAGAUCCCGGGUCUUCGAAAACCGUGUUCAUGGGACAUCGAAGGUGGCUUCGCGAUGAUGACCCGUGGAGGAAACACAAGGAUCUGUUCGAUGGUGAAACCGAACCCCGAAAACGCCCGCGUACGAGGAGCGGCGAGGAAAUAGACGAGCUGUUGAAAAAUUGGAAAGAUUACCCACUGCCGGGAAAGAAGCAAAAGGCGCCAGAGCCGGGAAAGAAGUGAAAGGUGCCAGAGCCACUGCUGAAGGUACGGAAAACGAGGUCUGUUUUCUGGGACAUGUCGUACUGGAAGAUCCACCGUGUGACUCACAGCCUUGAUGCCAUGCAUAUCACGAAGAACGUGUGCGAGAGUCUCCUUGGUACCCUGCUCAACAUGCCAGAGAGGACCAAAGAUGGGCCGAAAGCAAGGGCAGACUUGAAAUCAAUGGGCAUCAGGCAGGAGCUUCACGCUAAUGAUGAUGAUGAUGAUGAUGUUGAUGAGGCGUAGCAGGACACAUAAAGUCAUCGCAAAAGCAAAAAGGCCAAGAAGACCGGAAAUGACUACCCUCCCGUGUGCUUCACUCUAAGUCAGGAGGAGAUCGAGCAGUUUUUCACCUGCCUCGUAGGAGUAAAACUUCCUUACGGUUACGCGGGGAAGAUAAGCAGAUACCUAGACCCAGCGAAGCAGAAGUUCAGCGGGAUGAAGUCUCACGACUAUCACGUGCUGAUGACGCAGAUACUUCCAGUUGCAAUCCAUGGGAUCAUGGACGCGCACAUCCGUGAAAUGCUAUUUGGCCUAUGCAACUUUUUCGACGUCAUCUCUCGGAAGUCGAUUGGCGUGAGACAACUCAGAAGGCUACAGGAAGAGAUCAUGGUGAUACUAUGCGAGCUUGAGAUGUACUUCCCGCCCACAUUCUUCGACAUUAUGGUGCAUCUGCUGGUCCAUAUCGUGGAUGAUAUCAUCCAACUCGGGCCGACGUUCUUGCACAGCAUGAUGCCGUUCGAAAGGAUGAAAGGUGUCAUCAAAGGAUACGUUCGCAACAUGUCACGUCCAGAGGGAAGUAUAGUCAGGGGCUUUCUGACUGAAGAGUGCAUCUCCUACUGCACGAAUUAUCUAGGCAUCGAGAACCCCGUUGGUCUGCCCGUCAACAGGCACCUCGGCAGGCUCGCUGGAUGGUGUCACCAUGACGGUCGCCGCGAAAUGCAUGUCGACUUCGAGGGUCGACUCACCGACUUUGAAAGAGCAAACCUAGUCAUGCUACAACACAUAGACGUGGUCGAUCCUUGGGUGGUAGAGCACAAAACCUUUAUUGAGAAUACAUACAAUGACCGAGGCCAACAGAGGACGGACGGAGAUAUAAUCAAAGAGCACAACUCAUGUUUCACGCGUUGGUUCAAGCAGAAGCUUCUGUCAUACCCUUUACAUGAGGAUUCUUCCGCGGAAGAACAACUCAUAUUCGCCUUGUCACAGGGCGCCGAGCACAACCUGAUGACCUAUGAGGCGUACGAUAUCAACGGCUACACAUUCUACACCGAGAACAAGGACAUGAAGAGCUAUGGUUAUCAGAACUCCGGGGUAAUGAUGGAAUCCUACACCGGUAACGACAAUGACAGAUACUACGGAAGGAUCGAGGAGAUCUGGGAGCUGAGCUACACUGGAGAGAAGGUCCCGAUGUUCCGUGUUAGAUGGGCCAAGAGCGUCCUAAAACAAGACCGGUAUUUCACCACCAUGGUUAUACCCGAAGCCAAAUCCAAGACCGCGGGUGCAAACGUCACCGCGAAAAAUGAGCCAUGGGUACUAGCUUCCCAAGUGGACCAAUGCUUCUUCAUUACCGACCCGCCAAAUAUGCAUGUAGUAUAUUUUGGGGAUGACAUGAUGUAGAGGGAUAAACUCAUGCAAUAUGAUAUAAACCCCAUGUUAUUAUAUUCGAUGGCAACAAUACAAUACGUGUCUUGCAACCCUUUCUGUCACCGGGUAAGGAUACCGCAAGAUUGAACCCAAAGCUAAGCACUUCUCCGCUGGCAAGAAAGAUCAAUCUAGUAGGCCAAACCAAACUGAUAAUUCCAAGAGACUUGCAAAGAUAACUCAAUCAUACAUAAAAGAAUUCAGAGAAGAUUCAAAUAUUUCUCAUAUAUAAACUUGAUCACAAACCCACAAUUCAUCGGAUCUUGAAAAACACACCGCAAAAAGAGUUUACAUUGAAUAGAUCUCCACAAGAGAGGGGGAGAACAUUGUAUUGAGAUCCAAAAAGAGAGAAGAAGCCAUCUAGCUAAUGUAGCGACCCAACCUGAAUGGAUCAAGUCUCUGUGCUCCAGUGUCAUCCCUGGAUCAGUAAUGCUGACACCACACAGUACUUCGAAGGAUUUAUAACAGAGUAGCAAUCACACACUUAUUACAUCGUUGUCCCAAAAAGAGGACUUAUUACAAUAAUCAUGGCUUAAGGCCAUCUAAUAACGAUAACAGCGGAAGACUUGGAAGAUAAGUGAGUCCAUCAACUCCAAUGGCAUCACUGAGUAUAGAAGCACGACCUAAAAGCACCAUAUUCAUCGUCUGAAAAUUCUGCAACAUGAAAAGUUGUAGCCCGAAAACGGGUCAGCACAUGGAAUAUGCUGGCAAUGUAACACAUAGAGAGAAAUAAAGAGUAUUGGCUAUACUACAUGCAUAUUUGGCUGGUGGAAAAGCUCAUUUUUUGGGUAAAGCUUUUAUGUAUUAUGGAAUAAGGAGUGGCAUGAGCCUAAGCUUGGGGAUGCUUAUGGCACCCCAAGAUAUUCAAGAAUAGCCAAAAGCCUAAGCAUGGGGAUGCCCCAGGAAGGCAUCCCCUCUUUCAUCUUCGUUCAUUGGUAACUUACUUGGAGCUAUAUUUUUAUUCGCCACAUGAUAUGUGUUUUCCUUGGAGCGUAGUGUAUCAUAUUAGUAUUUGGUUUUAAUUUAUCACAAUCAUCCUUGCUGUACACACCUUUUGGGAGAAGCCUAUUUGAUUAGAAUUUGCUAGAAUACUCUAUGUGCUUCACUUAUAUCUUUUGAGUUUGAUAGUUUUUGCUCUAGUGCUUCACUUAUAUCUUUUAGAGCAUGGUGGUGUCUUCAUUUUGAAGAAGUUGCUAGUCUCUCAUGCUUCACUUAUAUUAUUUUCAGAGUCUUUUAGAACAGCAUGGUAUUUGCUAUGAUCAUAAAGUUGGUCCUAUAAUGAUGAGCAUCCAAGUUGGGUAUAAUAAAAACUAUCAUAGAAAGUGAAUUGGAUGCUAUGAUCAAUUUGAUGCUUGAUAAUUGUUUUGAGAUAUGGAGGUAGUGAUAUUAAAGUCAUGCUAGUUGGGUGAUUAUGAAUUUAAAGAAUGCUUGUGUUGAAGUUUGUGAUUCCCGUAGCAUGCAGAUAUGGUGAACCGCUUUGUGAUGAAGUUGGAGCACAAUUUUAUUUAUUGAUUGUCUUCCUUAUGUGUGGUGGUCGGGGAUGAGCGAUGGUCUUUUCCUACCAAUCUAUCCCCCUAGGAGCAUGCGCAUAGUGCUUUGGUUUUUGAUGACUUCUAAAUUUUUGCAACAAGUAUAUGAGUUUCUUUGAUUAAUGUUGAGUCCAUGGAUUAUACGCACUCUUUCACCCUUCCACCAUUGCUAGCCUCUCUUGUAUCAUGCAAUUUUCGCCGGUACCUUACACCCACCAUUUACCUUCCUCAAAACAGCCACCAUACCUACCUAUUAUGGCAUUUCCAUAGCCAUUCCGAGAUAUGUUGUAACGCCCCGGAUUCGAUGCGCCAGGUGUCCGCCAGUCAUUCGCCACCAUUGCCAUGUCAUUUGCUUGCGUGUUGCAUUUUAUCAUGUCAUCAUGUGCAUCUCAUUUUGCAUACGUGUUCGCCUCAUGCAUCCGAGCAUUUUCUCCGUUGUCCGUUUUGCAAUCCGGCACUCCUAUGUCCUCCGGCGCCCCUUUUGCCUCUUAUCGUGUGUGGUUGUUAAACAUUCUUGGAAUGGACCGAGGUUUGCCAAGCAGACUUGGUAUAGCACCGAUAGACCGCCUGUCAAGUUUCGUGCCAUUUGGAGGUCGUUCGGUACUCCAACGGUUAACCAGGUAUCCGUAAAAGCAUCCUUGUGUUGCAGCCCAACACCCCUCCAAAGUGGCCCAAAACCCAUCCAAACCCCCUCCAUGCUCUCGGUCGUUCGAUCAUGAUCGCGUGGCCGAAAACCGCACCCCAUUUGGAGUCUCGUAGCUCCCUCUACCUAUUUAAACACCUCCUUCCUCGAAAUUUCGGAUCAAAUCAACCCUAACCUAGCCUUCCUCAUCCUCGCGCCGCCGGACACGUCCGCCCCUGCCGGACAUGUCCACCGGACACCUCACCCAAACCAAUCCUGUCGUGCCACGUCACCCCGCCGCUGCCCACAGCCAAUCUGGCUUCGCCACCUCAGCCCGCGCCUCCCUCUCUCUCCUCCGCGCGCCGCCGCCGGCCCACCAGGCCUAGGCGCGGCCCGCCCGGCCCGGUUCGCCGCCCCGCCGCCUCCCGCGGGCUCCCGCGCCUCGCGGAGCCCCGCGCCGCCGCUCGUCGGGCGCCCUCCGUCGGCCGCCGCCGCAGGCGCCACCCCAUGCCCCGCCGUCGCCCCUCGACCUCGACUUCCGGUCCUCCACCGGAGCUCCAUCGCCGCCCCCACCUCGUCCCGGUCCGGAUCCGCACGGACCCGACGAGCUCCGCUUUCCCUCCUCAGCGGAGAAGCUCCCACCUCGCCGGAGUUGACCUCGGUUCGCGCACCGCCCCGAUCUGGAUCUGGAAGACAAGUUUGACCCCGUUUUUUCGUCUAAGUCCCUCAGUUUUGCAUUUUCUGGUGCCUACUUUGCCAUGCCAUAACUCCAUGCAUACUCCUCCAUUUCGUGCGUGUAAUAUGUCAAAAUGUUUGUUGUGAUAUGCUCUUCAUUUCAUUCCAUUGUGCCAUGUUUGUUUGAGGCCAUCUUGAUGCCCUAAUCAUCGUUGCAAGAGUGCUAUAUGAUGUUAACCUGCUGAAACUGUUAUAACUUGUUGUUUUGUCUUUUCCGUUGCAUUUUGUGUGUGCAUCUUAUGAGCUUGAUGUCUACAUGUAUUUUGUACUACAACAUGCCGUAUUUACAUUGGUGCCAUCCAUGUAUUUUUUGUGGGUCCUGUAGUGAGUGCAUCGAGCUUGUUAAGUAGAGUACUUGCUGUUGCUGUUUUGUUAGGCUGAAUCUGUUAUUUCGUGACGCCAUGUAAACCUGCUGCUACAAGUCAUUCUAUGCAUAAUCUGGAGAUGUUCACUAAGGAUGUUUUGUUAUACAUGUAAUUCUCUAUCCAUCCAUGCCCCUAGUUGCAUUUAUAGCCUGUUGUAACAAGUUGUAAUCUUCCUCCAAAUUUGCUAAAUAAUGUUUCUGUCAGCAUGUUAACAUUAAGUCCAGUUUUGCCAUGAGCUUUGCUAGUGAUCCAUGCACCCUAUGAACUUGCUCUUGCCAUUCUUAGCCUCACAAACAUGUAUUCUUUCUGUUGGUUUCCCUUACAUGCCAUGUAUGGCUCCGUGGUGAGUGGUACAAGCUCAUCGACAUGCCUACUUAUUGUUGUUCCUGCCAUGUAUGAAUCUGUCAUAUCUCUUGCUAUGUUUACAUGGGUGCCAUCAUAUUUUCUGUGCCCUUUUGGAUCAUGGUCAGUAAGGGACAUUUGUUAUUUGAAAUUAGUAGAUUCAUGCCAUGCCUUUGUUUGCCAUGAUAACUUCGUGUAGCAUGUUGUUUGAUAGCUCUAAAUAUUGAAACCUGAUGUUAUUUCUGCUAAGCCUGAAACUGUUAUUAUAUGCAAUCUUGCCAUGUCCUUUUGAGCAUGUUAUAGUGUUUUCUGGAGAUAGCUCAGUGUUCAUGCUUUGUCAUGCUUUACCUUUACUUCAUGCGCAUGCCUUUUGUUAUUACGUUGAGAUGAUGUAGCAUAUUGUUUUGAUGCUUGCAAGAUGCCUAGUUGCUGUUAUGGACUGAUUGUUGUCAUAUCUUGUUUGGAGUGUAUGUGUUGAACCGUUGCUCCGUUUUGAGUGUGCUCUAUAUGAAACUUGCUUGAUUUUGCAUAUAACUUCAUAUUAUCAUGUUGCAUCCUUGUUUUGAGGUGUUUGUUUGAUGUUUGCAUGCAUUUUGCAUCAAUGCCAUGUUUAACUUGUUUUGCUCAUAUCUUCUAGGCCGUAGCUCCGAAUUAAAUGAACUUUAUAUGUAACUUGACUAGAAUUUCGUGUAGAUCAUCUUGGUGCAUCUUAACUUGCUGUUUAACUAUUUGAACAUAAGGAUUAUUCAGUUCUGGACCAAUUUUGAAACUUGUAUAUGAGGACUUACCGGAAUUGUUAUAUGUUGUUUCCGGCCUCAUUUAAACUUGCUUUGAUGUGUUGCUCUUGUUCGCAUCAUCUCUUGCCAUGAGUAGCUUCAUGUAGCCUUGUCAUGCAUCAUACUUGGUUGAGCAUCAUGCCUUGUUCAUGUGUGGUGUGUUUACUAUGUUGUGUGCUUCUUCUCUAUAGUUCCUCUUUUGUUGCGAUCGUGAGGAUUCGUUCGUCUACGCUUGGUUCGUCUUCAUCCGUUCGUCUUCUUCAUGGACUCGUUCUUCUUCCUUGCAGGAUUUCAGGCAAGAUGACCGCUACCCUGGAUCUCACUACUAUCAUUGCUAUGCUAGUUGCUUCGUUCUAUCGCUUUGCUCCGCUACCUAUCUUUUGCUCUUCAAGCCUCCCAAUUUGCCAUGUAAUCCCCUAACCUUUUCACCCUUCCUAGCAAACCAUUGUUUGGCUAUGUUACCGCUUUGCUCAGCCUCUCUUAUAGCGUUGUUACUUGCAGGUGAAGUUGAAGAUUGCUCCAUGGUGGACAGGACUAUGUUGGGAUAUCACAAUAUCUCUUAUAUUAUUAAUGCAUCUAUAUACUUGGUAAAGGGUGGAAGGCUCGGCCUUAUGCCUGGUGUUUUGUUCCACUCUUGCCGCCCUAGUUUCCGUCAUACCGGUGUUAUGUUCCCGGAUUUUGCGUUCCUUACGCGGUCGGGUGAUUUAUGGGACCCCCUUGACAGUUCGCUUUGAAUAAAACUCCUCCAGCAAGGCUCAACCUUGGUUUUACCAUUUGCCUCACCUAGCCCUUUUUCCCUUGGGUUUCUGGAGCCCGAGGGUCAUCUUUAUUUUAGCCCCCCAGGCCAGUGCUUCUCUAAGUGUUGGUCCGAACCGAGCAGCCUGCGGGGCACCCUCGGGGAAACUUGAGGUCUGGUUUUACUUGUAGCUUGACUUAUCCGGUGUUGCCCUGAGAAUGAGAUAUGUGCAGCUCCUAUCAGGAUUGUCGGCACAUCGGGCGGCUUUGCUGGUCUUGUUUUACCAUUGUUGAAAUGUCUUUUAAACCAGGAUUCCGAGACUGAUCGGGUCUUCCUGGGAGAAGGAAUAUCCUUCGUUGAUCACGAGAGCUUAUCAUGGUCUAAGUUGGGACACCCCUGCAGGGUAUAAACUUACGAGACCCGUGCCCGCAGUUAUGUGGCAGAUGGGAAUUUAUUAAUGUCCGGUUGUAGAUAACUUGACACCAGAUCCGAAUUAAAACGCAUCAACCGCGUGUGUAGCCGUGAUGGUCUCUUUCGGCGGAGUCCGGGAAGUGAACACGGCUCUGGGUUAUGUUUGACGUAAGUAGGAGCUCAGGAUCACUUCUUGAUCAUUACUAGUUGACGACCGUUCUGUUUGCUCUCUUCUCGCUCUCUUUUGCGUAUGUUAGCCACCAUAUAUGCUUAGUUGCUGCUGCAACCUCACCACGUUACCCCUUCCUUUCCGAUUAAGCUUUGCUAGUCUUGAUACCCAUGGUAAUGGGAUUGCUGAGUCCUCGUGGCUCACAGAUUACUACAACAACAGUUGCAGGUACAGGUUAUGUGAUGAUAAUGACGCGAGAGCGAUGCUUGCUUGUUUUGGAGUUCUUCUGCUUCUUCUUUGAUCAGGGGAUAGGUUCUAGGUCGGCAUCCUGGGCUAGCAGGGUGGAUGUCGUUUGAGUUUCUGUUUGUGUUUCAUCAGUAGUCGGAUGGUGCUCUUAUGUAUGAUGAUGUUGUAUUCGUGUGGCAUUGUAUGCCUCUUGUAUGUAUCCCCAUCUAUUAUGUAAUGCUGAUGUAAUGAGAUCCACCUUGCAAAAGUGUUUCAAUAUGCGGGUCUAUCCUUGGUGGGACCUUCGAGUUCCUUUUGGAUAGGGUCUCAUAUUGGGCGUGACAUAUAUUGCCAUGCAACUUUUCACUGUUCCGUUCAUAUGACACACAUUACUUUUGUCAUAUUGCUUUUUCCAUGAUCAUGUAGUUGACAUUGUAUUUGUGGCAAGGCCACCUUCAUAAUUUUCAUACAUGUCGCUCUUGAUUCAUUGCAUAUCCCAGUACACCGCCGGAAGCAUUCAUAUAGAGUCAUAUCUUGUUCUAGCUUUGAGUUGUAAAUCCAUAAAAGUGUGAUGAUCUUUAUUAUUAGAGCAUUGUCCUAGUGAGGAAAGGAUGAUGAAGACUAUGAUUCCCCCACAAGUCGGGAUGAGACUUCGGACUUUACAAAAAGAAAAAA